UGCCCGAGCUCCUCCAAUAACCUUUGUAUCCAAAUAGCUUCCUUGCAAGCUUGUGUAGCUGCCAUGUACUCUGCUUCUGUUGUAGAUAAAGCCACAACGGUCUGCAGUUUCGAAACCCAGCUUACAGCUACUCCCGCAAGUGUAAACACAUAACCAGUAGUGGAUUUCCUUUUAUCAAGGUCUCCUGCAAAAUCUGAAUCUACAUAGCCUCUGACAGUAAGCUCUGAUCCUCCAUAACAUAAUGCAACAUCUGAAGUUCCUCUGAUGUAUCUCAGAACCCUCUUCACAGCUAUCCAAUGCUCUCCACCAGGAUUCGCCAUAUAUCAACUGACUGCUCCCACUGCUUGUGCAAUGUCCGGUCUUGUACAUAUCAUAGCGAACAUUAAACUUCCCACUGUUGAUGCAUACGGUACUCGAGACAUCUCCUUCCUCUCUGCUUCAUUACUAGGACACAUACUUGAGGAUAAUUUGAAAUUAACAGGAAGUGGGGUAGAAAUUGGCUUACAAUCUUGCAUGUUGAAGCGUCGCAAGAUUUUCUUUAAGUAAUUCUUCUGCGAAAGCCAAAUCUUCCUGUUAUUUCUGUCUCGGUGAAUUUGCAUCCCAAGAAUCUUGUUUGCUGGUCCCAAGUCCUUCAUUUCAAACUCCCUAGCCAACUGUGCCUUCAAUUCUUGGAUUCGAUCUUUGUUAGGACCUGCUACCAACAUGUCAUCCACAUACAACAGAAAAAUAAUGAAAUCAUUAUCUUCAAACCUCUUGUAAUAUGCACAAUGGUCUGAACUGAGUCUGUUGUAUCCAAGGCUCAUGAUGAAGGAAUCAAAUCUCUUAUACCAACACCUCGGCGCCUGUUUGAGACCGUAAAGAGAUUUGUUCAACCUGCAAACCAAGUUCUCCUUUCCUGUUUCUGCAAAACCUUCUGGUUGGAGCAUAUAUAUUUCUUCUUCAAGUUCUCCAUGAAGAAAUGCAGUUUUCAGAUCUAACUGCUCUAGAUGUAGGUCAAAUGUAGCACACAUUGCCAAGACUAUUCUAACACGAAAAUAUCUCGUUGAAGUCAAUACCUUCUUUCUGAGCAUAUCCUUUCACCACCAAUCUUGCACGAUACCGCUCCACUUGGUCAUUGCCAUCACGCUUGAUCUUAUAGACCCAUUUGUUUCCAAUGGCUUUUCUUCCACGUGGUAGUGGUACAAGUUCCCAUGUCUUGUUCUUGUGUAGAGCUUCAAUUUCUUCCUGCAUUGCUGUCAUCCACAAAGCAAUAUCUAAGCUUUCUAAAGCUUCAUGGAAAGUUGAAGGCUCUCCAUCCUCUAUUAGAAGACAGUAUGCAACGUUGAUCUCUAUGAUAUACUCCGAGUGCCAUGUUGGUGGUCGUCUCUCACGAGUUGACCGACGAACUUCUUGAGCCUCGGACUCGACUGGUUCUUGUUCCUCGUGCUCUGGUGCUGCUUCAGAAGAAUCUGAAUCUUCUAGAUUAUUUUCCACAUAUACUGGCACGAUCUCUGACUUUUCUUUCGUAGUGCCAUCAUCUUCAUCUCUCCUUUGCAGUUGAUCUUCUACAAAGAUAACAUCUCUACUGAUGACGAUCUUGUGGGUAGUGGGGUCCCACAGACGAUACCCCUUUACUCCAUCAGCAUACCCCAAGAAGAUACAUCUUCUAGAUUUUGCAUCUAACUUUGUUAUUUCUUGGGCAUUGUAUAUCACGUACACAGGACAUCCAAAUGCAUGUAGGUAGGAAUAAUCAGCUGGCUUUCCAGUCCACAUCUCCAUUGCUAUCUUUAGCCAAAUAGCUGUAGAUGGCGAUCGAUUUACUAUAUAACAAGCAGUUUUGGCUGCUUCUGCCCAGAAUGAAUUGGGUAGACCAGCAGUCCUCAACAUAGCUCUUAUUCUUUCUGUAAGAGUUCUGUUCAUCCGCUCUGCCACUCCAUUUUGUUGAGGAGUGUAUGCCACCGUGAACUCCCUCUGAAUACCUUCUUGCUUACAGAAAGCAAGAAACUCGCCGUCUGUAUACUCUCCACCAUUAUCCGUCCUGAAGCACUUGAUCUUUUUACUAGAUUCAAGUUCCACCCGCGCUUUGUAUUCUUUAAACACUGGAAAUACAUUUGACUUUUUCUUAAUUGGAUACACCCAACAUCUUCUGGAAUAAUCAUCAAUGAAGGUCACCAUGUACUUUGCACCUCCCAUGGAUAUAUCCGGUGAUUCCCAAACAUCAGAAUGAAUUAAGUCUAGAAUGCAUUUACUUCUAGCAAUAGAUCUACUAAAUUUUAAUCUAUGCUGCUUACUAGUAACACAAUGCUCGCAAAAUGGUAAACUUACCGAUUUGAGCCCCGGAAGCAAUUUUCGCUCAGAGAGAAUCUUCAAACCUUGUUCUGACAUGUGGCCAAGUUUGAGAUGCCACAUCAUUGUUGACUCUUCUCCAUUUGAUGCGACACACGCAUCAGCCUCCUGUAGUGUUUCUCCUUUAAGCAUGAAUAGAUUAGCACCGAUCUUUUCUGCCUUCAUCAAUACAAGCGCGCCUUUAACGACCUUCAUAAUUCCAUUCUCCACAUGAGUUUUGUACCCAUGACUAUCCAUUUGUCCCAAAGACAAUAGAUUUUUCUUCAGGCCGUUGACAUGUCGUACCUCCGCAAUUGUGCGAAUUGUACCAUCAAACAUUUUUAUUUUGAUAGUACCAAUACCAGCGAUCUCCAAGGUAUGAUCAUUACCCAUAUAUACAGAUCCUCCUGAGAUAGGUUCAUAUGUGUGGAAUCAUUCUCUCCGAGAGGUCAUGUGCCAGGUAGCUCCUGAGUCUAUAAGCCAGACAUCAUAAAGUCGUUUUCUGCCUUCUGAAACAGUUGUUGCUUCGCUGUAGAGAAUUUCGCCAUCAUCCGAGGUACUUGCUACACACCCCUGAGCAUUUGAUGACUUAGGUUCUUUGCCCUCUUUUCUCUUCUGGUUACUCCAACACUCUUUCUUGACGUGUCCUUUCUUGCCACAGUUGUAGCAUUUAACAUUCUUCUUACUUCUGGAUUUUGAUCUACCAUUAUUGUGACUCCCACUGGGGCCACGUUCUAUUGAUCUCCCUCUCGUCACCGAUAGCGCCUCCGCUUGCUGCGAACUUGCUUGUCUGUUUUCCUUAUUUUUCCGCCUGCUCUCCUCAUUUAAUAUGGAGGCUGCAACAUCGUCAAAAACUAGACUGUUCGCUGGAUUGUUGUUUGUCAGGUUGAUGAUGAGUUGAUCAUACGAAUCUGGUAGACUUUGAAGUAGAAGCUCUGCACGUUCAUUUUCCUCUAUAUUAUGACCCAAAGUUGUGAGUUGUGAAAAUAGAGUCUUCAAGGUGUUGAUGUGGUCGGUCACCAUUGUAGAUUCCACCAUUCGAAGAGUAUAAAGUUUCCUCUUCAAGAAAAUUUUGUUGUGUAGUGACUUGGCCUCGUACAAUUUUGUGAGAGUAUCCCAAAUUUCCUUCGCUGUGUUUUUCUCUGCCACACUGGAUAAUACUCCGUCUGCAAGUGCCAAGUGUAGAUCAGAAAUGGCAUUGCCGUCUACCUCGUUCCACUUGUCAUCAGUUAUCUUUAUGGGCCUUUCUCCAAUUGCUGCCAAGCAAUUAUUUUUCCUCAAUACAGCUUUCAUCUUCAUUUUCCACAACGAAAAAUUAUUUCCGUUAAACUUCUCAAUUUCAUACUUUGCCGCCAUUUUGUUGAUAAAUACCGCACACAAGCUAGUGUACCACCUUGAAUAGUUGUGAGUAUGUGUGAGAAUGCACACCAGGAAAGUUCCCAGGAAAGACUGGAGGGGUCACAAUGGUCCCACUUAAAACCCAGACUCCUUAAGCUCUUAUCGCCUUUGUGACAGAACUUUCCUAGACAUGUACAAAACCACACAGUUGCUUUUACUCACACCACUAUUCUCUGCUUUGCACCGUAAAAUUCUUGGAUCACUUCCACCGUUUCACGUGAAUAGUACUGUAUACGUGAACAGUACCGUAUACGUGAAUAGUAUCGUAUACGUGAACAGUACCGUAUAUGUGAAUAGUACCCCUUAGUGAACAGUACCCAACUCCAAAAAAUACAACCAAUAGCUCUGAUACCACUGUUAGGAAAUUGGUGGGUAAAGCAGACACGCAGCUAAGUUGAAAUUGGUAGAAACAAUAAAGAACAAGCACAAUAGAGGACACAAGAAAUUACGUGGUUCGGCUUUUAGCCUACGUCCACGGGCGAAAACAGAAGGAAAUAUUUUACUAGUGAAAAGGAGUUACAAGUAUUGUAGUAUUUUAGCUCACUACCCAAAACCCCAAUACACCCAAACUCUCUCAAUCACUGUAACAAGAGCUUAUAAAUGCAAGCUUUUGAACUCUCUCUCAACUCCCUAAAUUGCUCUCUGAAUAGAAUACCUUUGCUCAUUCUCUUCGUUUCUAUUUAUAGAGAAAGCUUUGGCAGUAUGCAGCAAUUCUAUAUUAUUUUUACGUUCUUUUUUCUUCUUUUAAAUGUCAAACCCAUGUGCUCCUUUUCCUUUCCAACUUGCAAAAUUCCUCUUCUUUGAACAACAUGGAUGCUGACCAUCUAGAUGGCUGCUUUAAACCAUCUAGAUGGCUGCCUUUGACACUUCAUUCCAAGCAACUUUAAAAUUAUCCAUCACAUUAUCUGUCAAAAGCUCAAAACCCUUGUCCUUAGCCGUCUGAUAACCUGAACAUGACCGCAUGAACGUGAAGUAAUCAUCUAAAUCCAUCACCUUCUCUAAACAAACUGAUCAAACGGCCCCGUAUUAUCCACCCCGUCCACAGGCUCAAACGGAAAAUCAACGCUCAUGUACUUGUUGUCCACCUAUUUACGUUGUGGUUCCCAAAAUGGCUCACGAUCAACGGUGUCAAAUGGUUUGAAAACUGCUCCUACGGAUUCAUUGAUUUUGAUAAGAAGCUACGCAGAACUAAUCGUGUAGCCAAGCCCAACAGCAAGUACAUGGAAUAUGCAUGGGCACGUCAUUAGCCAUGCAACCUUUGAGAUGAUGAUUUGGAGUUGACUUCUUCAAAUUAUUCGUUGCUAGGAAUAUGCAUGGGCACGUCAUUAGCCAUGCAACGUUUGAGGUGAUGAUCUGGAGCUGACUUCUUCAAAUUAACCGUUGCUUAUUUGGAGGAGAUCUUUCAUGCAAGUAUUUGUUUUGGAAUAAUAGUCAGGUUGUUGAGAUGUUGUUAACGACUUGAUUUAGCUAGCUUUGUUCAAGCCUUGUUUCACGGCUAAGGAAAUUAGUUUUGUAUUAGACUAUAAAUAAGCUCUUUUAUUCAAUAAUAAGAUCAUCAGAUUUUUAUUCCAAAAACAUUAUUUGAGGUAGUUCUCGCCCAAAGAAGAACAAGCAAUUUACUUUGUCAAUUCUGCUAGUUUUGACUGGGACCCCUAUUAGAUUUCGGGCAUGGUGUAGGUCCAUGCGGCUAUUACUCCAUUAGGUUUUUUGAGUACCCAUUUUACUUGUUUGUAAAAUUGAGGCAAGUCAAACCAAUGAAGUGCUGCAGCGAUUGUCACUAGAUCUACACUCGAUUGUGGUUGGAGGAGUAAGUUGAUACCGAAUAUUGGGGAGCUUUAUUGCGAAUUCUAGCUGUUUUGGGCUUGUGUCUGUAGCAAUGACAUUCUUGUAGAUUUUUGCAAGCUGAAGACGUACAAUUGAGAAAUUAUAAAAUAUAAGAAGCGAUAGAAAAAGUAUGAAAAUUUUAGUUGGGCCAAUGGCACUAAAGUGAGAGGUCUCCAUUCCCACUAACUAGGUCAACUAAAAUGGUAGUUUUUGAUCGAUCAGGUGAAGCUUAAAAACGUUUUACCUUACAUGCAUUGUUAUUUAUUUAUGAUCAUAAUUUAUUUCUUUAUUAUUUUCAUUAUUAUUAUUUUUGCUUAAUUUAAUAACUCAAAUCACUAGAGAAUUUUAGUUUUAAUGAUGCGGUAGAAUAUCAUAUACAUACUGGUUUGGCAGCCUGGCCGCUUCCUGUGCCUACAUCCCAUACAAGGUCGUGAUGGGGUGUUUUAGAGGCGAUGAAUUGAAACAAUUCUGAUGGAUAACUUGGCCUACCUUCGGCAUAUUGCUUUGCCUGCUUAAUAAAUAAUUGAUCUGCCAUCUUUAUGCAAGCAAGGUUAAGUAUUCAGAAAUUUUUCGGUGUAAUGAAGAUUAUGAAAUCAGAGGAUAUGCCUAUAUAUGCUUCAAGAAUGGUGAAAACUAAACCUGCUUUAAUCACAUUUAAAAGAAAAAAACAACGGCGGAUCCUUUGCUAUAGCUCUUGGUUUCUUGUUGCAAAGUGGGUGCCUACGAUACAAACGGAACAUGCAUGAGGGCCUAAAGAAGAUGCAAUAAACUAGCUGUAAAUGGACGGAAACAACGUGUGGGCUGCAUUAUGUGGUAAAAUUUAUGGUUGAAAAUUUUAUGUGCCUUUAUUUUAGGUACAAUCAGCUAAUAGAAUUAUGACGUGUAGGUUUUUUUUUUUUUUUUUUUUUUAUAUAGAUGUCAUUUUGUUGGUUGGUACUUCAUAUAUAUAUAUAUAUGUGUGUGUGUGUGUGUGUGUGUGUGUGUGUGUUUUGAAAUGUUCCAGUUCAGAAUCCUACAUUUGUUAAAAUUUGGGAAACCUAUUAAAUUGCGGAGUUUAAUAGUGUAAUGUAUGUGAAAACUAUUAAGCCGUGCAAACUUUAAUGAAGUACUGGAUUCUGGACCAGAUUGAGACUUUAUACACACACACACACACAUUCGAGUACAAGAUCCUGAAUUUGUUAAAGUCUAAGAAAGCUAUUAAGUCGUGGGGUAUAAUAGUGUAAUGUUUGUGAAAGUUAUUAAAUCGUGUGGUUUAAUAAUAUUAUUGGCAUAAUGUUAUUAAACCCCGCGACUUAAUAAAUAGCUUUUUCGGACUUUAAUAAAGUACAGGAUCCUGGAAUAGAAUUUGUCGAGAUACCUUAAUUUCUUAAUUUCGAAUAAUUUAGAUUUACAAGUGAGAAGGUACUUAGAAAAGGAAGAGAGCCAUGCUAUUGCAAAUAAGUCAUUGGAUAAUAUUAUUUGGAUGAAUAACUAUCAAUGUAGUCCAUCAAAAAGAGUCUCAGAAAUUGAUCGAGUAGUUUUCAAAUAAUUUUAUUUGAUUGGCCAUUUGAAUUUGACUUAGGAAGAUAAAGAUUAAAAAAUUAAGUUAAUUUUUACCUACCUCUCCAUUUUUUUAAAGGGCAAGGCUAUUGGAACCCAGAAUAGUACUCUUGACACCCAUGUUUCUGUAAUUUUUUUUUAUUACUUUAAUAGCCUUAAGUGAAAUUACUCAAAAGUUAAAAGGAUAAUAGAUUAAAAUAAUAUAUACACCCAACCUAUUAUGAUUCAUAAAUCUGUCUAUUUUCUUUUCAUAAAUUUUUAUUCAAAGUAAGAGAGAAAGUUUCAUGGUAUUAAACUUGCUAAUUAAUUAUGUAUUCAAGUAUAAUCUUUGCGUUUGUGGUAACUAGUUACUGAUAAUCAGUGCCCCUAAUUGUGCAUUUGGUGUAAAGACACAGAUGCAAGAGGAGAGGCUACGCAAAUACAGUCCUUUGAUCUUUCCAUGUUUUUUAAGUUACAAAAUUUAUACAUGGGUUGAUAAAGAAUGAAUUUUCUCUUUUUCAGUAUUUACAUCACAUUAUUUUCAUUUCCUGUUCAAAUCUUACUAUUGUGCAGCUCGACAUGAAUUUUCUUUUUCUUUUCUUUUUUUCUCUUUAAUCAAAUGAUGGCAAGCAACUCAAAAUUUUGUUGAAUUUUCAGAUGAUUUGAAAGAGUUUUAUCGCCAUUUUUACUUCUAAAUUUUCAUAAACAACAAUUUGUCUUAAUGAAAGGGGAAAAGAAUUCUUCAUGCGUGGGUUUGAAAAUAAAGAAGAAAUAUGAAUAAAGGAGUAAAUUAGAAUUACAUUUAAAAUUUAAUGGGUCUUAAAAGUAAAAACGCGAUUUUUAAAAUUUCACAAUGGGUGUAUUGAGAAAUCAGGUGGAGAGAGUAUUUUUGUGGGUUCAAAUAACCCCACCCUUUUUUAAAACUCGUUAAUAGAACAAAUAUCGGUCGAUCAAAAUGACCAAAUUGUUUGACUUUUUUCUUCUUUACCAACAUUAAUAAUUUCUCUCUCUAAUGCGUUUGUGAUCUCAAGUAGAUAGGACAAGCAAAUGAAUUUGGGAUUAUAAUGAUAAGGAAAAUGCUUAACAUCUCCAAGGUUGAGACACGCUGCCGUUUCGCCUCUCUCUCUCUCUCUCUCUCUCUCUCUCUCUCACACGAGCGCGUGCGCGCGCGCACACACACCCCCAUGACCUUAUGUACGUAAAGUAACUCCCCAUCACAUUUUCAUUCAAAAGCUCAAUAUCCUUAUCCUUAGCCGUACACACACCCCAUGACCUUAUGUACGUAAAGUAACUCCCCAUCACAUUUUCAUUCAAAAGCUCAACAUCCUUAUCCUUAGCUGUCUGAUAUGCAGACCAUGACCUUAUGUACGUAAAUUAACUCUCCAAAUCCAUCGUUUCUGAUAGGUCCCAGUUAGAGUUGUUGUAUCUAUAUAUAUAUAUAAAGCUAGGACUUGAGGAGGUGAUGUGGCAUCACCAUUUUGCUUCUUUGUAUAUUCUCUAUUAUCUAAUAAAUAGAGAUUUUUUUUUUAGAUUUGUCUUUUCAUCUUCUCAUAAUUAAUUUGAUUGUAUUUAACUCAUUUAAUAAAUAGUAACUUUAUUAAUAUAUAUCAUUCCUCAUCUUUUUAUAUUUUCUAUUAUAUAAAAUAUCUAAAAUAUUGAUGGAUAUUCUUUGUACCUUUUUUCUCUUUCUAUUUAAAUUCAACAAUAUGUAAUAAUUAAUAAUAAUUAAUUAUAAGUCUUUUGAAACAUUUAUUUAUUUUAUUAUCCUAGCAAUUAAACUUUAGUGGCAUAAAAUAAAUGAAUUAAUCUAUCUAUCUAUACAUCUAUACAUAUAUAUAAAGUUGGGACUACAAGAGGUGAUGUGGCAUCACCAUUUCUCAUCAUUUCAUAUUGUCUAUUAUUUAAUAAAUUGGUUGAAAUUAAAAAAUAAUUACAUUACAAAAUAUUAAAAUAGAAAAUAAUUAUUAGAUUAUAAAUAAUUACAUGUCUUUUCCUCUUUCUAUUUAAAUUCAACAAUAUGUAACCAUUAAUAAUAAUUAAUUAUAAGUCUUGAAACAUUCAUUUAUUUUAUUAUGCCAACAAUUAAAUUUUAGUGGCUUAAAAUACAUCAAUUAAUUAAUAUAGGAAGGAAUGUUCCUUCAUCUUCCCUCAACAAUGCCAUUAGAGCCUAAUUUUAAUGUCAUAAUCUCAUAUUUAAUUAUUUAAUCUUUUGUUUAGUGUCUUUUGGUUUCUUCAAACUCAAUAAACAUUAAAUAUUUAAGAUUUGUGGCAUCAUUAUUUCUCAUCUUUUUUUAUUCUCUAUUAUCUAAUAUAUUGGUUGAGAUUAAAAAAUAAUUACAUUACAAAAUAUUAAAAAUCUAUAUUUAUAUCUAUAUAUAUAUAUAUAUAUAUCUCUAUAUAUAUAUAUAUAUAAAGUUGGGACUAGAGAAGGUGAUGUGACAUUACUAUUUCUCAUCUUAUUGUAUUCUCUAUUAUCUAAUAAAUUGGUUGAUUUUAAAAAAUAAUUACAUUACAAAAUAUUAAAAAUAAAAAAUAAUUAUUAGAUUAUAAAAGAUUACAUGUCUCUUCCUCUUUCUAUUUAAAUUCAAUAAUAUGUAACCAUUAAUAAUAAUUAAUUAUAAAUCUUGAAACAUUUAUUUAUUUUAUUAUGCCAACAAUUAAAUUUUUGUGGAUUAAAUAUAUCAAUUAAUUACUAUAGGAAUGAAUGUUCCUUCAUCUUCCCUCAACAAUGCCAUUAAGGUCUAAUUUUAAUGUUAUAAUCUCAUAUUUAAUUAUGCAACCUUUUGUUUAGUACCUUUUGACUUCUUCAAACUCUAUAAAUAUUAAGUAGUUAAGAUUUGUGGCGUUAUUAUUUCUCAUCUUGUUAUAUUUUUUAUUAUCUAAUAUAUUGGUUGAGAUUAAAAAAUAAUUACAUUACAAAAUAUUAAAAAUAUAAAAUAAUUAAUAGAUUACAAAAGGUUACAUGUCUCUUCCUCUUUCUAUUUAAAUUCAACAAUAUAUAACCAUUAAUAAUAAAUUAAUUAUAAGUUUUGAAACAUUCAUUUAUUUUAUUAAGCCAACAACUAAAUUUUAGUGGUUUAAAAUACAUCAACUAAUUAAUAUAGGAAGGAAUGUUCCUUCAUCUUCCCUCACCAAUACUCUAUGACCUAAUUUUAAUGUCAUAAUCUCAUAUUUAAUUAUGCAACCUUUUAUUUAGUAUCUUUUGACUUCUUCAAGCUCUAUAAAUAUUAAGCAUUUAAGAUUUGUUAUGUUUGAGUUUUUUUUAUUAUUUAACCAACAUCCUCUUUAGAAAUGUUCUUGUGUUUUUAUUUUUUGACUUAUUUAAAUUUUUAGUAUUGUAUGCUUCAUGGAGUACUAUUUUCUUUAUGAGUUAAACAAUGAUAAAGAUAGUUGGAUGAUAAAGGUUAGGCUUUGUAAGAUGUGAGAGUCUGUUAAUACCAAGAAAAAUGGAGAGUUGAUUAGUGUGAACAUAAUUUUUAUUGAUGAAAAGGUUGUGUACACUUAACUAUACACAUGAAUAUAUAUUUUUAAUGUUAAUAAAAAUAAUUAACUUUCAUAAAUAACAUUAGUUUUAUAAGACUGCGUCAUCUUUAAAAAAAAUAAUUCAUAUUUUUUUAUCAAUUUCAUCAAUUACAAAGUAAUAAAAAAAUAAUAUUAAUUUUUUUUUAAAGCCGCACGAAGUGCGGUUCUAUUUCCUAGUUUUGUAUGUAAAUAGGAUUCUACUUAAGGCGAGAAUCAGCCACAAGAAUUUGUUAUUGAAUUCACUCUUUUCUUUAUUCUGCAUAAUACUUGAGUUUAAAUACAUAAAGGACUAACAGACUCCUCCUAAAAUAAUGUCACAACUAUUGAAAAUCAGUAACUGAAUCCAGAUAAAGCCGGCACCUAUUAAAAUAACAAAAUACUUGCUAACAGAACUUAAUUAAGCCUUAACUUGCACGUGACUAAGCUGACCACUCCACUAAAUCCACUAAAUUCUCAACGGCUCCAUGCAUUCUUGACUCAUUCCUUUUAGACAGUGAACUUGCAAUUCUUGAUGGGCACACGUUGAGACUUUCUUGGCUUAUCAGUUUCCUCUAUAGCAAACUGAUCAAACGGCCCCGUACUAUCCGCUCCAUCCACAGGCUCAAAUGGAAAAUCAAUGGUCAUAUACUUGCUGUCCACCAACUUACGUUGUUUGUGGCUCCCAAAACGGGUCAGAAUCAAACGGUGUAAAACGGUUCGAAAACUACAUCAACGGAUACGUUCACUUCUGGGACUAUGUUGCGCCAUGUAGCUAUUACACGAUGGGUUUUUUGAGUACCCAUCUAACUUGAUUGUAAAACUGUGGCAAGUAGAACCAGUGCAUGGCUUGAGCAGUCGUCACCAGAUCUACGGUUGAUUGUGCUGCCACGUUUUGUUCAAGCUCAGCUGUAGACAUGGCCGGUGGAGUGACCUGAUAUCGAAUAUUUGGUCGCUUUGUUGCGAAUUCUAUUUGUUUGGGGCUUGUUUCCAUGCCAAUAACAUUUUUGAAGAUCCCGGCUAACGGAAAUUUACGUGCAUAAGACUUUUCGUUACCAAUGUCAUAUCGCUUAAUUCAUUAAGGUAGCGUUUACUUUUUGGAUUGGAUUGGGAAUCCUGAGGAGUGGGAAUCCUAGGAUUGAGAGUGUGGAGUGGGAGUGGGAAUAGGUUGUUUACUUACACUAGAAUGGAAGUAUGGAAUAAAGAUCAUAAUCUAAUUUAUGUGUUUAUUUUGUCUUGGAUUGGGAGUAAAUAAUUUUAAAUUACAAUUUUAUCCUUAUUUAAAGAAUUAUAAUUUUUAAUUACAAAACUAAUAAAAAAUAUAUUUAAUGAAUAAUAUUUAUUUUAUUAUAUUUGUAAAUUUAUUAUAAUUAUUAAUAUUCUUAAUUAUGAACAAUAAAUUAUUAAUUUUAAUAUAAAAUGAAACCUUAUUUUAUUUAAUAUAAUUAUAUUAAAUUUAUUAUUAUAUAAAUAAUAAUAUAAUAUUAUUUAGUAAAAAAUUAAUAUUUUCUUAGAAUAAACUAUUUAUUAUUAUUAAUAUUAAAUAAAUAUAGUACUAUUAUUUUUAAAAUAAAUAUAAUAAUAUUUUAUUUAUUAAUUCUCUAUUAAUAUAAUAAUAUUAUUUUAAAAUAAUUUUAACUUAUAAUCAAUGCAAAUUAUUAUUUAGUUAAAUAUAAUAUUAUUAUUCAAAUAAAUAUAAUAUUAUUAUUCAAAUAAACAUAAUAUUAUUUAUUUUAUUUUAUUAAUUAUAAAAUAUUAAAUUAAAAAAAAUAAAAGGGUAAAAAAGGGAGAGGUGGGAGUGGAUUCCCACUCCCACCUCCCCCAAUGGGAGUCCCACUCCCACUCCCCACUCCAAAAAUGGGUGGGGCCUGGGAUUCCCACUCCCUUCCUAUUUUAAGGAAGUAAACACGGGAGUGGGAGGAAUCCACACUCCUCACUCCCACUCCAGCAAGUAAACACAGCAUAAAAGGUAGCACAACACUAUUUGAACACAGUAAUUCUCUCUACACCUUUUUUUUUAAUUUAAAAUUUUAUUAUUUUAAUAAAUUUUAAAAAAAACUUAAUUAAACCUUUCUUCUUUAUUUCUUCUCAAUUUCACAAAAUUCUCAUCAAUUCAUUUAGACGUACUCUUUUAGCUAUAAAUAAUUAGUAUCACUAACUAAGAGGGAAAAAAUCCACUAUCUAAGGAUGAACAUCAAUAGGGGUGGAGAAUUUUAUGUUACCCCGAGCUAAACUAAACAUUUUGAAGUGAGCAUAAACAUUCAUAAGUAACAUCAAAUAAAGGGGACAUGAAAAAUUUUAUGAAUACACACUCUAAACAAAAAUAAUUAUAGAAAAUUUAUAGAAAACAAAUGAUAAUUAAAAUAUAAAAACACUGUUUUUCGAUUAUGGAAUCUGACAUUGCAAUCUAUAAUAACAUAUAAUUAUAUAAGAAUUAAUAAAUCAAUUAAGAAUUUCAAGAUAAAAUAAAUCAAUGCAUGUAAUUACAAUCAAUUAAAAUUUGUAAGUAGAACUUGUAUUGAAAAGUGCUUAAUUACCAGGUUUAAAUAAAUUAAACAAUUAAAGUUUAUUUAUACUUUUAAAUUACAAAAAUUUAUUAGUCAAAAGUUUCAAUAAUAAACUAAACUCAAUCUACCAAAAAGGUAUUUACGUGUCGUUAUUUAUGUGUUGGCAUUCUUAUUCUCUUUAAAAAACCAGAUGCUAAUGAUUUUUCUAUCAAAAACUCCUCAAAAUACUCAAAUUUUGUUUUCUAACUUGUUCUCUUAAAUAAUGUAGCUAAUAAAUAAAAUCUUGAAAUUCACAUAAAAAGUUUAUGAAAAUGUUGAUAAUUGUUAUUAUGUGUUUUUUAGUACUUUUAAUACUAGUGAUAAUUUUAUUUACAUUGACAUACUUUUCUUUCAAUUAGAAUUUUUGAAAAUAAAUUAAAGCAGUAACAACAUUUUAGACCACCAAUGUUUUCUAUCUAUUCAAUAAAUAUAUGAUUUUAUCAUUUUAUAAAAUAAGUCACUAAUUUCAAUUAAAAAAAUGUUAUUGAAUUAGGGAUAUAUUUGAAAAUAAAAUGAAAACUCUAUCUUUAUUUAAAAUUAAUAAAAAAUAUGGGAUAUAAAUGAUUUUUUCUAGACUAAAAGUGUGCCACUAAACAUCAACAAACUUUUAUUAGUCAUAAAAGUUUAUGAAUAUAAAAAAAAUGUUAUAUAUAGAAAGGAUGAAAUAUAGAUUAUGAUAUAAUAAAAAAGAUUAAAAAUAAACUUAAAAGAGAUUAAAUUUGAGUGUUUAGUUUAUAAAAUAGAGAAAUUAUCAUUCAUAUACCCUAUAUUUGCUCUGUUAUCAAAAAUACUACAACACUUUGAGGGUGUAUCAAUCGUCCACCCUUAGUUGACAAAAUGUAUCAGCCGACCACCAAACCGUUAGUUGCCGUUUGAAAGUUAACGGAGUUACAAUGAAUUGACGAAUUUACCCUUAAAAAUUAUCACUUGUAUACCUUUAAAUUAUCACUUGUAUCAUAUGAAAAGACCAAAUUAUCCUUCUGACGUCAUCAUACUUAAACGGCAACUAACAGUUUGGUGGUCAGUUGAUACAUUUUGUCAACUUAGGGUGGACGAUUGAUACACCCUCAAAGUGUUAUAGUAUUUUUAAUAAUGGAGUAAACUAAGGGUAUACAAAUGAUAAUUUCCCUAUAAAAUAUAAGAGUAGAGGAUAAUAUAUAACAAUAAGUUAGAAAGAUAAAAUAAUUAUUAUAAGAUAAUUAUAAGAUUUUUUAAUAAUAAAUUUAAUUUUUUUUUUAAAGAAAUAAAUUUAGUUUUUAAAAUAAGUGUAGAGAGAAAUUUGAUGGGUUUAAAUAUUGGGAGACGCGUCAUGUGAUGAAAGUAAUGAAGCAACGAGACAUCUCAAUGUGCUGUUUUCCCAACCUGCACUUCAAGCUUAAAAUAAUGAAGUGAUUCUUUGGUAAUAAAAAAAAAAAAAUGAAGUGAUUCUUUGGAUUGGAUUUUGGGGCCCGAAUAGUAAUAUUGGCCCGGAGGACUUGUGAGACUGUAGAAUUUGGUCCAUGUUUUGCGCUUAUCAAAUGUCAAUAGAACUUUGUUUAAAAAGAAGGUGUUGCAACGCCAGUUUGAUAAUGUCUUAAUUUUUAAAUUAGUUAAAUAUUUAUUUAUAUUUUUAUAAUAAAUAUAAAUAACUGAAAUAUAUAUAAUAUCAAACAAAAUUUAUUAGUAUAUUUAUAAGCAUGGUUAUAUAAUUUUUUUAAUGUUUAUAUAAAAUAAUUGAUAACUAAAAAAAACAUUUAUAUUUGUUUAACAUUAUUUCUUUGUUUAGUUAUUUUAAUAUAAAUGGUAAUAAUAUUGCACAUAAAUUUAAUAAUUUUAUUUUCUAGUGAGUGUGUGUGUAUUUAUAUAUGGAGUUUAAAAAUAAUUUUCAAAAUUAGAUUUGAAAAAGAUAUUUCUUCCAUACUUUUUAAAAUUUUACCUUAGAAUUAAGUGAUUUUCCCAAAAGUUAUUUUUUAAAAAAUUUAUUAAAUAUUAAAAUUAAUUUUUAACUUUUUAAAAUUAUUUUUAAACCUUCCAAAAACAACUCCAAUCGAGCCUUUAAUAGGAUAAUUUUUAUACAUGGGACAAAUUGGGGCUAAACUAAAAAAUCUUCAUCUAUUUGGUAAGUUUGUUUUAAUGAAAAACUAGCCAAAUAGUUAUAAGUUAUUGCUCUUCGUUUGUUGCAAAUAUUAUAGUAUUUCCGUUAUCACUCGUCGAGCUGUGAAAUUCUUCGAUAAAAAUAAAAUACAAAUUUGACUAGGCUAUAAUAUAAAAUCUAUAAAAUUGAAGAUGCCAACAGCAGGGGUUAUAAUAGAUAGACUAUAAAGUUUGAUAGUCUAUUACAAAAUUAAAUAACAAUUUAAUGGACAAAACGUAAAAUUGUGAUUAAAAAAUUAACUUCCAUAUUCAUCUUAUUAUUUGACGAAUUUUCAACAGGAACAACAUACAACAAGGUUAUCCUUCUCUUUGGACUAGGUGUUGAUUUUCGUAUUUUUACUGUUUAUUGCUCAUUGAAUCUUUUUUCUUUUUCUUUGCUUACUACCAGGGUUCACCUUUCCUUAGCAUAUGAAAUUGAUACAUUUUAUUUUUUCUGGUUUUAGUUUUUUUUUUAAUUACUUAAUUGUAAGACUAGUUUAGAAAAUUCAAGUGAUCCUGCCCACACUCCUAGACUAUAGGCAUGAGUUUUUGAUACCAUAAUAAAUAACAUAUGAAUUUUAUUAGUGUGAAUUACGCCUGGGGUUUAGCAUCUUGAAAUUUACCCACACUCAAAUUAAGCGUACUGGCGAAAUUACAUCCUAGAGUACUUCUUUUGCCCCCUUAACGUAAGCUUAAUUGGCUAGCUGCGAAUAUAUUUGGUGCCAUGUUACCUAAGUUCAAGUAAAGGGAGCCAUAAGUUCAAGUAAAGGGAGCCAUCAGGCUUUAGCCCAGUGGUUAGAAGCCAAAUCUCAUAAUUGUGAGGUCAUAGGUUCAAAUCCCCACAAUGUAUUAUGGGGAUUUAAUUUCAUUUAUCAAUUUGAGUGAAAAUAAUCUUCUCCCUUUCAAAAUAUAAGUGGAGUAGACAUCUCUUAAAUAUUAGAGAUGGUAAAAAUAUAGGCGGUGCUUUAUAAGAAUUAAUGUAAACUAGUCCCAGUAAUUGUAUGAUUUGUAAAUAUCAGUUAUAAUCUCAUGUAAUAUGAGUUGUACUCUUGAGCAAUUUAUAAGAAUUAAUGUAAACUAGUUCCAAUAAUAGUCUGAUUUGUAAAUAUCAGUUAUAAUCUCAUGUAAUAUGAGUUGUACUCUUAAACAAUAGUCUCAUGAAAAAAAAAAGAAAAAAGUAAAGGGUCUGGCUAUGUUACGAAAACCGUGUCAUACGGAACUUUGAUAUGACAAGGGAAGGUUGGUUAGCUUGGCACGUGUAGCAUUAAAAAUAAGGAAAUAAAUUAAAAUAAUAGAUUUGUGUCUCGUAAGGAAGAACAAUUCUACUAUUUACCCCGGGUCAAACCCCGAAAGCAAUAAACGACGACGUUUCAAUCACUUUUUUUUUUCCUUUCAUUCAAGCUAAAACGACAUCGUUUUAGCUUGGUUAAGGUAAAAUUGUUACAGCCCCAAAUUGCUUUCUCUUUCUCUUCGUCUCACAACCUUUUGCCUUCUAUUUCUCUGUAAAACCACUGCUUUCUCUUCCCCUUCGUUUCAUAGCCACCAUCACGCGUACCCAACCAUCGGCACCCACCACACUGACAGCCAUCAGUUUGACAACCACCAUCACACAGGGUUCCAUCACAUAUGCCCAGCCAUCGGCACCACCAAAAGACAAAAAGGAAAGUUUGAACAAGGAUGAGUGUCGGCAUUGUCAUUGAAGGAUGAGUUUUAGCAUUUACGGUAGUUGCGAAAAUUUUCUAACUGAAGAUUGAGUUUCGGCAUCUACCCUUGAAAGUUGAGUUUCGAUUUUACGUGGCUUUCCCAGUAGCUAAGGUCCUCUCUUCUUUGGCAGUUGCUUAUUUUCGAAGCUUGAAUUUUACUUGAAUUUGGCAAAAUUAGUUUUUCUUAUAUAUAUUAGGGAAACUAGUUAGCUUUCUACAGUGAAUAGAAGACUAUCCAACUAGUUGGGCAUGUGUGAUGGUGGUUGUGAAACGAAGGGGAAGAGAAAUAGAGAAAUAGAGAAAUAGAAGGAGAAAGGGGCUGUGAGAUGAAGAGAAAGAGAAAGCAAUUUGGGGUUGUUGUGAGACGGAGAGAAAGAGAGCAAUUUGGGAUUGUUGUUGAUUUUGCCUUAACCAAACUAAAACGACGUCGUUUGAGGGAUAAUGGAAGGAAAAAAAAAAGGAUUGAAACGGCGUCGUUUAUUGUUUUCGGAGUUUGACCCAUGGCUUGACUUGGGGUAACUAGCAUUUUCCAAGGAAGAAUGGUGUUACCUGCUGCUGACAGAUUACAAGUAAUUAACUUUGAAAUGUGGGCCAAUUUAGACAGCCCAUUUGAGAAGAUGGAUUUGAUGGAAGGCCAAAAUAUCCCUUUCCAUUAUCUAAUGAUAUCCCAACUAUUUAUAAGCAGAUGCAACCCAAUUAUUGUUUUCGGCAAUGGACUAGAUUCCCUUUAUUUUAGUAUAAUUUAUGAAUUACUGAUAAUUAGAAGAGAUAUAUUAAUAUACACAUUUGGUUAGAUGAAAAAUUGCAGCCAAAAACAGAAAACACUCGUAUACCGCAUAACAUUUAUCUCUUGGUAACAUUUGAAAUAAAAUUCUGAUUGUAAAUAAAAUGAUGUAUAAAUAAUGUCAAGGAGAAAGUGAAAUAUUUUGAGUUAUGAUAAUUGUACGUAGAGCUGGCAAAAUUUGACAUGACUUGAUUACCCGACAUGAAGAUGACACGAAUAAAUGGGUAUGGAUCGUCAAAUUUGAUCUGAUUAUUUUCAAUUUUCGAACAAUUGGACCAACUCGAACCAUGUCACCUAGAAAAUGAGCAUUUAAUGUACACUUUAGUAUGCUGCUUUUGGUAAGAAGAGGUCUAGAGGCACAAGGAAUCAUAAGUACGGGUGGGACUUUUGGUUUUCGAUUCGAUUUUUUUUUCAGUUUUUGAUUCGGUUUGCAAUCCAUUCAAGUUUAAGAAGUCAACCCAAAUAGGUUGGGAAAUUAUUUUAGUUCGUUACGGUUUGGUUUCAAAUUCGGUUUGGUUUAGUUCGAGUUCAUAUUCCAGUUCGGUUUUGGGUUGUGAAUUUCGCGUUCAGGGGCAUAUCCAGGAUUUUAAAGUACCUUGGACUAAAUUUAAAAAAAAAAACAUUAUAUUGUAAAGUGAACAUAAAAUUUUAUAAGAAAAAAAUAAAAUACACAUAAUAAGAUGAGGACAUUAGAAAUCUUACACUAAAUAAUAAUUACUUUAAAUAAAAUAAUUAUAUAAAAAUAGAAAAUAAAAAUGUGAUUCAAAACAAAAAUAUAAUUAAAGUUGUACUUUUCGCGGCUUCAAACAAUAGAAUUCAUCAACAAUGGAUUCUGAAUCAAUAUUAUCUAAAAUUUCUCUUUCAGCAUAGACAACCAUACAAUUUGAAAGAAACUUAUUUUCCAUCUUAUUGCAAAAUGAUGUCCUAAUAAGGCUCAUGGCUGAAAAUGCACGCUCUGUUGUGGCUGUAGACACUGGAAGAGUCAACACUAGACGAAUUACAAGCUUAAUUAGCAUGCUUAAAUAAAUUAAACAAUUUAAUUUUCUUCAUCUUUUCCAUUUAAACAAAUAUUAGUAGUUAAAAAAUAACAAUAAUAAAUCAACUCAAAUUGAUAAAUCACAAACUAAUUACAAAAAAAAAAGCCAAUCAAACAUUCAAAAUAAUAUGUAAAAUAAAUCAAUAAAAUCUGUCUAAAAAAAUAAAUAAUUUAUGCAAGUUCUAAAAGUAUAGUAACAUAUGUAGAAAAAUGUAUAAACCGUAAAGAAAUUGGAAGAUAUGAACGGAUAAUGAAUUGUGAUUUAUGAAGCAGUGAAGGUGAAUUGAUGAAGAAUGAAGAAUCAUGAAGGGUUUGGAAAUUUUUUUGUUUUUUCUAAUGGUGUUGGUGGAAGUAAAGGAAAAAUAAUAAUGAUGGAUGGCAUUUGCGUAAUUAAUAAUUGAUGGUAUAUUCCUAAUUAACAAUGAAUGGCAUUUUCGUAAUUUUAAUCAAACUAACUGAAUAUUUUUUUCUAUACCGGGCUGCCCACUAACAGAUCCGCCCCUAUUUGUGUUGCAAAAUAGUUUGGGUUAAUAAUUCAGUAUGGAUCGGGUUGGGUUAAUAAUUCUGCUCAGACCAAGAAUAGCCAAAGAUAAACAAAUUAAAUAGAAAAAUGAUGAAAUAUUCAACAAAUGAUGAAAUAUUCAGGUUACCAAAACACCAAGUUCAAAAUAUCCCAAUACAAAAUACAAAUUACAACAAUAAAAGAAAACAACAACAAAGAAAUUACAACAAUUACUUUUUGUAGUUGCAUUGUUCAAUGAUGAUAAUUGAUAAAGCAAGCAACUGGGCCACUAUACAUAAGUUUCAUAAUUAAUUAAACUAAUAAAUAUAUAGAAAUUAGCUUUCUCCAUGCAUUAUCUGAUCAACAUAUUCUGUCCUAUCUUUCCUAUCAUUUACAAGAAAAAUUAAACAUGAUGUUAUAUAUUUCAGCUGCAGCGCAAUAUAGUAUUAGUACAUGACAAAUAAAUUGUCAUAGAUUUAAGUUGCAACCACUAUAUAGUACACAACAAAUGUAGCCAAAUCAAAAAAAUUUAAACAAAAAAGGCAAGAAAAUGCAGUCAAGCAAACAAACUUUGUAGUUGAAUUACCAUGUGUGAAGAGUCGACGACAAGGUCAAGUCGUUGGCGAACUUGUGAGAGGAAAGAUGAGGUGCUGUCUUGGUGAGGGCAACCUAACAGCAAGCUGUAGUUGUGGCUCGUGGGUUGAUUUCAAAGAGAAGACUAGAGAGUGAGGCUGUGCUGAUAGUGCUGAUGUGUAGCAGCAGUGUGGACCAGUGGAGGAACCGCUGGGUUCAGGUUAGGCUGUGGCUGAGUUAGAGUUGGUUUUGUGCUUGUCAAAUUGUGAAUUGGGGAUUGGGUUUGUGAAUUGAAAUUGGGUAUGCGUGAUGUCUUGAGUGCAAUUGGAAUUGGGUUGCCCUUUUUUUUUUAAAGAGUUAAAAACAAAUCGAAUUUCAAAAUCGAUCGAACUUGAAGAUGUAACCCAUUCAUAUUUUACGGUUGACCCGAACCAAAACGAAAAUCGAAUAAAAUUUGACCUGAAUAGAACAACCACUCCUAAUAAGUAGGGGUUAGUUAGUAGAGAUGAGAGAUUCUAGAGUAUCUCUAUUGUACUACACCUACUUCAUAUAUGUAUGACCUGUGUGUAUGAAUUAAAUAUAAUUACUAAUUAUAAGAUGAUUCAAAUUAGAAUACAUAGAUUAUACAGAUAUUAAGUGAAUUAGUACAACUCAUAGUUUGGAGGAACCUGAUGGUGUUGGUGACCGAACAAACCAUAAAUUCUCUCACUCAUCUUUUGGAUACACAUUCAUGAUUUACCAUUGUCUUGUACGAACGGAGAUGUACGACUGUUUCUUGAUAGCAUGAUUUGUAAAGUAGAUACUGAUAAAACAGGCCUAAGCUUCGAGAAAUUUAUGAUAAUUCGAGUCAAGAUAGAAGGCUACAACUUAAAGAUGGUGCACUUGUAUCUGCUUUUUGCAUUGUUUAUGAAAGAUUUCCUAUUUUAUGUUUUUAUUGUGGUAGAAUUAGGUAUAUGUAAAGUGAGAGUUCAGAGCUUAAUUUCGAUGUUAUAGUUCGUACCACUCAAAGUGCAAGAUAUAUGGCUUAUGGAUGUCGGAACCAACUUUUGUGGAAAUGACAAAACCUGCCACGAGCAUAGCCAAUGAACAAGAGAAUGUCCCAGCUCCAUUUUCGUGAUGAAUGAAAAUCUUCAGGCUGCACCAUUGAGGCAAAAGAAUAAUUUAAGAUGGAGGAAGAUAUAACAAAUUAAUGCAUAUAUAAAUGUAGAAUUAAAUUUAAUAUAACUGUUAGCUUAUGUGGCUAUAAAUAUUGAUUUUAAUGAUAACAAACCACAUGUGUUAGUUAAACAAAGAUUUAUGAAUUGUACUUUUAUAAUAAGAAAAUGAUUUUAUGGAAUUAAAGUGUUUUGGACUAAAAUGAAAGUAUUUUAUAAUCUUUGAUAUUGUUUUAAAAUUUUGGAUUUGAACCUAUUUGAAAAUAUUUAAAUAUUUAGGGUCAUUCUAUAAUUUCACAUAGUUUGGGUGAUAUCAUAAUUUUAGAAAGUUUUGGGAUUGACAAAGCAUUAUUUAGAAAUUAUGAAAUUGGAGCUAUUUGAAAACUUUCAUAACGUUUUGGGUCAUAAUAUAAUUUUAUAAAGUUUGGGAUUAAACUGUAAUUUUAGAAAAUAGUUUACUGUAGCAGUUACUAUAGCAAGCGGCUAACCGGAUAUGAUAAGGGGCUAUCCAGAUUUUGGGCAGUAAGCUUCUGGAGCAUAAACGGCUAUCCGGAUAUUGUAAGCGGCAUGCCAGAUGUUCUAAAAUUUAAAUUUUUGCCUUAACGGUAACAUACAAGCGGCUAACCGGAUUCCAUAAAUGGUAAGCCGGUUAUGACCAAAAUGUGCAUAAUGGCUAGUUUUUGUGCUCAAACUAUAUAAAUUCAAAUCCAAUUCAUUUUCAAGCUCUCUUGCAAGCAAAAUAAAAAAGCACACAACAUUCAUUGAGCUCUCAUUUCGCAAAUAAAAAAACCUUGAAUCAUCUUUUGUUCUUCAAGUUGUAUAUCUACUCUUUAAGAGAGUUUUUAUUGUAAUUUUUAAUUCCUCAUCUUAAUUAUGAGUGUUUGAGUGUGUGAGACACUUGAGUGAAGAGAUUGAGAGAUAAUCUCUUUGUUGUAAAGGUUCAUUGACACCUUGAAGUCAAUUGUAAACAUUUGAAGCCUUGAAAGGCUUGCAUAGUGAAAUCCUCAAGUUUGGAUCGCUUGGAGGCGUGGACGUAGGCGGGGAUUGCCAAACCAUGUAAAAUUCGUGUGUUUGUUUCUCUUCUCUCUUACUCAUUUGUUAUUGUGCUUUUAUUGAACUUAUUGUUUUCGAAUUUAUUAAGGCGUUAGAUUGGAUUAUUGUGUGGUUUUGUUACGAUAAGUUUUUAAAAUACCCAUUCACCCCCCUCUUGGGUUGCACACUUGUAUUUCAUUUGGUAUCAGAGCAAGGUGCUUUUGUUUAGACUUAACCGUCGAGAGCUAAAGAUCAAUGGCAACUCAUAAUGAUUCUACAUUUAGGGAAGGACAAUCCACCACUAGACCACCAUAUUUUGAUGGAAACGAUUACCCGUAUUGGAAAACUAGGAUGAGAAUUUACUUGCAAGCUUUAAAUUAUGAAAUUUAGGAAAUCGUUAAUGAUGGUCCUUUCAUGCCUUUAACUAAAAAUGAAGUCGGGGAAGAUAUUCCAAAACCUUCACGGGAAUGGAACGAAUUGGAAAAGAGAAAAGCUUCUCUAAAUUCCAAAGCUAUGAAUGCCUUGUUUUGUACACUAGAUAAGAAAGAGUUUCAUAGAGUGUCUAGUUGCGAAAGUGCUAAUGAAAUUUGGCACAAACUUGAAGUUGUUUAUGAAGGCACGAAUCAAGUGAAAGAAUCUAAAAUAAGUAGGUAUACUCGACAAUAUGAAUUGUUCCAAAUGGAACAAAAUGAGAGUGUGUAUUCUAUGUAUACUAUAUUCACGAACAUAGUGAACACUCUAGGAGCCCUAGGAAAGACCUUUUCAAAUAAUAAGAAAGUUAAGAAAAUCAUUAGGUCGCUACCUAAAGAAUGGAGACAAAAAAGGACUGUCAUUGAGAAAGCUAAAGAUUUAAAUACAUCACCUAUUGAUGAUUUAAUUGGUUCUCUCAUUUCAUAUGAAGAAGAUUUGGCAGCAGAAAAAAGGCAUGAAGAAAAGAAGAAAAGCAUUGCUCUCAAAGCCUCAAAACGUGAGAGUGAUGAGGAAAGCGAGAUGAAUGAUGAGGAGUUGGCUAUGUUGGCUAGAUGAUUCAGAAAAUUUUACAAGAAGAAUAAUGAGCAGAGAAAGUUUAGAAGUCACAAAAACAAAAAGGAGAAGAACGAGCCAAUUACUUGCUAUGAAUGCAAGAAGCCCGGACACAUAUGACCGGAAUGUCCUCUCCUCAACAAAUUCAAGAAGAAAGCUUUGGUGGCCAGGUGGGAUGAUAAUGAUGAGGAAACAAGCGAUGAUGAAGAGCAACAAGAGAUGACAAAUUUAGCUCUCAUGGCCUUUGGGGAAGAAUCAUGUAAUGAACUUGAUGAGGUAAGUGUUCUUCCUACAUAUGAUGAAUUACAUGAUGCAUUUAAGGAUUUGCAUGAUAAAUUGAUGAAGAUUGGUAAAAAGAAUAUAUGUCUUAAAAAGAAAAUGAUAGAGCUUAAAAAUAAAAAUGAAUCAUUUAGUGCAAAGAUUACAUGCCUAUAAUUAGAGAAUAAAACAUUGCAUAAUAGAGUUGUAUUAUUUGAGAAUUCUAGCCAUUCACAUGAGCACUUAGAGUCACACGUGAAUGACUUGAAAAAUGAAAUGCUUAGAAAGAAGAACAAUGAACUAAAUGAGAUUGUGCUAAAAUUCACAAAUGAGCAAAAAAUGUUGGAUAACUUGCUAAACUCACAAAAAUAUGUAUUUGACAAAGGAGGCAUUGGUUAUAAGCCAAAUUUGAAACAAAAAUAUUACAAGAGUUAUUUUGUGAAGAAUAUAUGUAUUAACAAUCAAAUUGUAUGUCAUUAUUGUAAUCAAGAUGGUCAUAUGGAAAAUAGAUGUCUAGUGAAGAGAAAUGCAUAUUAUGGUGUGAAAUGUGUUUGGGUUCCGAAAAGAACCAUUGCUAACUCUCAAGGACCCAAAAAAGUUUGGGUACCUAAAACUUGAGAUUUUCUCUACAGGGCUUAAAGAAGAAGAAGAAUAAGUGGUACUUGGACAGUGGUUGUUCAAGACACAUGAUAGGGAAUUAUUCUUGGUUUUCAAGUUUUACCAAGAUCGAAAAUGGUAGAGAUGUAUCGUUUGGAGAUAAUUCAAAAGGAAAAAUCAUUGGCAUUGGCAAUGUCGGUAAUGUAUCCUCAACUCUCAUUGAAAAUGUAUGUUUGGUUGAAAACUUAAAACACAACUUGCUUAGUAUUAGUCAUUUAUGUGAUAAAGGAUAUAGAGUUAUCUUUGAUGAAUCAAAAUGUGUUAUUGAGAAUGCAUGUAAUGGGAAAGUUUUGUUUGUAGGAAAUAGAUGUGUUAAUGUCUAUACCAUUAAUAUAGAUUGUGCACCUACAAAUGAUAAAUGUUUCUCCGCAUUGCAUGAUGAUGGUUGGUUAUGGCAUAGAAGAUUAGGUCAUUUGAGGAAAUAGAGCUUUAGGAUCGUAUUCUUGUGGGUUGAUUUCUUCUUUCUCCUCCGACGAUGAGUCUUUGUUGGUAGAUUUUUGUAAUCAAAUGCUAUUGAUACCAAUGUGCAAGUGUACACAACAAGUAAUAAAGUGAUGAAUAUUCAAGAUCGUCUCCACAAGGAUUGAUGUCACUAAAAAUGCUACAGCAAUCACAAUAGUGCAAUCUAACUUAAGUCCGAAGUUAACAAAUGUAAAGUAGGUUCUAUUGAAAUUGAUAUUUGUGAGAGAAUAAAAUAAAACAAUGCAGUAAUGAAAUAAAUUAAAUUAAAUGUGUCUAAGAUUCAAUUGAGAAUAUGGUAGUUGAAUGAUCAAACUCUCUUUAUGGGCUAACAACUUUUCAUUAAGUUAACACAGUUGUUACAACAAUUGCUACAGCACAGGGCAGAAUUAGUCUGCAUCCUCAGCUGUCGCGUGUUGGAACUCUCACACCCUUAAGUAUAUUAGCAAUGACCAGUUGCUAUUCUACCUACGGCAUGGCCUUAUGACCCUUUAGUCUCUCCACCCUACAAGGUGAGUACCUAUGUCUAGUUUGUCACAAAUCUUAACUUCAAGUAUAGCUCUUAUGGGAUUCAAGAUAACUUAAUUCAGGAAACUUAAAUUAAGAUCAAGUAUUACUCUAAUAAUAUCCGCUAAGACAUGCCCUUUUGCGGCUCUAUCUUAACUUGAACUAUUAAAUGGGUGGUCAACCGAAAUAACAGUUAUAACAAUAGCUACUAGAGUAAAAUGCUACAACAAUGACAUAGCAACUCAUAAGAACAGUCAAGAACCCAUUAGAUUGUUUGUCACUCAACUACAAGAAAAUCUAGUUCAUAUUCUGAAAGAGAAAAACAAACAUCAACAUAUUGUUCACGGGAUACGUUAGAUCAGUCAAAUAAAGAAGAAAGGUAUAAGUUGAGAACGGUAAAAAGUAAAUCCAAAUAACUCUGCGGGAUUUUUCAAUGCUACUGAAGCCGUCCUCUUGAAUUAUGAUAUUCUUUUUCUUUUUCUCUCUAAUGUGUUUAAUGAUAAUUCCUUGCCACCGUUUUAUGUGGUGCGCGCCACCUUUUAUAACUAAAAACUAGGGUAACUAAAAACUACUGCAUAUCACAAUUCUGUAGUUGACCCGUACUAAGUUUUCUCCCUCAGUACUCUAGGAUUGCUGCAGCAAUGGUUGCUCUAGCAACGGCUAGAACACUGCACUGUUCUUUGUUGUGCUUAACUUCUUUUGUGGCCAUAUUCUUUCCUCCUCUUGCUGGUCUAUUAUCUCAGCAUCCCUUCAUGAAUUAUAAAUUUCUGAAAACCUACAGUUAUGCACAUGUUUUGAGUACAAAUUAAUUUAAUUCAAGCAAAACUUAUUAAGACUCACUAAAAUGAAUGUUUAUGCAAAAUAUAACCAAAAUAUAAUAAAAACACCUCAAUUACUCUCUAAGUGAUCUUGAUUUAAGUCUAGAAUUGUUGUAAUAACUCUUAUUUCAUAGAGUUAUCACACCCCCAAACUUAAACCGUUACUUGUCCUCAAGUAAUGACAACAUACUAACACUUCACGCAAACAAUCAUGCAACACACAACUUAGCUCUUUUAUCAAAUUUGCAAGGAUUCUUCCACCUUCAUAUCACAAACCCAAUCAUGCAAAAUGACCAUAGUAAAUCAGUUCUAGAUUUAAGCUUCCUUCUGUCCACAGUGUGUGUGUGUUACUUUGAUUGAAUUCUAGAGAUGCUACAACAUUACCAAGAGAUUGCAUGUAAUUCAGCAGUAACACAAUUUUAUUCAUAUAUGGGGUAGCAUAAAUCUCUCAUACUCAAACUGUGCUGUCUUUAAGAAUGAAAACUUGAGAGUAUUUAACCACCUCACUGCAACAUUUAUUUUUCAUGUGAAUGCCAAUCAAUUGUAAUGAUGACACCCAAUUACUCAAACCAUGCACAGAUUAGAGACGCUGUAGCAAUAUCUGUAACAUAAUCUUAUCUAGAGAUAUCUUUUACUCAAGGCUAAACAUGGGGUUCAUGAACAUACCUGGCUACUCAAUAUCCUAGACAGAGGACUUCCUUGUAUUAUUGUCUCACUUUUCUCACUUUUUUUUUUUAACAAAGGUAAUUGCUACAACACUGCUCAUAAUUCUUGUUGCCUUUGAACGCAACUCUGCAUAUGGGGUACAUACUCAGUUCUGGUUACUCAGCAACUUGAACCAUAUUUCAUAGCCAGCACAGUCAAUCAAACUUCCCCCCCCCCCCCAAAACUUAAGAUCUUUUCUAUUCUUUUGGCUCUGCUACAGCAAUCUCAUAAAACUCCACCAAAGUUUAAGUGUAAGGACAAAAUUUCAUUCUCCAUCUGUUACUGUCUCUACUCGGCAUUCUUAUAAUCACCCAUUAACACUCAAUUUAUCUUCAUUAGGAUUUCAAAUCCAUACACAAAUAUUAGCUAUCAGAGCUUCACACAACACAUACAUAAACACAUAUCCAAUGCACCCAGAUACACACCCCCUCUAAACUGAAAAGGUGUUGUGUCCUUACAAGCACACAACAGCAAAGUCACACAAUUUGACAAGGACAUGGAGGAGGACAUUAGAAAAUACCACACAAAUUGAAAACAUAAUGAAAGAAAAUUUUUACAGAAUUAAAUAAAUUGACUAGCAAGAAGGGGAUACUCCCCUGUUGUUUGGGUAUUGCUACAACAUGGUGGGAUGACAUCAGCGCUUCUUGGAUGCACUGCGCAGCUUAUCCUUUGGGGAGGCUUGUGGGGAGGUAGCUGACAACGUCUUUGUCUUUUUCUUCAAUGGGCUGGUGGGAGGAGUUGCGACUGGGGCAGCUUGCUUGGUUGACACCGAUCUGGUCUAUUUUGGUUCUGUCGAGGCAGCUGUAGCAGUGCCUCCAAAAGUGCUGCCCUUUCUUUUGCUAGAUCCUGUCGGAUUAGCACGAACAGGUUUGUUAGGAGUGGGUUGUGGAGGAGCUGGGGUUGGUACAUUAGCUGUCUGUCCCUCAGCUGUGAUGGCGGCAAUGGUGUCAAGUAGUUGCUGGGCUUCUGUGGGUGUACACGUGACUCUAAUUGCUGCAGCUUCCAGCUCUACAUCGACUUGCUCAGCUUCAUCUUCGAAGGCAUGAGGGGUUGCUAUUUUUUCCUUGCCUUUUCUUGAAAGGACUGGAAUGGGGGGCUCCUCUUCAGGUUCAUUCUCUUUCUCUUCUUGGAUGAUGUGCCUUUUCUUGGUUUUGGAAGAGGUUCCUCACGUUAUUUCUCAAAAUCUUCCUCUGCCUCUGUGGGUGAGCUGUCAGUCGCAGACUUGUCACAUUCUUCCUCAAGUUGAUCAGAUGGUUCAGUAUCUUCUAAGUCAGCCUCUGCUUGUGGGUCUGCUGCAGCUUCUGCUUUUGGUUCAUCUGUGUCAGUGGCUUCUUCACUGACUUUUGCUGGAGCAUCUAUGGUGUUGGUGUCAAAAUUAUACUGCUGGAGCAAUGAAUCAGGGAAAUUUUGGUAGGUGUUUUUCUUGUAAAGAGCAAAUUGGUGUAGGUAGCUAUCCAGGUGCUGUAAAUAGCUCUAAAAUCGAUCAUUUUCCCUCUGCUGAGCCUCAACACAUUGAGAGAUACUGGUGCUCAGUGCCUAGAUUGUCGCUCCUGUUACAACAGCUAGUUCAGUUAUUGCUCCAGCACUUUUACCAGCAAUUCUCUUAAUGGUACGUGCAGUAAGGGCACCAUCAUUCUUGACAUGUUCAUCCUUUGCAUCAAGACCAACACCUGAUACUACACAAAUGCUAGUGAUGAGUGAAGGGAAUAGUAAGGUAGUAGCUUUGUGUUUCUUUAUGGCACAAUCUCUGAUUUCUUUUUCGAUAAUGCUUCCCACAUCUAUGGGGAGCCCUCGAACAAUAACAUAGAACAAAACCAACAUUUCUUGUGAAACAGUAGUAGUGUGGGUGGUUGGCAUAAGCCUGGAUUUUAGAAAUUUCACCCACACCUUAGCAAUAGGUUUUAAAUCUAUCCUGUUAAUUACAUGUCCUUCCUCAUUAGCCCACGAUGCCCCCUCUACUGUAAGAGUUGUGAAGAUGGUGUUCCAUCUUUUCGGGGUCAAUUUGUCAAGCAACUUGGCAUACUCACAAUUAAUUUCAGCAGGUAAAUUAUAAAAAGCAUUUAUAACUUGAGAGUGUAAUGGAACAAGUGUGUUUCUUACCCAAAUGUUGUGCUAACCAGAGCUUACCAAAUUAGCGUAAAAUUCUUUGACUACUGGCAGCACAGGAUCUCGAGGGUGGUUGCAAAACUCUAGCCACCGAUGCUUUGCUGCAACAUUGUGUACUGUUAGCACAAUUUCGGUGAGUUGCGCUGGAAAUUGAAACUUUUUUUCUUCCAGAAUCUUGCGCGGUUCAAUGAAUUCUUCAUAUUUUUCUUCUGCGUGGUAACUCUGGAAGCGUGAAGGAUCUUUGAGUCGGCUGGCUGUUCUCUUACACCUUGGCAUUGCUAUAGCAGUAACAAUUCGAAUGUAAUAUGCCUGAGAGUAAAAUAAGAAGAUGGUGGUAAGAAUUAUUGGAGUCAUGCUUGCGAAGGAGAGGGGAAAUAGUGCCAUAGGUCACUACGCACAGUAAUUCCCUUUUAUAGUUGAAUUUAAAUAAAGAUAAAUCUGAUAAAGAAAGAUAAAUUAGGGAAGAAAAUAUUUUGAAUCUAAUGAGUAUAUCCCAUAAAAAUAAGCAAGAGAAAUUAAUGCAUUAAUUUCAGAGAUUUUUUCUUCCUCAAUUUCUAUCCAAAUCCAUCCAUCCAUCUGUCAUGAUUUAUCUGCAACGGUAAGUGAGAGGCUCCAAUUUUUAAGUUACUGUAACAGUAAUAUUAGUUGCUGCAGCACCUAAUUGUUUGCUCUAGCAACGGUUACAUACUCUACUCCAAUAGCUUCUGACACGUGGCUUGCCUCUGUACUCUGUCACAAUACAACCCCAAUUGUCAAUAAGGAAUUCAUUUGUCACGCAUACUUCCCACAAAAUCUAAAACCAAUUAAAAAAAAAUUAAAAAUAAAGAUAUAGAAUGAUAACAAAAGUAAAGAGUUCAAUAAUGCAAAAUGAUAAAAAUAAAUAGCCAGAAGUGAAUAACAAAGUUAAAAUAAAAUAAAAGAAAGAGCCUUCAACAAAACCAGAAAGGAUCAAGCUUGGUUUGAAGUGGCUGCCUCCACAAUGGGUUGCCUCCCAUUGAGCGCUUGAUUUAAGGUCCUUCAGCCUGACCUUUUUUCACUGCUCAAUAGCUUGGUUUUUUAAAGAGUAAGACCUCCUUUGAACAAUUUGCCGCUUGGUGUAUGUAAUACUUAACUCAGUGUCAAUUAACUUUAAAUACUUGACUUGUUUGUUCAUCUAGAAGAUCAACAGCCCAAUGAGGAUAAAUUCUGAGCAGCUUAAAAGGUUCAGACCAUCGAGAUUUUAGUUUUCCUGAAAAUAAUCUUAGUCUUGUAUUAUAAUCUUAGUAUUGUUUUGGAUAUGCUUGUCGUGCCAGUGUUUUAUCCUCUCUUUGUAGAUUCUUGCAUUUUCAUAUGAGAACAACCGUAAUUCAUCAAGCUCACGGAGUUGAAGCUUCUUUUGCUCUGCUGCAGCAUGUAUAUCCCAAUUUAAUUGCUUCAGUGCCCAGUGUCCUUUAUGCUCUAGCUCAAGUGGCAAGUGACAAGCCUUCCCAUAAAUAAUUCGGUAGGGAGACAUGCCAAGUGGUGUUUUGUAUGCUGUUCUGUAGGCCCAUAAGGAGUCAUGUAAUCGCAAGGACCAAUCCUUCCUUGAUGGGUUCACCACUUUUUCUUAGAUCUUAUUAAUUUCUCUGUUUGACACUUCUGCCUGACCAUUAGAUUGUGGGUGAUAUGCUGUUGCUACUUUAUGCUUGACUCCAUAUUUUACCGUGGCUGCAGCAAAUACUUUGUUGCAAAAAUGAGUACCCUCAUCACUAAUAAUUGCUCUGGGAGUGCCAAACUUGGAAAAAAUAUUUUUCUGAAGAAAGGCCACCACUGUUUUAGCAUCAUUGGUAGGUGAUGCUGUAGCUUCUACCCGCUUGGAGACAUAAUCCACAGCAACAAGGAUAUAUAAGUUCCCAAAGGAUAGUGGAAAAAGGUCCCAUGAAAUCUAUUCCCUAUACAUCAAAAACUUCCACUACCAGAAUGUUUGACAAUGACAUUUCAUGUCUUUUAGUUAUGUUCCCUGUCAUUUGACACCUGUCACAACAUUUAACAGAUUCAUAAGCAUCUUUAAAAAUAGAAGGCCAGUAAUAACCUGAUUACAGAACUUUAGCAGCUGUUCUUUGACCACCAAAAUGUCCUCCAUAUGCUGCAGCAUGCCAUGACUCCAGUAUGUGGGGAAUUUCUCCCUCUGAAGCACAUCUUCGUAUUACUUGAUCUGAGCAUAGCUUAUAUAAAUAUGAGUCAUCCCACUUGUAGCUUCUAACAUCAUGAAGAAAUUUCUUUUUCUCUUGAAACUUCAACUCAGGUGGUAGCAACCCACUUACUAAGUAGUUAGCAAAAUUUACAUACCAUGGAGAUCCUGAUUGCUGCAGCAUCUGUGCUUGCUGUACUACCAACAAUUGUUCAUCAGGAAAAGUUUCAAUGAUGUCCUUUCUUGUCAAUGUACUUGUGUUUGCUUCCAGCCUCGAUAGGUGGUCUGUUACUUGAUUCUCAAUCCCCUUUCUAUCUUUAAUUUCCAGAUCAAACUCCUGAAGCAAUAAGAUCUAUAUGAUUAAUCUUGGUUUGGCAUCCUUCUUUGAAAUUAAGUACUUGAUGGCGGCAUGGUCUGUGUAUACGGUCACUUUAGUACCCACCAAGUAAUCUAUGAGUUUAUCAAAAGUAAAUACUACUGCUAGCAACUUUUUCUCUGUAGUGGUGUAAUUAAUUUAAGUUUGAGUAAGAGUUUUGCUUGCAUAGUAUAUGGAGUGAAAAAACUUAUCCUUUCUCUGCCCUAAUACUGCUCCAACAGAAUGGUCACUGGCAUCAUACAUCAGUUCAAAUGGUAGAGUCCAAUAUGGUGAUAUAACCACUGGUGCAGUGAUCAAAGCUUUCUUUAAUUCUCCAAAGGCUUGAAGACAAUCUUUGUCAAAGUGAAAAGGCUUGUCAUGUUCCACCAAUGAGCAUAAUGGUUUAGUUACCUUGGAAAAAUCCUUAAUGAAUCUUCUGUAAAAUCCAGUAUGACCAAAAAAACUCCUAAUACCCUUUAUUGAAGUGGGAGGUGGCAGUUUAUCUAUUAUUUCUAUCUUGACUUUGUCUACCUCAAUGCCAUUCUUGGUCACCUUAUGACCUAAUUUUAUGCCUUCUUGCACUAUAAAAUGACACUUUUCCCAAUUGAGUACUAAGUUAGUCAUCUCACAUCUUUUAAGAACUUCUUUCAAGCUGUGUAAACAAUCAUUAUAUGUCUCUCUAAAAACUGAGCAGUCAUUCAUGAAAACUUCUAAAGUUUGCUCUACCAUAUCAGAAAAAAUAGACAUCAUACACCUCUGAAAAGUUGCUGGAGCAUUGCACAAACCAAAGGGCAUUCUUUUGAAGGUAAAGGUUCCAUAAGGACAGAUAAAUGUAGUCUUUUCUUGAUCCUCUGGAGCUAUAGCAAUUUGGUUGUACCCUGAAUACCCAUCUAGGAAACAAUAAUAUUGUUUUCUAGCAAGUCUGUCCAACAUCUGAUCUAUGAAUGAGAGUGGGAAGUGAUCCUUUCUUGUGGCUUUGUUGAGCUUCCUAUAAUCUAUACAUACUCUCCAUCCAGUCACUGUCCUUAUAGGAAUAAGUUCAUCCUUCUCAUUUGCUAUCACUGUUAUCCCUCCCUUCUUUGGAACACAUUGGACUGAGCUCACCCACGAACUGUCUGAUAUUGGAUAUAUGAUUCCAGCAUCCAACCAUUUGAUGAUUUCCUUUUUCACCACUUCUUUCAUAAUAGGAUUUAACCUUCUCUGCUGCUCCACUGAAUUACUAUAGCAGUUUUCUAACAGAAUUUUAUGCAUGUAUAUUGAUGGGUUUAUCCCUUUGAUGUCUGUCAUGGUCCAUUCAAUUGCUCUUCUGUAUCUCCCAAGCACAUUUACUAGACUCUGUUCUGGACCUGCAUCCAAAGUAGAGGAAAUGAUUACAGGGAGUGUGUUGUUUUGACCAAGAUAAACAUAUUUCAAAUGUGAGGGUAACGAUUUUAAUUCAAGACUAGGAGGUGAUUCAAUAGAUGGUAAAGUUGUUUUUACUUCUCUAUCUGAAAGAUUCAGAUGCUCAACAAAUCUGUUAUGUCUAUCAGAUUGCUUUCCUUCCAUCCAAUCUAUUUGGUUUGCUGUAACAUCUUCUUCUUCAAACCCUUUAAAGGUGGUAACUUUGUUGAUCUCAUUACUGCAGCAUCUGUCAAUUCUGUCAGCUACAACAAAAUCCACAACACUCAGGAAAUUACAAUCUUCUAACUCAUCAGGGUUCUUCAUAGCCUCUAAUACAUUAAAUGUGACUUGCUAAUCAUUCACUCUCAUGGUGAGCUCUCCUUUAUGCACAUCUAUCAGAGUUUUCCCAGUUGCUACGAAAGGUCUUCCAAGUAUAAUGGGUACAUCUUUAUCAGCCUCAAAAUCUAGUACAAUGAAGUCUACUGGAAGAUGAAUUUGUCAACCUUCACCAGUAUAUCCUCAAUUUUUCCUUCAGGAUAUGCAUGAGAUCUAUCAGCUAAUUGCAAAGUGACUGUGGUUGGUUUGCAUUCCCCUACUCCCAACUGCUUAAAUACAGACAAUGACAUCAGAUUAAUACUGGCUCCCAAGUCAUAAAGUGCUCUGCCAGUGUAUCUAGUUCCAAUAGAACAUGGUAUUGUAAAACUUUCUAGAUCCUUCAAUUUUGUAGGAAUCUUACUUUUGAGCAUAUGACUACUUUCCUAUGUUAAAACAACAGUUUCAAAUUCUCCCAGCCUUCUAUUUCGUGCUAAGAUGCCUUUUAGAAAUUUCACAUAAUUAUGCAUUUGCUCCAAAGCUUCCACAAAAGGUAUGUUGAUGUGUAAUUGUUUCAAUACUUUCAGAAAUUUGUUGAAUUGCUUCUCUUGUUUUUGCUUCUGGAAUCUCUGUGGGAAAGGGGGUGGCUGCCUAAACUGCUGGGUAGCUUCAGGAGGUGCCAAACUCUGCUUGUUUGGUUUGUUGUAGGUUGUGGCUACUGGUGUUGCCACUUCUUUUUUAGCAUGUACUGGUUGAGUUCCUUCCAUAGUUGCUGCAGCUUGGUCUCUGUCACCAGUGUCUUGAUGACUGGGUUGUUGUAACUUGCUUCCAUCUUGAGGUGGUUUUUAUAAGGAAUUAAGUUCUAGCCCCUUUUUAGUCAUAUCAACAGGGAUGUCAACAUUCUUUCUAGAUCUUAAGUUAAUUACUUUGCAGUGUUCUUUGCCUUCUCUUCUUGGAUCUUUUGUAUUACUAGGUAAGCUUCUUUGAGUUCUGCUACUCAUUGCUGUGGCAAGUUGUCCCAUUUGGUUCUCCAGGUUCCUCAAGGAUACAGCUUGACUCUGCACAAUUGCUUCAUUCUUUGCAAUGUAUUCCUUAAUCAGCGCUUCCAGUGAAGUGAUUAGAUCCUGACUGAUAUGUUUUUGCCCUUGACUCUGCUGAUGAAAACCAGGUGAUUGAGUGUUCCUAUUUUGUCCAUUCAAUGCUGGAGCAUUGAGAUUCUGACUGCUCUAUGAAAAAUUUGCGUCUUGCUUCCAUCCAGGGUUGUAAGUAUUUGAAUAUGGGUUGUUUUGAAGCUGUCGAUUGAAAUUACCCACGUAGUUUACUGAUGCUGGAUUUGCAGGACAGUUAUCAAAGUCAUGUUCUUCACCACAGUAUACGCAAGAAAGUUCAGCAACUUGCUUUAUUGCUGCUGGAGCAGAUGUCAUGACUUUUACCAUGUUAGUCAAUGAGGUUAUUUGUGCUGAUAAAACUGUAAUUGCAUCUAUGUUAUGUACCCCUGCUGCUUUUCUUGCUACUGGUUGCCUGGUUGAUGGCCACUGAUAAUUAUUGUUGGCAAUUCUCUCCAGAAUUUCAUAAGCUUCAGUGUAAGAUUUGGAUAACAAAGCUCCAUUUGCUGAAGCAUCCACCAUCAAUCUUGUACUAGGAUUCAACCCAUUGUAGAAAGUUUUCAAUUGUAUGCAACAAGGAAUGCCAUGAUGAGGACAUCUUUUGAGCAGUUCUUUGAAUCUUUCCCAGGCUUCAUACAAACUCUCAUCUUCAAGUUGAUGGAAAGAAGUAAUCUCAUUUCGCAAUUUUGCAUUUUUUGUCGGUGGGAAAUAGUUCAUUAAGAAUUUAUCAGCCAACUCAUUCCAUGUAGUGAUGGAAUCAGAUGGUAACGAAUUUAACCAUGGUCUUGCUUGAUCUCUUAAGAAGUAAGGAAAAAGCCUCAAUCUUAAAGCAUCUUGGGUUGCUCCAGCAAUCUUGAAAGCAUCACUCACUUCCAAGAACAACUUAAGAUGGAGAUGAGGAUCUUCAUUUGGUAAUUCAUUGAAUUGACCUACUGUUUGCAACAUUUGAAACAUCACUGGCUUCAAUUCAAAGUUUGCAGCUUCUACUUCAAGUUUGAUUAUCCCAGGGUGUACAACUUGAGGAGUUAACACAACAUAAUCUCUAAUAGCUUUGUCCUUGUCAUCAGCCAUGUAAAUAAUGUUGUUGUUGCCUGGCUAUCUCUGGUUAGCAUGUUCAUUCUACUCUUCGUGAAUGUUGACUGGUUGUAAGGGCCUGUGAGGGUCCAAAUUUCUCACAUCUUGCAAAUUAUCCAUGCCUGAAACAGUUUUUGAAUUCCUUUAUUCUCUUCGUAGUCUCCUAACAGUCCUUUCAAUCUCAGGAUCAAAUUGGAAUAUAACAUAUCUGUCUUUGUGCAUGCAAGUGUUGAUCUGCCAAUAAAUAGAAUGAAUCAAAUCAAAUUGGCGUUAUCAAGAUUUACUUCACACUUCAAAAAUAAAAAUCAAUCCCCAGCAACGGCGCUAAAAACUUGGUAGAUUUUUUGUAACAAAUGCUAUUGAUGCCAAUGUGCAAGUGUACACAACAAGUAAUAAAAUGAUGAAUAUUCAAGAUCGUCUCCACAGGGAUUGAUGUCACUAGAAAUGCUACAGCAAUCACAAUAGUGCAAUCUAACUUAAGUCCGAAGUUAACAAAUGUAAAAUAGGUUCUAUUGAAAUUGAUAAUUGUGAGAGAAUAAAAUAAAACAAUGCAGUAAUGAAAUAAAUUAAAUUAAAUGUGUCUAAGAUUCAAUUGAGAAUAUGGUAGUUGAAUGAUCAAACUCUCUUUAUGGGCUGACUGCUUUUCAUCAAGUUAACACCAGUUGUUACAGCAAUUGCUACAGCACUAGGAAGAAUUAGUCUGCAUACUCAGCUGUUGCGUGUUGGAACUCUCACACCCUUAAGUAUAUUAGCAAUGACCAAUUGCUAUUCUACCUACGGCAUGACCUUAUGACCCUUUAGUCUCUCCACCCUACAAGGUGAGUACCUAUGUCUAGUUUGUCACAAAUCUUAACUUCAAGUAUAGUCCUUAUGGGAUUCAAGAUAACUUAAUCUAGGAAACUUAAAUUAAGAUCAAGUAUUACUAUAAUAAUAUCCGCUAAGACAUGCCCUUUUGCGGCCCUAUCUUAACUUGAACAAGCAAAUCUAGUUCAUAUUCUGAAAGAGAAAAACAAACAUCAACAUAUUGUUCACGGGAUACAUUAGAUCAGUCAAAGAAAGAAAGGUAUAAGUUGAGAACGACAAAAAGUAAAUCCAAAUAACUCUGCGGGAUUUUUCAAUGCUGUUGAAGUCGUCCUCUUGAAUUAUGAUCUUCUUCUUCUUUUUCUCUCUAAUGUGUUUAAUGAUAAUUCCUUGCCGCCGUUUUAUGUGGUGCGCGCCUCAUUUUAUAACUAAAAAUUAUGGUAAACAAAAGCCUCAGGCGUGCAUGAGUUAAAUUAGGAAACUGCAGAUCGCAAUUCUGCAGCUGACCCGCGCUAAGUUUUCUCCCUCAGUACUCUAGGAUUGCUGUUGAGUGUUAAAAAAUGCAUAUUUAUAAAGGAGAAAACCGUCAUUUUACAUUUCAAGUCUUACUAACAACCCUUACUUUUAUGUAUUUAACCUUCUUGUGAUGUAAUUACGUGUGUGUUAUUUUAAUUAAGUAUUUUAUGUAUUUUAGGGGCAUUAUAGUCAUUUCACAAUAAAGGAGAGAUAAGACGGCAAAACAGACAUCACUUUUGAACUCAGGACGGUCGAAAACCUUAGAAGGAGCAUAAAAGGAAAAAUGGCACUAUUCACAUGUACGGUACUAUUCACGUAUACGGUACUGUCUACGUUACUGUUCAUGACACUGUUCACAUAGACGGAUCGAUGACGUGGCAUUGACCGAUGAUGUGGCAUUGACUGAUGAGGUGUCACGAUCCUGUUGGACUAAAAUUCUUAUGUACUGUUGACGGUGACGUGGCAGCAUAUCAGUGGACGAAAAAUCUCGCGUACGGUGCAUGCAUCACACAGGAUUAUUUUCAACCAAACCGCGUUACUGUUCAUCCGGGUCAAACCGUGUUACUGUUCAUCCACGUGGUCAAACCGUGGACUGUUGACUGAUGACGUGGCGCAAUCCUGAGCGUCCAAACUGUUUUUAAUCCGAUGGCCAUGAUUUACUCCAUGUAUCUAUAAAAAGGGGGCCUCUCCCCCCUAAUUUGAUAUCUCUGAAUCCAUUUUUGGGAUCCAUUUUCUGUAAUUCCUUCUCCAUCUUGUAUUUUCUUUGUAUUUUAAUAAAUUCCCAUUUUGCCCCUAGUUCAAUUAUGAGUAGCUAAUUUCCUUUCAAGCUUGGGUUGAAGCUGAAGUCUCAACAUGUGUCAUGGGCUUUAUUUGGUAAAUUUAUUUUCUUUUCCCCUCUAGUUUUUGUGGAUGAUUUGACUUAUCGUCGACAAAUAAUACUGAUCUUAUCUAGAUACUGUCUUGGUUACACCGGCUCUCUAGUAUAAGGUUAUUAUUAUUUGGCACGAUAAGCCCUUAGCACCAUAUUGAUUAUCUAGAUACUGCCUUGGUUACACCGGCUCUCUAGUAUAAGGUUAUUAUUAUUUGGCACGAUAAGCCCUUAGCACCAUAUUGAUUAGAGCGUGGUUCAUGAGGUGUGGAUUCCCCCCUCAUGAUUUAAUUGGUAUUAAUAAGGAAUAUUUAGCCCAUGAUGCAUGUUGAUACGUAUCCAGAUACCCAAGUACGUCAUUUCAAUAGAAUUCUCUUCAAUUUAUUCUCGCCAUUUUAAUUCCAAUUUUAGAAUAAUACUGAUCUUAUCUAGAUACUGCCUUGGUUACACCGGCUCUCUAGUAUAAGGUUAUUAUUAUUUGGCACGAUAAGCCCUUAGCACCAUAUUGAUUAGAGCGUGGUUCAUGAGGUGUGGAUUCCCCCCUCAUGAUUUAAUUGGUAUUAAUAAGGAAUAUUUAGCCUAUGAUGCAUGUUGAUACGUAUCCAGAUACCCAAGUACGUCAUUUCAAUAGAAUUCUCUUCAAUUUAUUCUCGCCAUUUUAAUUCCAAUUUUAGAAUUUAUUCUCGCCAUUUUAAUUUAAGUUUUAGCAUAUUCCAAAUCAUUUCCACCACAAAUCCAAUCCCCCAUUUACAAAAUUAAUUCUACACACAAUUAAAAUCCACCUCCUUGUGGGAUCGACACUCGUCACCAUUGAUCUAUACUACAAUAGAUUCGUGCACUUGCGAGUACAUUAAAAUUUGCACAACAAGUUUUUGGCGCCGUUGCCGGGGAGGUAAGUAAUUUUAAUUCAUAGAAUUAAUUUUUGUGAAUAAUUUCUUUUAUUUGUUUUCUUGUAUUUUUUUUUAUUUUUAUUUUUAUUAAAAAAAAAAGUAAAUCCGCAUUUAAAGGUUAGUAUUUUUUUCUCUCUCUCUUCUUUAAAAUUCUGUAAUUUAAUUUUCAAUUUAUUUUUCUUUGUAAUUAUUUUUAUCUUAUUAAUUUAUUUUUAGUUAAUUUAUUUCACGUAUUUAUUUUUGUGUAUUUUUAUAGAAAUGUUGUAAUAGCGCAAACAAGGUUAGUAUCGUAAUUUCUCCCUCUUCUUUAUUUUUAUUUGUUUUGUUCCCAUCUUUAUUUUUUAUUUGUUUUGUUCCCAUCUUUAUUUUUUGUUUUGUUUGCAUCUUUAUUUUUAUUUUAUUUAUUUUGCAUGCAUGGUCGUAGGUCAUUAUUACCUAAUCUUGAACCUAUAGACCUUGAAUUAGAAAAAACACUUCGCACACACAAACACGUUAAAAAUAAAAUGGAUUUACAAGCACCACAGGAGAGGCCAUUUAAGGACUAUUUUAGUCCCUUAGCUAAUUUGAGUACGUCAUGCAUAAGAUACCCAAAUGUAGCUGCUAGGAGUUUUGAAUUAAAACCUAGUGUGUUAAAUUGUCUACCCACAUUUUAUGGCCUAGUAAAUGAGGAUCCAUAUAAUCAUUUGAAUGAUUUUCAUGCCAUUUGUCAAACAUUCAAAUAUGAGAAUUUUUCAGAUGAUGAUGUUAAACUUAGACUAUUCCCAUUUUCUUUAAAGGAUAGAGCUCGUUCAUGGUUAAAUACGUUGCCUGCUAAUAGCAUUUCAUCAUGGGAACAAAUGGUAACUAAAUUUUUGAAUAAAUAUUUCCCAGUGCAUAAAACCAAUUCUAUUCGCAGGGAAAUCUCAGAGUUUACUCAGAGAGAGGACGAGCAGUUUUUCGAGACAUGGGAGCGAUUCAAUGGGCUACUCUUGAAGUGUCCACAUCAUGGGUACGAGAAAUGGCACCAAUGCCAAUACUUUUUUGAGGGAUUAUUGUCGAAUGUGCAAGAAUGGCUAAUGGCAACAAGUGGAGGAGAGCUAAUGUCAAAAAGUGCAUCAGAGAUUUGGGAAUUCUUCCAGCGACAAGCGGAUAAUUCCCAACAACGGAGUCGAUCACUCAGGAAUACUAGAAGAAUUAAAGGAGUGAAUGAGGUUCAAAUUGGCGAGUCAACUUCGGGAAUCAAAGAAGUCAAGGAGAUGGUUGAAGGUCUUGCUCGAUAAAUAGCAUCGUUAUCGACUGCUAAAUCAACAGAGCCACAUGACCAUGACUCAUACUCAGAUCAAGCCAAUGCCAUUGGUGUAAUGAGAAAACCAUCGAAUUACAACCCAUACUCCAACACCUAUAAUCCUGGAUGGAGAGACCACCCCAAUUUUUCAUGGUCUCAAUGAUUCCAACAGAAUGGACCAGCAGCUCCAGCUCCACCAAUGCAACAAAUUCCUCAAAAUCCUCAAGCCUCUCAGGCACCAUUCAGACCAUACAAUCAGAACCAGAACUACUCUCAACCCAGACCAUGGGAGGAUGCAUUCCAGAAUUUCAAGAAUGUUACUCACUCCACGAUUGAGCAACAGAAUCGCACCAUUGAUGGACUACGAAAUGAGUUGAGAGCGGGCUUCAAUUCACAAGCCCAAUCAGUUUCAAGCCUCGAGAAGAUGGUGGGACAGCUUGCUUCUUCAGUUCAGACCUUGGCAAUGACUGUUGAGAAAGGCAAGUUUCCGAGUCAACCAGUGCCUAAUCCUAAAGGAGUGCAUGAAGCAAGUACCAGUUCACCACAGCAGCAUGGAGAGGUCAAAGCAGUAAUGACCUUGAGAAAAGGAAAAGAAGUCGACAACAAAGUGGAGAUGCCGGUGACAAAAGAAAAUCAAAUUGUACCUGUAAAUGUUGACGACUCAUCACCGGAGGAGAAAGAAGAAACCAACCCACGAGAAUACAUUCCGAAAGCUCUAUUUCCUCAGAGGUUAGCUAAAGGCAAGAAGGGAAAAUCCACAGGUGAGAUUCUUGAGAUCUUCAAACAGGUAAGUGUUAACAUCCCUUUACUUGAUGCAAUUAAACAAGUUCCAUCUUAUGCCGAGUUUCUUAAAGACCUUUGUACUAAAAAGAGAAAUAUGCAUGUCCAAAAGAAGGCAUUUUUAACAGAAAACGUUAGUUCUAUACUCCAAUAUAAAAUUCCUUUAAAAUGCAAAGACCCAGGCUCCCCCACUAUCUCAUGUAGUAUAGGGAACCACACAAUUGAGAAUGCUUUGUUGGAUUUAGGAGCUAGUGUAAAUUUGUUGCCUUACUCUGUAUUCGUGAAACUUGGACUGGGAGAAUUACACCCAACUCCAGUGGUGUUACAGCUUGCAGAUCGGUCCACGAAAAUACCUCGUGGUAUUGUGGAGGACGUGCUUAUCCAGGUAGACAAGUUUUAUUUUCCUGUUGAUUUCAUUGUAAUUGACACUCAACCAAUACAGGACUCAAAGAAGCACAUCCCCAUUAUUCUAGGCCGACCUUUCUUGGCAACUGCAGAUGCUCAUAUUCAAUGUAGGACCGGAAAUAUGCAAUUGUCCUUCGGCAACAUGACUAUGGAGCUAAACAUCUUCAACAUUGCCAAACAACUUCACAGUGCAGAUGAUGGAAUUGUUGAUGUGGAUUUAAUAGAAACAAUAGUUGAUAAUACUUUUCUUUCAAACCUUAGUGAUGAUCCUUUACAAACAUGUUUAACUCACUUUGGUUUGAAUUUUGAUAUUGAUAGAUCGGUCGAUGAGGUCAACGCCCUACUUGACUCAGCGCCAUCCAUAGACACUAAUAAAUGGAAGUCAAGAGUUGAACAACUAGCACCAUCAGAGAAGAAACUCAUCCCAUCAUCAGAAUCACCACCAAAACUCGAGCUCAAACCAUUACCCAACACAUUGGAAUAUGUGUUUUUGGGAGAAGAAAGCACUCUACCGGUAAUCAUCUCAUCAUCCCUAAACGACGAACAAAAAGGUAAGUUGUUGGAUGUUUUAAAAGAGCACAAAGGAGCAUUAGGAUGGACCAUAGCAGACAUCAAAGGUAUAAAUCCAGUAGACUGCAUGCAUUACAUUCACCUUGAUGAAAAUGCUAAAUCUACUAGGGAAAUGCAACGUCGGUUAAAUCCUAACAUGAAAGAAGUUGUUAGAACUGAAGUCCUUAAGCUAUUAGAUGCAGGUAUCAUUUACCCAAUUUCUGAUAGUUCAUGGGUCAGUCCUGUACAAGUCGUCCCCAAAAAGUCAGGAGUCACAGUAGUUACCAAUGCUGAUAAUGAAUUGAUACCAACUAGAGUAACUACAGGAUGGCGUGUAUGCAUUGAUUAUAGAAAGUUGAAUUCUGUCACACGUAAAGACCAUUUUCCUUUACCAUUUAUCGAUCAAAUGCUUGAUAGAUUAGCAGGCCAUGAAUUUUAUUGCUUUCUAGAUGGCUACUCAGGAUAUAAUCAGAUUCCCACAGCACCAAAAGAUCAAGAGAAGACCACUUUCACUUGCCCUUUUGGCACAUUUGCAUAUAGGAGAAUGCCAUUUGUAUUAUGUAAUGCACCUGCUACAUUUCAACGAUGCAUGUUGAGCAUUUUUUCUGAUAUGGUUGAACGAUUCCUUGAAGUCUUUAUGGAUGAUUUUUCUGUCUUUGGUGACUCGUUUGAUCAAUGUUUACAUCAUCUAACAUUAGUUCUGCAGAGAUAUAACGAGAAGAACUUAGUCUUAAAUUGGGAGAAGUGUUAUUUUAUGGUAAAACAAGGUAUUGUUCUCGGUCACAUCAUUUCGAGCAAAGGUAUUGAGGUUAACAAAGCCAAGGUGGAUCUCAUUUCUAAUCUUCCUCCACCCAAAACAGUCAGAGAAGUAAGAUCUUUCCUUGGACAUGCUUGUUUCUAUAGAUGUUUCAUUAAAGAUUUUAGCAAAGUUUCUAGACCCUUAUGCAAUUUACUUGCUAAGGAUGUACCUUUUAUCUUCAAUGAUUCAUGUCUUGUGGCUUUUGAAAAAUUAAAGCAAUUGUUGACAUCAUCAUCCAUCAUUCAGGCCCUAAAUUGGAGCUUACCAUUUGAGCUCAUGUGUGAUGCAUCUGAUUAUGCAGUAGGAGCAGUAUUAGGAUAAAGAGUUGAUCGAAUUUCCCAUGUUAUUUACUAUGCUAGUAUGACAUUGAAUGAUGCACAGUUGAACUAUUUAACUACUGAAAAAGAAAUGCUAGCAGUAGUGUUUGCAUUGGAAAAUUUCGAUCUUAUCUCAUUGGUUGUAAAAUAAUUGUGUUCACUGAUCAUGCUACUCUUAAAUAUCUUCUCACAAAGAAAGAUGCAAAAGCUAGACUAAUUCGUUGGGUGUUACUUUUGCAGGAAUUUGACUUGGAAUUUAAAGAUAAGAAAGGCACAGAAAAUGUUGUGGCAGACCAUCUCUCUCGUCUCCAUUUUGACACAAUUAUGGAAUCAUUACCAUUGAAUGAGUAAUUUCCAGAUAAAUAAUUAAUGAGUGUGGAAGUAUUACCAUGGUAUGCUGAUAUAGUUAAUUAUCUUGUUACAGGUAAACUUCCAGAGCAUUGGACCAAGUAAGACAAGGCUAAAUUCUUUGCAGAAAUAAAGAAUUUCUUUUGGGAUGACCCGUAUUUGUUCAAGUAUUGUGCAGAUCAAAUUGUUAGACGAUGUGUCACAGAAAAUGAAAUUCAGAAUAUUCUUUCAUUCUGUCAUGAACAAGCUUGUGGAGGCCAUUUCAGUGCUAAGAAAACAGCGACUAAAGUUUUACAAUGUGGUUUCUAUUGGCCAACUAUAUUUCGAGACGCUUACACUUUCUGUUCUUCAUGUGAUAGGUGUCAACGAAUGGGGAGCAUUACACGAAGGAACAUGAUGCUACUAAAUCCAAUUUUAGUGGUUGAGAUUUUUGACGUAUGGGGUAUCGACUUCAUGAGACCAUUUCCCCCUUCUUUUGGCCAUCAAUACAUAUUGGUUGGUGUUGACUACGUAUCGAAAUGGGUAGAAGCAAUUCCAUGUAGAACCAAUGAUCACAAGGUGGUGAUAGGAUUUUUGAAAAGCAAUAUUGUUUCACGCUUUGGAUACCCUCGAGGAAUAAUCAGUGAUGGUGGUGCUCACUUUUGUAACAAAGCAUUCAAAGCUCUUUUGACAAAGUAUUCAAUCACACACAAAGUGGCGACCCCGUAUCAUCCGCAAACCAGUGGCUAAGUUGAGAUCUCCAAUCGAAAAAUAAAGCACAUAUUAGAAAAGACAGUGAGGUUAGACAUAAAAGAUUGGUCAUUAAGACUUGAUGAUGCAUUAUGGGCAUAUAGAACGACUUUCAAGACCCCGAUUGGGAUGUCACCUUACAGGCUAGUGUAUGGAAAAGCUUGCCACCUACCUGUGGAACUCGAGCAUCGUGCAUAUUGGGCUAUCAAGAAAUUCAACUUUGACAUGCAGCAAGCUAGCUCAGAAAGAAGAUUACAGCUGGGAGAACUUGAAAAAAUUUGCAAUGAUGCAUACGAAAAUGCCAAGAUUUACAAGCAACGAAUGAAAGUCUUUCGUGACAAGCAAAUUAUGAGAAAAUCAUUCACUCCAGGUUAGAAAGUGCUUUUAUUCAAUUCUCGCUUGCACCUAUUCCUAGGCAAGUUACGCUCUCGAUGGUCUGGUCCAUUUAUUGUUCAUACUGUUUUUCCACAUGGGGCAAUUGAAAUUAAGGACCCAAAAAACAGUGUCGCAUUUAAAGUUAAUGGUCAAAGAUUAAAGCCAUAUCUAGAAUACCAACCACAUGGAGAAGAUACCGAAAUAAAUUUGAGUGACCCACCAGAUUUGAAUUGAUUUUUUUUUCUUUUCGUUGAUUUGAUUUUUCUUUCUUUCUUUUUAUUAUUCUUUUGCUAAUUGAAAUUAUUUUUGCAUAAGUGUGUUUGUUUAACUAUUAAAUUUUCUCUUAUCAUUUUUAAUCAUUAGUACCAUACUUAGACCGUUCCUCCUGAACAUUCUUAAACCACUUCAACGUGUCAAAACUCAUCUCAAAAGGCAGAUUCAAUUUUGUAAAACACAACGCAUUUGGGCUUUACAACCACCAGAGUUAGUAGCCUAUGUUGAGAAUCUAGAAAGCCAACUCCAAGAUAUUGAGAGAAGUGUUUACGACAUCCAGUUGGAGCUUGAGGUAAAUUCAAUAAGAGGACAAUUUUAAUUUUCUUUGUGUGUUUUAAUUUGUUUUUCUGUUUGUGUGCUUUAGUUUGUUACCCCGGUGAAGUGGCGGAUAACGGUACUCCGUGACAAUCAAGUCGGUUACUUCAGUUUCCCAUAAUAACUAAUAUUCUGAGGCGAAUGUAUGGACAGAAACGAGAUUCUAGCAAAGCUUCACAACCGAUUCCCUUCACUUUCUCAGAAUGCCCUCCUUACAAUCUAUAAAGCCUGGUCCGAAUGCAUGCGAUUGCUCAUGAGGAAUAACAUACCUGCUGACAUCCGUUGGUUAAUCGAGGCGAAAGUACGAUUGUUAGGUGAGUUACCUCCAAAAUUUAUUGCACACAUGUCUGGUUGUGGUAAAGGAAAUUAUGUAAGAAAACGACGAGCUCGAAGAAUUUAUGUUGCUUGUCAUAAGUGUGCCAGAAUGAGUUACAAUAAAAACCCAUGUUCUUUAGGAAUGAUGUCUGAUAACAGAGAAGAUAAGAUUCAAUUAAUUAGGGAUGACUUGAAUAAGGAGUCAUUGGAUGAUAUCCUUCUGUCUCUUGAAACGCAUCCCAGUGGAUAUGUGUAAGGAGCGAUUCUCCAGUUAUGGCCAUUAUUCCAGAAAGAGCAUGCACGAUAUAGUCUCGGGAAUCUGACUAUAAACAACCCUAUUUGCCAGUUUAUAAGAAAACUGGAUAGGAAGCCUAUCCUCGACCCAUAGAGGGCGUUCAAGCCGUUUUUGGAUGUAAAACCAGAGGAAGAUGUGAGCCACAGUCGCAACUACCUGUAAAUAUCCUUUUACUUUACUGUUAUUUUAUUUCACUAUUGUUUUAUUGUUUGCAUUAUUGUCUUUAAUAAUUUUAUUACUGUUUGCUUUUUCCUUUUUGCUGUUUCCUUUUUGACUCGCGAGCCAUGUGCUUUACGCAUUAUUUGAUACUGACAUGUUACCUCAUACACAACUGUGAUCCACUGUCACCAAGACUCUUAAAUGUGAUUUUUUUUUGUCAAACACUCACAAAUUAUUUUUUGAUAAGUAUUCCAAUGGCAGCUACUCCAAAUAGACAAUUCAAGAACAUUUGUGUGCUUUCUGGAUUUAACUAUGGCAAGCAUAAAGAGUUCGUUGAGGUAGCCAUAGAUCUUGGUCGAAGCAUAGCAGCGAGAAAAUUACACUUGGUGCAUGGAGGAGGUAAUCGAGGGUUAUCAAAAAUGGUCUCAGAAGCAGCUUUUAUCAGAGGCAGCCAAGUGUUAGACAUCAUCCUAAGAGCCCUAAAACCUUUGGGCAGUUUGACUGACUUAUCGACUAGAAAAGAGUUAGUCGUCUCAGGUAUGCAAGAACAAAUAACUGAAAUGCUUAAUCAUGCUGAUGCUUUUAUUUUCCUUCCAGGAGAUCUUGCAACACUAGAGGCACUUAUCACACUAGCAUCUUGGGCUCAUCUGCACAUUCACCAGAAACCCAUCGGUUUGUUAAAUGUCAAUAACUUUUAUGAUGGCUUUAUCGCAUUUCUUAACCAUGCAAUAAAAAACUAUUUCAUUCCCUCUAAUGCGAAAAAACUCUUUAUUUGUGCUCACACUGCUAAUGAGCUACUUGACCUGUUACAAGCUUAUAGACCGGAGCCAGACCCCUAGACCUUUGUGUUGGAGCAUCCAAAUAAUGAUGGUAACAGUAGCCGCAGUAAGAAGUACAAAUUAGAUUUAACUCUCCACCUGUAAAUAUUUUCUUCUGUGUUGCACCACCCAGGUGAUGUCUUCUAAACUCUAUUUCUUUCCUUUAAAACAUUGAGGACAAUGUUUCGUUCUGAUUAGGGGGAGGGAAUAGUCGACAAUUGUGGAAUCUUGGUUAAGUUUUUACUGAUUUUUUUAUUGUAGAAACUAACUGUUACUAACAUUUUGUGUUGAAGAUGGCUGAAUAUGGAAUGUAGUGACUCUAGAAACGCAUCUUCAUCGUUUGAAAAAAAAAAAUAAUAAUAAUAAUUUAAAAAAAAGUAAAAAAAUUCAAAAUUCAAAAAAAAAAAUUUCAGACAUUUUCUUUUUCUUUAUUAAGUUUUGAUGUUUAUUUUUCUUCUUCUUUUUGAUUUCUCCUUUAUAAAUAUAUUCAAAUAUUUGAGUCGAAGAUGGCUAAAUAUGGAGUGUAAUGCCUUUAGAAACGUAUCUUCUUAGUUAAAAAAAAAAAAAACAUUUCUUUUUCUAAUUAAUUUUUUUGCAUGAUUUUCACAUUUCUGCAUGCAUAUUUUCCUUUCAUAUUUAGAAUAAGUUGGGGGGUAGAAUGUUGUUUAAAAAAAAAUUUGUGUGAUCUGUUUUAACAUUGGAUGACAUGAUUAAUUUCAAAUUUCAGUAUUUGUAUUAUUUUUGGUCUUAAGUGAUAUUACACUAUGUUUGCUACUUUACACAUGUUAAUGUUGGAGACAAAUAUGAGUUGCUUGAAGGAAUGAACAUGUCAUAAAUAAGUGCCAAGUGAGUUUUUGAGCCUAUCAUUUUCUUGGAGAGUAACUUUUUUGCCCAUUCUCUAUACAGCUUAGCAGUUUAUUAUUUUGUACACGAUCUCUAGAUUUCUUUUGAGUUAACCCUUUAAAAAAAAUUGUAAAAAAAAAAAAGAAGAAAAAGAAAAAAAAUGUGUUGCUACAUUGGGAGGCCCGUCUACCUAGUAGAUAUGGAUGAUUAUUUAAAGCCCUAAAAGACGAUGGAAAGGCCAUCUUUGAUCCGUUUGAGCCUUUCUAGCCAUUCCUUUUAUUAAAUAUCCAUAGUUAACCAUUUUGAGCCUUUAAAAAAUAUAUAUAUAUAUAUAUAUAUAUUUUCUUUGUCAACUUAUCAUCUUAACCCACUCUGACUUAGAGUAUUACCUGAUGUCUUAUAAGUUCCAUCACCUAUUUAUAUUUGAGAAAAUGUAAAUAAUUAUUUUGUUCAGUGAAGUUAUGCAAAAUUAAAAAAAAGAAAAAAAAAUAAAAGUUGUUUCAAAAAAGAAUAAAAAUAAUAAUAAUAGGUGAAAUCCACCUUGCAACUUAAAAAAAAAAAAAAAUUCUAUGCAUUUUUCUCAAACAUACACUUUGUUUUCCUUAUUUCCCUUCUUUGUUAGCCAUGUCCCUAGCCUACGUUACGUCCUAAUAAAAGUCCUUCUUGAUUUGAGGGAACUAUAGUCUGAAGUAGAAGCUAGUUAUAUGGGCUAAAAAGAUGUAGUGAUGCAUGAAAAAAAAAUUAAAUAAAUUGGGUUGACUAACAUUUUUAUUUGACUUGAGAUCGUAUUAUUUCUAAGUUGAGAGCAUAUUUCUUUUAUCUUGGUGAAAGCAUUUGAUACCACUUCUUUAUUAUUUUCUCUCAAUUACCAUUCAUUAGAGUGACUAUUUUUAUUGGGUUUAAUUUCUUUGUGAGAGUGUCACUAUUUCUAGUGAGAUUUUGAGGUUUGACAUGUCAUUCUUGAAGGUAGCUAUGACAAAGUCUACUGGGUUAAUUCAUGUGGAUGGUUGAUGUGGGUGUGAUGUUUCUUUAGACUUGAGAUAAUGCUUAUACUUUUAUUUGAUUGUUAUCAUUAGUCUGAUUGAAUAAACAAGAUUGUUAAAAAAAAAAAAUUGUGUUUGAACUUUGUUUUCGCUUUAUUUGUUAGGGACUAGCAAUAAGCUGGUUGGGGGUUGUGUUGAGUGUUAGAAAAUAUAUAUUUAUAAAGGAGAAAAUCGUCAUUUUACAUUUCAAGUCUUACUAACAACCCUUACUUUUAUGUAUUUAAGGUUCUUGUAAUUUAAUUAUGUGUGUUUUAUUUUAAUUAAGUAUUUUGUGUAUUUUAGGGGCAUCAUAGUCAUUUCACAAUAAACGAGAGAUCAAACGGCAAAACGGACAUCAUUUUUAAACUCAGGACGGUCGAAAACUUUAGGAGGAGCAUAAAAGAAAAAAUAACACUGUUCACAUGCACGAUACUAUUCACAUGUACGGUACUGUCUACGUUACUGUUCACGACACUGUUCACAUUGACGGAUCGAUGACGUGGCAUUGACCGAUGAUGUGGCAUUGACUGAUGAGGUGUCAUGAUCCUGUUGGUCUAAAAUUCUUAUGAACUGUUGAUAGUGACGUGGCAACAUAUUAGUGGACAAAAACUUGCGCGUACGGUACAUGCAUUACACAGGAUUAUUUUCAACCAAACCGCGUUACUAUUCAAAGCCGGGUCAAACCGUGUUACUGUUCAUCCGCGUGGUCAAACCGCGUACUGUUGACUGAUGACGUGACACAAUCCUGAGCGUCCAAGCUGUUUUUAAUCCGAUGGCCAUGAUUUACUCCAUGUAUCUAUAAAAAAGGGGCCUCCCCCCUAAUUUGAUACCUCUGAAUCCAUUUUUGGACUCCAUUUUCUAUAAUUCCUUCUCCAUCUUGUAUUUUCUACGUAUUUUAAUAAAUUUUCAUUUUGCCCCUAGUUCAAUUAUGAGUAGUUAAUUUUCUUUCAAACUUGGGUUCAAGGUGAAGUCUCAACAUGCGUCAUGGACUUUAUUUAGUAAAUUUAUUUUCUUUUCCCCUCUAAUUUUUGUGGAUGAUUUGAUUUUUCGUCGACAAAUAAUAAUAAUAUUGUCUAGAUACCGCCUUGGUUACAUCGGCUCUCUAGUACAAGGUUAUUAUUAUUUGGCACGAUAAGCCCUUAGCACUAUAUUGAUUAGAGUGUGGUUCAUGAAAUGUGGAUUCCUCCCUCAUGAUUUAAUUGGUAUUAAUAAGGAAUAUUUAGCCCAUGGUGCAUGUUGAUACGGAUCCAGAUACCCAAGUACGUCAUUUCAAUAGAAUUCACUUCAAUUUAUUCUCGUCAUUUCAAUUCCAAUUUUAGAAUUUAUUCUCGCCAUUUUAAUUUAAGUUUUAGCAUAUUUCAAAUCAUUUCCACCAAAAAUCCAAUCACCCAUUUACAAAAUUAAUUCUACACACAAUUAAAAUCUACCUCCUCGUGGGAUCGACACUCGUCACCAUUGGUCUAGACUACAAUAGAUUCGUGUGCUUGCGAGUACAUUAAAAUUGCACAACAUAAGCCACAGUUACGACUACUUGUAAAUAUUCUUUUACUUCAUUGUUGUUUUAUUAUUUGCAUUAUUAUCUUUAAUAAUUUUAUUUUAUCAUUGUUUGGUUUUUUUUUCUUUUUUACUGUUUGAUUUUUGACUCUCGAGCCAUGUGCUUUACACGUUAAUUGACACAAACACGCUACCUCAUACACAGUCGUGACCCACUGUCACCAAAAUUCUUAAAUAUAAUUUUUUUGUUAAGCACUCACAAAUUAUUUUUGAGAAGUAUCCCAAUGGAAGCUACUCUCAAUAAACAAUUCAAGAACAUGUCUGCUUUCGGGAUUUAACUAUGGCAAACAUAAAGAGUUCGCUGAGGCAGUCAUAGAUCUUGGUCGAAGCAUAACAGAGAGAAAAUUACACUUGGUGUAUGGAGGAGAUAACCGAAGGUUAUCAAAAUUGGUCUUAGAAGCUGCUUUUGUCAGAGGAAGCCAAGUGUUAGGCAUAAUCCCAAGAGCCCUAAAACCUUUGGGCAGUUUGUCUGACUCACCGACUGGAGAAGAGUUAGUCGUCUCAUGUAUGCAAGAGAGAAUAACUUAAAUGCUAAAUCAUGUUGAUGCUUUUAUUUUCCUACCAGAAGAUCUUACAACUCUAGAGGCACUUAUCACAUUAGCAUCUUAGGCCCAUCUACACAUUCACCAGAAACCUAUCGGUUUGUUAAAUGUCAAUAACUUUUAUGAUGGCUUUAUCGCAUUUCUUAACCAUGCAAUAAAAAACUAUUUCUUUCAUUCCACAGCGAAAAAAUUUUUUAUUGUGCUCACGCUGCUAAUGAGCUACUUGAUCUGUUAUAAGCUUAUAGACCAGAGCCAGAACCCAGGACCUUUGUGUUCGAGUGUCCAAAUAAUGAUAGUAACAGUAGCUACAGUAAGAAGUGCAAAUUAGAUUUAACUCUCCGCUUGUAAAUAUUUUCUUCUGUGUUGCACUACCCAGGUGAUGUCUUUUAAACUCUACUUCUUUCCUUUAAAACAUUGAGGACAAUGUUUUGUUCUGGUUGGGAGGAGGGAAUAGUUGACAAUUGUGGAAUCUUGAUUAAGUUUUUACUGUUUUUUGUUGUAGAGACUAACAAUAGUUAACUUUUUGUGUUGAAGAUGGCUGAAUAUGGAGUGUAGUAACUCUAGAAACGUAUCUUCUUCGUUUGAAAAAAAAAAACAAAAAAAACUUCCAAAUAUUUUUUUUUAUUUAUUAAGCUUUGACAAUCAUUUUUUUUCUUCUAACUUCUUCUUUCUAAUUUCUCCUUCAUAAAUAUAUACUUUCAAACUUUUGAGUCGAAGAUGGCUGAAUAUGGAGUGUAGUGACUCUAGAAAUGCAUCUUCUUAGUUAAAAAAAAUCAUUUUCUUUUUCUAUCAUUUUAAGUGUAACCUUUGUAAUUAGUUUUUCUGCAUCAUUUUCACCUUUCUGCAUGCAUAUUUUCUUUUCAUGUUUAGAAUAGGUUGGGGGGUAAAAUGUCGUUUGAAAAAAAAAUUUGUGAUUUUUUUUAACAUUAGAUGACACAUGACUUUCAAAAUUAUUAUUUGUAUUAUCUUUGGUCUUAAGUGAUGUUACGCCAUGUUUGCUACUCUACAUGUUGAUAUUGGAGACAAAUAUGAGUUGCUUGAAGGAAUGUACAUGUCAUAAUAAAUACCAAAUGAGUUUUUGAGCAUAUCAUUUUUCUUGGAGAGUAAUCCUUUUUGCCCAUUCUUCAUACAGCUUAGCAGUUUAUUAUUUUAUACAUGAUCUCUAGAUUUCAUUUGAGUCAAUCCUCUAAAAAAAAGGAGAAAAAAAUGUGUUGCUACAUUUGAAGAUCUAUCUAAUUAGUAGAUAUGGAAGAUUAUUUGGGGCCCUAAAAGACGAUGGAAAUGCCAUCUUUGACCCGUUUGAGCCUUUCUAGCCAUCUCUUUUGUGAAAUAUUCAUAGUUAGCCCUUUUGAUCCUUUUAUUUAAUAAAAAAAUUUAUUUGUCAACUUAUCAUCUUGACCCACUUUGAUUUGAUCUCUUACACAGAGAAUCCUUCUAACUUUAGUAAUGCUCUUAACCCAUUGACAUUCCAAGACAGAAGCUUCACAGAUUUUGUACCCUCUGCCAGAGGUGGAGGCCUCAUAGUUCUAGGGUUAUAAGCAAUCCAGCCCUUUUGAGGCUUCUUAUGCGCAAGCAUUGUCCAAGGUUCACUUUGGACUGUUAGCAGAGUAACUGCACUAUCAUCAGUAGCCAUUUCACUAUUAAUAUACAUACCUAAUAUCAUUUACUUUUUAUCAAAAGGACCCUUCCUAGAAAUAAUAACCAGGUGUCUAUGCUCCGGAUAAAACCGAAUGAACUAAGAUUAACGACCUAAAGAACAUGUAAGUUAGAGAAAGAGUGCAUUUUAAAUUAACAAAGGAUGCCAAAUGAUUAUUAAUGAAGCAAAAGUUCAAAAUAAUAAAGCAGUGAAAACUGUAUACAUAUAUUCUACUGUACCUGAAAUCUUAUCAGUUUUGACUGAGGCUUUAGCAUCAACUUCACCAGUUUCAUUGCCAAUUGGUGAUUUUGUAGCCUUUCUCUUACUUUCUUGGAGUGCAGAAACUUCUGGAAUAGAGUAAAUUUCUUGAGCAUGUUCCUCAUGAGAAAACUUCUUAGCCUUCCUCUCCCCUGAUAUACUUUUCGUAUUAGCCUUCCUUUUUACUGAUACACUUUCAGCAGAAAUGGAGGAUACCUCUUCUAUUUCCACAUGAGAACUACCACCUGCACAUAGAAGAAACUUCCAACCUUUAAAAAUAAGCAACACAGCAUUGAACCAAAACUGAUUGAGAGAACAAGGACGAGGCGGAACAAAGGUAAAACAAACAAUUGAGAGUAACGAAAAUUCUUCUGCUCCAAUCUUAAUGGAAAUGACACGACGCUAUGCAAAAUACUGGAGAAUAUUGAAAUUUGAUUCUUUGGUAAAAAGAGUUUACCUUCCAUCUUCUUCUCCACAUAAACCUUCAAGGCAGAUACUGGAUCACAUUUAGAACCUUUAGCAGGGACCCCAAUACCCCUGAUGAUCAAGAAUGAAAUAAGCAUACUAACAAAAACUACAAAUAGAAGUGCAACAUGGUAUUCUGCCCAUCAACCAUCCACUCAAUUGAUUCAUUCUCCAAAUCAAUUUGAAGAACCGUCAUUGACCGUUCAAGACGAGGCACAAGAAAUGCAAGUAAUACAGAGAAGCCGACACCUAAACCAUUUCAAGUUAGUUGCAUAUAUACUAGUUUGUCAUGAAGCUUCCAGAACAAAGCACCCCCCUCCAUAUCUCAGGCAACCCAAAUGAAACCCAAAAUCUGAAUGCACAUCAGACAUAAAUCGUGUGGUUUUUCUGAAAGUUAUAUAUUCAUGAUACAAAAUUUCAUGUCUUUCUGAAUAUUGAGCCUUUAAAACUUUGGCUUACCUCAAUAUAGUUCUGAGUUCUUGAACUGUCAUGACCUCAAUUCUCUCAGGAUUAUCCUUUAUACUCUGAAUUCUAGCUUCAUUGCUUUCUACUCCAAUAUCCUACACAUCAAUUUACAGUUAAAAUUUUCCUCAAUUACUCCAAUUGUCUCACUACUUCUUGUACGCUAGUUAAUAUCAACAGUGACUCUAUACACAGACCCACAAAACAAUGAAGCAAGUUAAAACUAUCAACAACAAAAAUCAAAACCACGGCACACGUUCGGGGUCGAACCCACUAAUCCGUUCACCUUUUCAUCUUCCAUGUUAUCGAAGGACGGUGCCGGUUUGGAUGAACUUGCAAGAUGCCGUUUAGGCUUCAUAGCUCUGAAGGAGACAAAGGUUCCAAUUCUAAAAUUUCUUGGAGUAACUGCAAAACUAAAGAAGAAAAGAGAUAUAUUAAAAUAGACAAAAAUAAUUUCUUUAAUUUAAAAGAAAUGAUUUUUAUAGAAUAACUGAAGCUGUCAUAAAUGAACACAAUACCACUGUAGCAGUGGAUGAAGAGGCACAAUAUUUUGAAUCAUUAAAGCUAAUUAAUUUAAUCCCAGAACAAAAAUUACAUUUUUAUUACUGAAAAAUCGAAGAAAGAAAGUACCCAGCAGGAGUAACGAAAGCCUUGAGUCCUAGUUGAAAGACUUGAUUCAUCUAUCAAACUCAAAACCUGGUGCAACUUAGCAAGGAGCACGGAGAAAAAGUAAGCCAAUAAUGUGACUCAAUCCCAAAAAUAACAAAUGUGAAGUUAAAUUACCUAAAUACCCUUCUGUAUUAUAGAACGCAAUAAUGCUUAACUGUGAAUCUCAGUACUUUUCUAUACUUCGAAAAGUACGAAAUUUUGACAUAAUCAAUUUCUUUUGAUUAUAGGUCGAAAAGUAUGAAAUACGUCUAUGUAUUUAUUAUGUGUUGGACUAUUGGCAUGUCUGAAUUAUUCUCAUAAAACCUCUAUUGUUGACAUCCCUUAAUUAUUCUCAUAAAACCUCUACUUUAUAGAAAUUAUAUUUAAACACAAUUUUGAAUAGAAUUUUUUUAACUAACACCCCCCAAAAAGUUUUAAAAAAACCUUUACCCUAAAGAUGUGCCAACUAAAAAAAACAAAUCUAGAAGUUCAUAUUCUAAUAACACCACUAUUAUCCUAAAAUAGCCCCCUCUCUCUCUCUUUAAUAAUUUUCACAUACAAAAUUUGUAAAAAACGUUUAACCAUAGGAUAUUUCUCUCUCAAUAUUUAAUAUAUUGAAUUUUUUGUUCUUAUUUAAUUAGAAUAGCACUUUUUUUUUUCUUUUUUUCAUCGAUUUUUUUUGUUAUUUGGUUUAUUCUAUUUCUUUUUCCUUUGAAGUUACAGGAUGAUAUUUUUUUGUAAAUUAGUAGCUCUUUCUUUUUUUUUAUAUGUGAGCAAUUUUGUAUUGAUGCUUGAGAUAAGGAGGGAAAAAGAAAAACAAAUUCAUCAAAAGUUUUAUUUAAAGCACAAAACGAAGAAUUAUUUUUAUAUAUCAUUGAAUUUUAUUGUCCAAAUAAUAAGCAAAUACUAGGUUCUGCAAUCCUGUUAAAAGCGAAAAGAAUAUUAUCUUUCAAAGGCUAAUAUUUUUUCAACAAAAGAAAUUAUUAAGAGCAUAUAGUUGAGAGGAUUACAUGAUUCAAUUUCAGCUGAUACAGGCGCUGAUAAUUCAAAAGGCAGAGAAAUAUAAGCAGUAUCAAGGCCAAAUUAAAGUAGAAACAGUGGUUACUUGAUAACUUAGAAAGCCUCUUCAAGAGGAGUCAAUUGGCAGCUCAUGGUCAAAAUUUUGUAGAUGACAAUAUGACCCAUACAUUUGCUUUUAGCACACCAAAAGUAUUUAAGUUGAAGCUUCAUUUGAAAAGGAAAGCAAGUUUGAAUCACUUUUAUAAACAAUUCCCUCCAUUUCUUUUUGUUGGCCUUGUUGGUUACUCUUUCUUUCAAAUAUGUUAUAAAACUAUCGAUCAUUACUGUGAUAUGGAGAGUGUCAUGACUAUGGUUGUUCAUCCCACUUAACUGGCAAGACUUGUUGAAAUAAUACAAUACCGCAUUUGAUUCAGAUACUCAGCACAAGGGUACUAGGAGGCACUAUAUGACCCCAACACUACAAGAAAAAACAGAAUACUUGACAUUUUUUAUUUGAUAAUUUUUAAGAAAUAUCAAAUAUAUAUGACAUUUUGUGAAAAAUUGAGUAAUUAUGAAAUAUAAAUAACAAUUUAUUUAAACGUCAAAUACUUAUGACGUUUUACCAAAUAAGUGGCAAAUAUAUUAUAUAUUUAUUGAAUAAUUACCAUUUAUGUUUUCCUUUUAUUGACUUAAGAAAAAAAACAAAAAGCGCACAUGUUGUGAACCUGUAAUUAGGUCCAGAUGCCCGUCUUCCAAGAAUUUCAGCUUGCUUUAGCCUAGUGAGCUUGUUUCAUUCACAUAUCACAUCUGGACUGCCUUUGUUUCUUUUAAGAAAAUUCAAACUCGUAUUUCUUUUCAAUAAUCACUUCGCAUUUUUUAUCAAUCACUCAAUUUCGAAUUUCAUCUCCAUCCUCUCUCGAAGAAGAACGCACAAAGAAUUUCAGCUUGCUUUAGCCUCAUUUGCUUCUCGAAUUUCAGGUAUUGUUUCCUUUUCCUUUAAAUUAACAAAGCAUCAUCAUCUGGUUUGAUAAUUUUAGGGUUAUAGUUGAAUUAUUUGUAUUUUAAAACAAUCUAGGGUUGAUUUAAUUGAUUCCAAGUGUCGUAUCUGUUCUGCUAUUUGAAUACACAUUACUUAUUUGAUGAAAUGUCUCUUUAAAAGAUUAUUUUUGUUUUUAACAAGCAUCUUAUUGAGAUGUUUCUCGUAAUAUAUUAACGUAAUGCACUUAGCUUCAAUUUUUUCUGUUUAAUACAUUUUAACAAAGGAAACUUACAGAACUGCAACAAUUCUCAAAUUGCUUGCAAAUUAGAAGUAAUGUUAUUGAUUUUUAUUAAUUAAUGAGAUUUUAAUUUAUUGAGUCUGUAAACUCACUCUAAGAAGUGAUUAUUGCUUCAAUUUAGUCUGGUUCAUACAUUUUCAUUCUCAUUAUAAAUGACAGUCAUCUCUCAUUUUUUCAUCAAUCACUCAAUUUCAAUUUUCAUCUCCAUUCUCUCUUGAAGAAGAACCCAUGAAGAAGUUCAGCUUGCUUCAGCUUCAUUUGCUUCUUGAAUUUCAGGUAUUUUUUCUUUUAAUUUUGAUUUUUUUUAAUUCUCUCUUUCUAGUUUGAUAAUUUUAGUGUUAUACUUGAAUUAAUUGUAUUUUUAAUUGAUACUAAGUCUUAUAUCUGUUCUCGUUCAACAAACAAAGAACGCACAAAUAAUGUUCACUUUCAUUCUCAAUUUUGAAAGAAUCAAUAUAUUUUAUUUAUAACAUCUGUUAGAUUCUUGACAAACAAUCAUAGAGAUACAGUAGUAGAAAUUAUAUUAGACACACUCUAGUUGCUUAAUUAGUAAAAUUGAGAUCUCAUUGCCUUAUUUUUUGGGGUUAAUUCUAUAAUUUUAUUAGUUGUUCUUGUGGUUGCAAACAAUAUCAUUUUUUAAUAUUAAUAAAACUAAAUGAAUAUUAUGUGAUGCAUUUGCAGGAAAGUUAGUAGUUUAAAUAUGGAUAAAUCUUGGAUGUUGAUGGAUAGAACGUCUAUAGAAUAUGAAAAUGGGGUAAAUGAGUUUCUCAAGUUUGCAAUACUUCAUGCUAGUAAUCCUGAACUUUUAAGAUGUCCAUGCCAAGGAUGUGGUAAUUUGGUCUUUCAUGUACCUGCUGAGAUAAGAAAUCAUCUUUAUUGGAAAGGUAUUGACCAAAGUUAUCAGACAUGGACUUGGCAUGGAGAAGGAGCUUCUAGUAGACGACCAUCAAAUGUAAAAGCUUCAUUUGAUGGCAGUCUACAAGAUGAUGAAGCUGCUGAUACAGUAGAAAUGGUUAAUAAUGCAUUUGACACUUGUAAUGGUGACCCCAAGUCUUUCGAAACUGUACUUAAAGAUGCUGAAAAACCUUUGUUUCCCGACUGUGUGAAAUUCACUAAGUUAUCUGCCUUAAUAAGGCUUUACAACAUUAAAGGAAGAAAUGGAUGGUAAGACAAAAGAUUUUCAGAUUUACUAGGUUGUUUAUUAGAUAUGCUUCCUGAUAAAAAUGAAAUACCUUUAUCUGUAUAUGAAGCAAAGAAGAUUAUGGUUGCAUUAGGCUUAGAAUAUGAAAAAAUACAUGCAUGUCCCAACGAUUGCAUCCUAUAUAGAAAAGAAUAUAAUGAUUUAUCUGCAUGUCCCACUUGUGGAAUGUCAAGAUGGAAGAGUCCCAAGAAAAGUAAGGGAAUUCCUGCUAAAAUCUUAUGGUAUUUUCCUCUUAUACCAAGGUUUAAAAGGAUGUGUCAAUCUCCUCGAACCGCAAAAGACUUAAUUUGGCAUGCCAAUGAAAGGGUGAUUGAUGGCAAAGUACGUCACCCAGCUGACUCACCGUCAUGGAGGCUAAUGGACCAAAAAUGGCCAGAUUUCGCUGCAGAAGAAAGAAAUCUUCGGCUGGCUAUUUCUGCAGAUGGGAUAAAUCCCCAUAAAAACUUUCGCAGUUCGUAUAGUUGUUGGCCAAUUGUUAUGAUUACUUAUAAUCUUCCUCCUUGGUUAUGCAUGAAAAGAAAAUUCAUGAUGUUGACUAUGCUAAUAUCUGGUCCACGACAACCCAGUAACGAUAUUGAUGUCUAUUUGUCACCACUGAUUGAUGACUUGAAAACUUUGUGGGAAGUUGGUGUCCAAAUUUAUGAUGCAUAUAGACAAGAAUUAUUUACUCUACGAGUUGUCUUGUUGUGGACAAUUAGUGAUUUUCCUGCUUAUGGGAACUUGUCUGGAUGCUCAGUUAAAGGAUAUUUUGCAUGUCCUAUAUGUGGGGAAGAUACACAGUCCUGUAGACUUAAGAAUGGGAAGAAAAAUGUGUACAUGCGCUAUAGGCGAUAUCUCCUAGAAUCUCACUUUCUUUCACACUGUUAAUUUAGAAUUUGAUUGGCAAAGGGAGAAGAGGCUAUUGAAUGAACAAAUAGCGAAGAUGAAAGCUACUAUCCAUGAUCUCUUAAAAUCUUCACCAAAAGCAAGACACUCCAAUGUCUGUAGCAACAAAUUUGGAUCACAAGAUGUGUCUAAUGAGACAAAUAACAAAACAGAUCCAAUUUUUGAAAAGCAAAAAAAUAAGGUACACACACUCAAGUAAUUAAAUUAAUCUUUGAAUUUAUACUUUAAGUGCAUAUUUAAUAAUCUUAUUACUUUUUUUUGUUAGGAUCAAACUUGUCAGUCGGCUGUAGGAUGUAAAGAAAACAUUGUUGCUACUGGAACUAUUUUGGAGUAUAGGAAGCCAAAUGUUUUAGUUGUAAUUGAUAUGGUAUUAAGUCCAGAUGCCCAUCUUCCAAUCAGGACUAGUGAGCUUGUUUACGUCAGUGAUGGGUUAGGACAACACAUAUUAUGGCUAGAAAAGCUUGUUUCCUAAGCUGUUGUAGUAAACAAGGUAUUGAAUUUGGCGUAUAUUACUUGUUUUUUUUAAUUCCUUAAUUGAGAAUUUAAAUUGUAAUCACAUGUGAAUGCUUAAAUUUCUAGAUGUCUAAGUCAGCUGUAAAGCCUUCCAAGGGGAAAUUAGAUGUGAAUGCUGAAGUAAACACCCCAAUGGUACCUGACCUAUAUUACUAGCUUUAAUUCUUGUUUUAUUUAUUUAUUUAAAAUUUAAGUAAUAAUCAUAUUUGAAUGUUUGCAUUUCUAGGUGUCUAAAUUAUUUAUCAAGCCUUUUAAAGAAAAAUUAGAGGUGAAUGAGGAAGUAAACUCUCCCAUAGUUCAGCAAACAUUUAAAAAACCUCCUGACAUACAAGUUUUUGAUAAAGUGGUAAAGAAAGUUAUGAAACCUGGUUCCCAAGUUAAGGUUGAUUUUGAGGACACAUUUAGUUACAAAUUGCAUACAUAUCUCACUUUGGAGGAAAUUCAAGAUCUUAUUGAUAUGCAAGAGCUUUCACAAAACUGCAUUGUUGUAUACAUGAGGUAUGAUACUUCAAUAAUGCUUUAUAUUUUUUCGAUUAUUUUUGUUUCACUUUAAUUGACCUAGCACUUUUUCUUAUAUACUAGAUAUCUUUGUGCUGAAACGAAGGCCAGGCUAAUUAAUGAAAAGUUUGGAUUCAUUCAUCCUACCACUCUUUCUUUUUUGGAUGAGAGUACUUUCAAACAGAAAGCAAAAACUCUUGUUGAUCGUUUCCAAGAAUUGAGGGCAAAACAAUUUAUCUUCUUACCAUAUAAUCCUAGGUUAGUUAUUUUGUUGCUUUAAAUAUCUUUGUUUAUCUACUUAGUUUUUACUUUUUAAUUAGUAUUUUUUUCUAACUCUUUAUUCAUUUGUUAAUAGUUGUCAUUGGAUCUUGCUUGUGAUCGACUAGCCCUCAAUGGUUGUUCAUUAUUUGAAUUCAGUGAGAAAUGAAAUCAGUGUUGAUAUAAAAAAAAUUGUAACUGUGUAAGUAUAUUAAAGAUAUUUAGCUAUAAGUGUACUAGUGGUUUUUGCUAUAUAUAUAAUUAUUAAGUUUAAUAUUUCAUAUUUGAUUUGUAUUUUUUUGUAGUGGGAUUCAAAUGUUUCUUGCCAAAAAAGGACAGCAAAUGAAAAAGAUUAAUUUGAAAUGGAAUGAUGUUAAGGUGCCUAUGCAAAUUGGUAAUGUUGAAUGUGGCUACUAUGUCAUGCGAUUCGUGAAGGAGAUUAUUGCAGAUCAAAGUAUACUUUGUGUAAAGGUUAGAUCAUUAACAUAACUUAAACUUAUUGCAGAUUUUACAGAGAAAUAAAUAUAGUUUUUUGUCUUUUGAUGUCAGUUUAAUGAAAAGAUACUUAUAAUGAAGAUGAGAUCAUCGAAAUUCGCGCUGAUUGGACCACUUAUGUUAGUGACUUGAUUUGAAAAAAAAAAUGCAAAAGAGACAAGUAAUUCAGGUAAAUAGCAUAUGAUUCAAUUAAAGUACAUUAGUUUAUUGUUAAUAUUUUUCAUACAUAGAUUUUUCCUUCUCUUUGUGCAUAGAUAUCUUAUGCUUUCAUUGCAUAAGGCAACUAUAUCAUCUAGUUGGAUUCAUAAUAAAAGCUCUUAGUUAAUUCAAUCAAAAUUUGUCAAUGCCUUACUGGUAACCAUGACUUACCUUUUUAGCCUCUUCCUUAAACAAUAACAGUAGUAUAUGGCAUAUGAUUACCUCUUUCUUCUCCUUUUGAUUUUUGAAGUUUCUAAAUUUUCUUCGGUCACCGGUUUUCUUGAAAAUUUUUCUGAACCUCCUUGUUGGCAUAGCCAACUCCUCAUCAUCCGGCUCACUUUCUCUAUCACUCUCAUAUUUUGUGGCUUUGAGUGCAAUGUUUUUUUUUUUUUCCUCAUUUCCUCUUUCGGCUGCCAAAUCUUCCUCAUAAGAAAUAAGAGAACCAAUUAACUCAUCAAUAAGUAAGAUAUUCAAAUCUUUAGCUUCCUCAAUGGCAGUCCUUUUUGGUCUCCAUUCCUUAGGUAAUGACCUAAUAUUUUUUUAACUUUCUCGCUAUUUGAAAAGGUCUUUCCUAGGGUUCCUAGAGUGUUUACUAUGUCCGUAAAUCUAGUAUACAUAUAAUACACACUCUCAUUUUGUUCCAUUUGGAACAAUUUAUACUGCCGAGUGUACCUACUAAUUUUAGACUCUUUCACUUGAUUCGUGCUUUCAUAAACAACUUCAAGUUUGUGCCAAAUUUCAUUAGCACUUUCACAACUAAACACUCUAUGAAACUCUUUCUUAUUGAGUGCACAAAACAAAGCAUUCAUGGCUUUGGAAUUUAGAGAAGCUUUUCUCUUUUCCAAUUCAUUCCAUUCCCAUAAAGGUUUUGGAAUGUCUUCCCCGAAUUCAUUUUUAGUCAAAGGCAUAAAUGGACUAUCACAUACAACUUCCCAAAUUUCAUAAUCUAGUGCUUGUAAAUAAAUUCUCAUCCUAGUUUUCUACUAUGGGUAGUCAUUUCCGUCAAAGAACGGUGGCCUAGUUGUGGAUUGUCCUUCCCUAAAGGUUGAAUCAUUUUGGGUUGCCAUGGAUCUUUUGCUCUAGACGGUUAAGUCCUAACAAGAGAACCAAGCAUUGAUACCAAAUGAAAUGCAAGUAACGCAACUCAAGAGGGGGGUGAAUUGGGAUUUUAAAAAUUAUGCAAUACAAUUCGCUCAACAAAUCAAUCUAACGCCUUAAUGAAAUAGAAAACAAUAAAUUCAAACAAGCGUAAAAAUAAAAGAGUAAGGGAAGAGAAAAACAAACACACGAAUAUUUACGUGGUUCGGCAAUCCCCGCCUACGUCCACGCCGCCAAGCCAACCAAGCUCGAGGAUUUCACUAUCCAAGCCUCCCAAGGCUUCAAGUUUUUACAAUUGACUUACAAGGUGUCAAUGAACCUUUAUAAUCAAGAGAUUAUCUCCUCAAUCUCUUUACCCCAAGUGUUUCUCACACUUAUAGACUCACAAUUUGAUAAGAAAUGAAAAUUACAACAAAAACUUUCUUUAAGAGUGGAUAUGCAAAUAAUAGCUCAACAAUGAUUCAAUCCAUGAUGAUUUGCGUUUUGGAAGCUCAAUAUAUGUUGUAUUAUCUUAUAUUUGCUUGCAUUAGUUCUUAGAAUGAAUUUUGAGUUGAGUUUUUAUAGUUAAAGCCCGAAAACUAGCCGUUAUAGGUAAAUUCCCGCGCCUAAGCGGUUAGGCGCUUGAUUUAUCCGGUUAGCCGCUCAGGAACAGUGAUAUUACCGUUAUUUUUGAAUUUUGCUAUAGUAAUACUGUUCACUAAAAUUACACUUUAGCCCAAAACUUUCUAUAAUUAUACUAUGGCCUAAUGUGUCUUAAAACUUUACAAAUAGGUCUAAUUUCAGAAUUUCUUAAGAAUAGUUGACCUUCCAAAACUUUUUAAAAUUAUGAUAUGGCCCCAAAGAUAUUAUUAUUUCGCAAAAAGGUCCUUUUCAACAUAAUGUCCAUAUUUUUCAAUGUUCUCAAAACCUUUCACUUUAGUCCAAAAUAUUCAUAAAUUAUAGUAUGGCCCAAAAUAUUUUAAAUGUUUGUAAAAACGUCCAACUCCGAAAUUUAAUAAUAAUACUUAUUAAAAUCAAAGAUUUCAAAACUUAGCAUUUAAGUCCAAAUUACUCAAAUCCACAAAAUGCUUUACUUUAUAAAAAUAAACCUUUUAGUUUAUGAAAAGUAUUUAAUUAAAUUAAUCUCUUGAGCUUCUCAAAUGCUAAAUCAUGCAUCAAUUAAAUCAUACCAGCUUUACAAGAAUUUAUCGCACUAAUUUAUUCAUUGAGCUCUAAACUUUAUUCUUGAUUUCGCCGUUUGUCCGUUGAGUGUCUUGAGCUUGAUUUCACUUGAUUCACUUGCAUAAAUAUUACCCUUCAAAAACUAGUGAAAAUGUGAAAUACAAUAUCUAUUAAAUCACUUAAUGCAUAUGUUUGUUAUCAUCAAAAUUACUUUAUGAGUAGCCCUUUAGGCUAACAAAUCCUCCACUUCACAACACACUGGUGAGAGCAGUCAAGCUGCAACAUUUGCCAAAAAUGAUGAUCCAUCACCUGUGGAUAACGAGGCUGUAGCACCAACUCAGAACAUGACAAAAGAGAAGCAGUCUGCACAACCUGCUGCAGCACAGCAGUUUAGGCACCCACCACCCUUCCCUCAAAGAUUUCAGAAGCAACAACAAGACAAGUAGUUCAGCAAAAUCUUGGGAGUGCUGAAACAGCUGCAUAUCAAUAUCUCUUUUGUGGAAGUUCUAGAGCAAAUGCCAAACUAUGCAAAAUUUUUGAAGGAUAUUUUGACAAAGAAAAGAAGACUUGGAGAGUUUGAAACAGUUGCUUUAACUCUUUAAAGCAUUAAAUUUAGUUUUUAAAUUAUUGAAUUUGUCUUCUUGUUAUUUUAAGUGUGCAUCUAAUUUUUUAUGUCUUUGUGUUAAAUUACAGCAAGUAAAAACAAAAAAAAAAGCAAAAAAAAAUGAAAAAAAAAGCAGGAAGGAAUUGCUGCAGCAUCACCUACAACAUGACAUAUAACAGAAGAUUCUCAAACAACAGAGGCAUUUCUUGCUUCUGCAGCAGCAAAUGGAUUGAUCAGAUUUGAUGAUAAGGAGCGUUUGAGAAGUAUAUCAAAGAAGAAGUGACCCUUUUACAGCCUAUGCUGCAGCAGUGCUUCCAGCAACAGGGCAGUACCCCCUACCCGCUAGUUUAUCUUACUUCUUUUUGCAAAAACUUUUCUUUUAUUUAGUUUUAAUUUUCUGAUUCAUUCUGCAUGUCCUUUUAUUUAGUGUACGCAUGUCUGGUUUAUGUGGUUUUGUGUUGUGUGCUUGUGAGGACACAACACCACUUAAGUUUGGGGGGGUUGUGUUUCUAAGUGCAUGUGUUUAUGCUUGUGUUGUGUGUUGUGUGAAGCUCUGUUAUAUAAUAUUUAUGUAUAAAUUUGAAAACUUAAUGAAGAUAAAUUGAGUAUUAUUCAGUAUUUAUGAGAAUGUCAUGUAGAGAUAGUUAUAGAUGGAGGUUGAAAUUAUGUCCCGACACUUAGACUUUGGUUGAGUUUUAUGAGAAUGUUGUAGCAGAGCCAGGAAAACAAAAAAAGAGUAGAAAAUAUCUUAAGUUUGGGGGAAAAUUUUUGUUGGAUUGUGCCUGUUAUGAAAUAAAUUCUGCUCCAAUGGUUUAGUUGCUGAGUAACCAGGGUUGAGUAUGCACCCCAUAUGCAAACUUGAGUCCAAAGGUAACAAGAGUUAUGAGCAGUGCUGCAUCAAUUAUAUAUAUAAAAAAAAGCAAAAAAAAGUGAUGAAGGAAUGAAAAAUAAAGAGGUCCGCUGCCUAGGAUACUGAGUAACCUGGUUUGUUCAUGAGUCCCAUGUUCAGUCUUGAGUCAAAGGCGUCCAAAAGUAAGACCUAGAUAUAAUAUCAUGGAUGUGUUGCUGCAGUAACUCUGACAUGUACUUUGAGUGAGUAAUUGGGUGUCGUCAUUACAAGUGAUAGGCAUUCACAUGAAAGCUCAAUGUUGAAUUGAAGAGUUUAACUGAAAAAAAUAAUUAUUAUUAUUGUUGUAGCACAGUUUGAGUAUAUUUGUGAUUUCUACUCCCCCAUAUGUGAAUAUAUUUGUGUUCUACCUUUGAAUUAUAUGCAAUGCUUGUGUAAUGUUGUAGCACCUUUGGAAUUUGAUCAAAGUGGCAUACACACACUUUGGGCAGAAUGAGGCCUAAGUCUAAAACUUGAACUACUAUGGCAAUUUUGUAUGAUUAAGAGUGUGAUCUGAGGGUGGAAGAAUCCUUGCAAAUUUGAUGACAUAGUUAAGUUAUUUGUUGCAUGAUUGUGUGAUUACAGAGUGAGUGUUGUUGUCAUUACUUGAGGACAAGUAACAAUUUGAGUUUGGGGGUGUGAUAACUCUAUGAAAUUAGAGUUAUUAUGGUAAUUCUAGACUUAAAUCAAGAAUACUUAGAGAGUAAAUGAUGUGUUUCUAUUGCAUUUUUGUUACAUUUUGCAAAAAUAUUCAUUUUAGUUUAGUCUUAAUGAGUUUUGCUUAAUUUAAAGUAAUUCGUACUUAAAUUGUGUGCAUAAUUGUAGGUUUCCAUAAGCUUAAAAUUCAUGGAAGGAAUGUUGCUGCAAUAGGCUUGCAAAAAUGAGGAAGAACUUAGCUACAAAAGAAUUGAAACAAAUCUGGAACAGUGCAGUUGCUGUAGCCAUUACUGUAGUAACAAUUGCUGUAGCCGUUGCUGUAGCAAUGAUACUUGUAGAAUUGCGAUCUGCAGUUUCCUAAUCUGACUUAUGCGCACCCUAGGCUUCCGUUUACCCUAAUUUUCAACUAUAAAAGAAGCACACAUCAUAAGAAUUAGAGGGGGCCGUCACCCAAGGAGAAAAACACAAAGAAACAAAAGAAAAACCAGAUUCAAGAGAGAGAUUGAAGGCUACACAAGAGGAAAAAUUAUAGAGAUCAAUUGGGAGCUCAAUCUUUCUCAUCCUUCUCUUGUUUUCGUGUUUUCUAUUUAUUCAUAAGGAUGUGUUUCAUGGCUGAAACUUUGUUCUUUAUUUUUCUUUUGCAAACCAUGAACUAAAUUUAUUUGUGGUUGAGUGAUAAACAAUCUUGAUGGUUUAUUGACUGAAUAUAUGUGUUGCUGCAUGUUUGCUGUAGCAGUUUGUUUUGAUAGUAUUUACGUUUUGAUAGUAUUUACUUUUAUUCAUUAUUUCGGUUGAUCACCCAUUUAAUGAUACAAGUUAGGAGAGAACCGCAAAAGGACCUAUCUUAGUGGAACAUAUCAUAGCAAUACUUGGUUUUUUAUUGGGUUUCUUGGAUUGAGUUUAACUUAUCCCAAAAGGGCCAUACUUAGUCUAAAAUUAGUGAUGAACUAGACAUAAGGAUUCACCUUGUAGGGUAAAUAGAACCAAAGCGUGUAAUGUUAUAUCUUAUGUUGGCAUAAUAAUUGAUCACUGUUAGGUUACAUAUAGAUAUAAGAUAUCCAACAUGCGACGACUAAGGAUGCAUAAAGAUUCUGCCGAGUGCUGUAGCAUAUACUGCAACAACCGAGCCAACCAUUAGAAAGCAGUCCAGACCAUUAAGAGAGUUUAUUCACUUAACUACUAUAUAUUCCCAUUAGUUUUAUCAUUGAGCUUGACGUGAUAGUUUAUUUUGUUGCAUUUUAUUUAUUACAUUUUUAUUUUAAUUAGUAUAUUAGUUUCAUUAAUUGUUUGAUUUUAUUUUUGCACAAAAUCUGCACUGUUAAGAUUGUUGUAGCAUAUAUGAUAACAUCAAUCCCUGUGGAGACGAUCUUGAAUACUCAUAACUUUAUUACUUGUUGUGUACACUUGCACAUGACACUAAUAGCAUUAGUAUUUAUACACCAACAAUUGCUAACAACAAUUAUCAGUGGCCAUCAACCAGACAAGCUGCAGCAAGAGGAACAACAGGAGUUCAUAACGUAGAUGCCUUGACAGCGUUGUCAGCCCAAGUAACUUCAAUAACAACAUGGUGCAAGUUAUGACUGCUGCUCCAGCAAGUGUCAACCUAGUUGCCGAGGUCUCUUGUGUUUAUUGUGGAAAGGGACAGUUAUUUGAUAAUUGUCCUGGGAAUCCAACUUCAGUCAAUUAUGUGGGCAGCUUCAAUAAACAGAACCAGGACAAUCCAUAUGCAAACACUUACAACCCUGGAUGGAGACAGCACCUGAACUUUUCAUGGAGUUAUCAGAACCAAACUGCUGCAGCACCUAGUGGACAGAACAGACCUACUCAACCACCUGGAUUUUAUUGGCAAAAUCAAGAGCAAAGAAGCAUCAACAAUGAUCAACUUAGCUCCCUUGAAGCUUUGAUUAAGGAUUAUAUUGUGAAGAAUGUAGCGGUUGUCCAAAGUCAUGUUGUAUCUUUGAGAAAUUUGGAAAACCAAAUUGGACAGGUUGCUACAGUAUUAAGUAACAGACCUCAAGGCAGUUUACCCAGCAACACAGAGAACCCAAGAAGAGAAGGGAAAGAGCACUGCAAAGUGAUAAAUUUGAGAUCUGGAAAUGAGGUUGAUAGUUCAGUUGGUAUACCAAACAGAAGAAUUGAGUCCAACCAAGGCUAAGAAGACACUCAAGUAGAGAAGAGGUCACAGUCUUCCACUUUUUAGAAUGUAAAUCAACAUAAUUCUGCUACAGCAUCUGCAGAAAGUUAUGAUCCAGCACCUAGUGGUGAGGAAGCUACAGCACCAACAGCAACAGACCUGAGUAGAGCAAAAGAGAAGCAGUCUGCACAACCUGCUGCAGUAUAGCAGUUUAGACACCCACCACCAUUCCCUCAAAGAUUUCAGAAGCAAAAACAAGACAAGUAGUUCAGCAAAAUCUUGGGAGUGUUGAAACAGCUGCAUAUUAAUAUCCCUUUUAUGGAAGUUCUAGAGAAAAUGCCAAACUAUGCGAAAGUUUUGAAGGAUAUUGUGACAAAGAAAAGAAGACUUGGAGAGUUUGAAACAGUUGCUUUAACACAAGAGAGCAGUCAAAUGCUUCAGAGUAAGAUACCACAGAAGAUAAAGAAUCCAGGAAGCUUCACAAUCCCAUGCUCCAUAGGCACUAAAUACAGUGGCAAAGCCCUUUGUGAUUUGGGGGCUAGCAUCAAUCUCAUGCCUUUAUCAGUGUUUUAGCAAUUGGGAGUUGGUGAAUGUAGACCAACAACAGUGAUUUUACAACUUACUAACAGAUCUCAUGCAUAUCUAGAAGGAAAGAUUGAAGAUGUGUUGGUGAAGGUUGAUAAAUUUAUUUUUCCGGUGGAUUUCAUUGUGCUAGACUUUGAGGCAUACAAAGAAUUGCCAAUCAUUUUAGGGAGACCUUUCUUAGCCACAGGAAAGACUUUAAUUGAUCUUAAAAAAGGAGAAUUAACCAUGAGAGUAAAUGACCAGCAAGUUACAUUCAAUGUGCUGGAUGUCAUGAAGAGUCCUGAUGAGAUGGAAGAUUGUAAUUUUAUCAGUGUUGUCAACUUUGUUGUAGCAGAUAGAUUACACAGUUGCUAUAGUAAGGAAGAAAGCAAUGCUGUAACAUGUGAAGAACUUGAUGAUGAAGAUCAUGAAGCAGCUAACAUAACAUGGUCAGGGGAGAAGCAACCCUUCAAAAUUGACGAGCAAAUCCAGCAAAGGGAACUCACUCCAGACCAACAAGAAUUCAAGGUUAAUGCGCCGAGAGUUAAGCACAAUAAGGGAAGUUGUUUCAAGUUUUUAUGGCAUUGAAUUUAGCUUUUAAAUUAUUUAAUUUGUCUCUUUGUAACUUUAAGUGUGCAUCUAAUUUUUUUAUGUCUUUAUGUUACAUUGCAGCAAGUAAAAAAAAUGUGGGCAAAAAGAGCAGGAAGGAAUGACUGCAGCAUCACUUACAACAUGACAUAUAACAGAAGGUUCUCAAACAACAGAGGCAUUUCUUGCUUCUAUAGCAGCAAAUGGAUUGAUCAGAUUUUAUGAUAAGGAGCGUUUGAGAAGUAUAUCAAAUAAGAAGUGACCCUUUUACAGCCUGUGCUGCAGUAGUGCUUCCAGCAACAAGGGAGUACCCCCCUACCUGCUAGUUUAUUUUACUUCUUUCUGUAAAACUUUUCUUUCAUUUAGUUUUAAUUUUCUAAUUCAUUACACAUGUCCUUUUAUUUAGUGUAUGCAUGUCUGGUUUAUGUGGUUUUGUUUUGUGUGCUUGUGAGGACACAACACCACUCAAGUUUGGGGGGGUUAUGUUUCUGAGUGCAUGUGUUUACGUUUGUGUUGUGUGUUGUGUGAAGCUAUGUUAUCUAAUAUUUGUGUAUGGAUUUGAAAACCUAAUGAAGAUAAAUUGAGUGUUAUUCAGUAUUUAUGAGAAUGCCAAGUAGAGAUAGUUAUAGAUGGAGGUUGAAAUUCUGUCCCGACAGUUAGACUUUGGUUGAGUUUUAUGAGAAUGCUAUAACAGAGCCAGGAAAACAAAAAAAGAGUAGAAAAUAUCUCAAGUUUGGGGAAAAAUUUUUGUUGGACUGUGCCUGUUAUGAAAUAAAUUCUGCUCUAAUGGUUUAAGUUGCUGAGUAACCAUGGUUGAGUGUGCACCCCAUAUGCAAACUUGAGUCCAAAGGUAACAAGGGCUAUGAGUAGUGCUGCAUCAAUUAUAUAUAUAAAAGAAAAAAAAAGGCAAAAAAAAAAGUGAUGAAGGAAUAAAAAAUAAAGAGGUCUGCUGCCUAAGAUACUGAGUAACCUGGUCUGUUCAUGAGCCCCAUAUUCAGCCUUGAGUCAAAGGCGUCCAAAAGUAAGACCUAGAUAUAACAUCAUGGAUGUGUUGCUGCAGCAACUCUGACAUGUACUUUGAGUGAGUAAUUGGGUGUCGUCAUUACAAGAGAUAGACAUUCACAUGAAAGCUUAAUGUUGCAUUGAAGAGUUUAACUCAAAAAAAUAAUAACAAUAAUUAUUGUUGUAGCACAGUUUGAGUAUAUUUGUGAUUUCUGCUCCCCCAUAUGUGAAUAUAUUUGUGUUCUAGUUUUGAAUUAUAUGCAAUAUUUGUGUAAUGUUAUAGCACCUCUGGAAUUUAAUCAAAGUGGCACACACACACUCAGGACAAAAUAAGGCCUAAGUCUAAAAUGAGAGUUAUUAUGACAAUUCUAGAUUUAAAUCAAGAUCACUUAGAGAGUAAAUGAUGUGUUUUUAUUGUAUUUUUGUUACAUUUUGCAUAAAUAUUCAUUUUAGUUUAGUCUUAAUAAGUUUUGCUUGAUUAAAGUAAUUUGUGCUCAAAUUGUGUGCAUAAUUGUAGGUUUCCAGAAGCUUAUAAUUCAUGGAAGGAAUGCUGAUGCAAUAGGCUGGUAAAAAGGAGGAAGAACAUGGCUAUAAAAGAAUUGAAACAAAUCUAGAACAGUAUAGUUGCUGUAGCCGUUGCUGUAGCAAUCCUGAAACAACGACAGAGAAAAUUUCGCGUGGGAUACUUGUAGAAUUGCGAUCUGCAGUUUCCUAAUCUGACUUAUGCGCACCCUAGGCUUCCGUUUACCCUAAUUUUCAACUAUAAAAGAAGCACACAUCAUAAGGAAUGGAAGAGCCGUCACCCAAGGAGAAAAACACAAAGAAAUAAAAGAAAAACAAGAUUCAAGAGAGAGAUUAAGGGCUGCACAAGAGGAGAAUUUGCAUAAAUCAAUUGGGAGCUCAAUCCUUCUUAUUCUUCUCUUGUUUUUGUGUUUUCUAUUUAUUCAUGGAGAUGUGUUUCAUGGCUGAAACUUUGUUCGUUAUUUUUCUUUUGCAAACCAUGAACUAAAUUUAUUUGUGGUUGAGUGAUAAACAAUCUUGAUGGUUUAUUGACUGAAUAUAUGUGUUGCUGCAUGUUUGCUGUAGCAGUUUGUUUUGAUAGUAUUUAUUUUUAUUCAUUAUUUCGAUGGAUCACCCAUUUAAUGAUACAAGUUAGGAGAGAGUCGCAAAAGGGCCUAUCUUAGUGGAACAUAUCAGAGUAAUUCUUGGUUUUAAAUUGAGUUUCCUGGAUUGAGUUUAACUUAUUCCAAAAGGGCCAUGCUUAAUCUAAAAUUAGUGAUGAACUAGACAUAGGGAUUCACCUUGUAGGGUAACUAGAACCUAAGCGUGUAAUGCUAUAUCUUAUGUUAGCAUAACAACUGAUCACUGUUAGGUUACAUAUAGAUAUAAAAUAUCCAACAUGCGACGGCUGAGGAUACAUAAGGAUUCUACCCAGUGUUGUAGCAAAUACUGCAGCAACCGAGCCAACUAUUAGAAAAUAGUCCAUACCAUUAGGACAAUUUAUUCACUCAACUACUUUAUAUUUCCAUUAAUUUUAUCCUUGAGAUUGACGUGAUAAUUUACUUUGUUGCAUUUUAUUUAUUAUGUUUUUAUUUUAAUUAGUAAAUUAGUUUCAUUAAUUGUUUAUCUUAAUUUAGACACAAAAUCUACACUGUUAAGAUUGCUGUAGCAAGUCUAAUAACAUCAAUCCUUGUGGAAACGAUCUUGAAUACUCAUCACUUUAUUACUUGUUGUGUACACUUGCACAUUGACACCAAUAGCAUUAGUAUUUAUAUACUCAACAACUUUAUUAUGGUGUUUAAAGUUUGUUGAAAAUUUUUGAAUUUUAUCAAGUUUCAAUGUUAUAAUAUAUAUAAUGUGCAGCCCAAGACAAGGAAUUUCACUAUUGUAAUUUUCUUUUUUUUUUUUAAAUUAUAAUAUUUGAUAUUUUUAUCAAGUCAUUUGCAUUUGACCAUUUUGAAUAAUGUCACAUGCAUAUGACUAUUAUUAAGUGUCAUACACAUUUGACAAUCUUAUAUUGUGAAAAAUAUUUUAUUAUUAUUAAUUAACAAAAAUAAAUGACAAUUUUGCUAAAUGUCAAAUAAGCAUAUUUGACACAGGAAUAUUUGGCACUUUUUAAUUGUCAAAUAUUCCUUUAUCUGACAGUUUUUAAAUAUAAAUUAUUCUCUUUUUUCUUAUAUUGCAAAAUAGUGCCACAAGGGGUAGUAAUAAUGGCGGUGGUAGUUGCGCAGGUUCACUUAAUGGCUCGACGAAGGCUUCAAAACCUCUAGACUUCUUGUUUGGUGUUAUUAGUAGAACAAAGCAGCAGGCACAUGAUUUUGCCCCUUCUUCGAUUGAAUCCUUUUAAAGUGAACAACAAUUUAAAAGGAUUCAUUUUUAUUUUGGCAUGUGCAAAGCUUACAAUACUAACAAAUAGAACUUGAGGACAACAUUAAAAUUCUUAUAUAAUCAACACAACAUAAGGGAAAGAAAUCCACUAAGGAUCAUUCUACUCCCUCAAAAACCAUAAAUAUCUUGGAAAUAAAUAAUUUCAAGUAAAUUGUUAAUGUAAUAUAGUUGCAUAAGACGAACAAGACUUUUACAUUUCUGCAUCGACACUGGUACCAUGAAGAGUACAGAUAAUGUAACUAUGACUUUAGACUUUGGUUUGCUGACCAUAGUAAUCUUACCAUUGGACGUCUUUCCCAAGAUUCUAAGAGAAACAACCUUUCAAAAGAUAAUAUUCUGUCAACAAAAGAAAUUAUUGCAUAUAACCAAAGACAGCAACUAGCUAAAGCAGGCAAUAGGAAUUUUCCAAGAAAAGUAUAUGGUUGAGAGCAUUACGUGAUCCAAUUUCAGCUAAUACAUGUGCUGAUAAUUCAAAUGGCAGGGAAAUUUAAGCAGUAUCAAGGUCAAACUACAGUAGAAAUAGUGGUUGCUUGAUGGCUUGGAAAGCCUCUUCAGGAGGAGUCAAGUGGGCAGUUAAUGGGCCGGGUCAAACUUGAAGGUUUUUGACAAGAAAGAUCAAACCAUCACUAUAUCAGUUGUAGAUAGGGAUGGCAAUUGUACCCGCAAACCCGCAAACCCGUCCAAACCCACCCGCCAAAACCCGCCCGUUGCGGGUAAUUUUAUCCGUUGCGGGCGGGUUUAGUAUUAUAAAUUAAAACCCGCACAUGGAUGCGGGUGGAUUUGGUAUUAACCUUAUAUCCGGUGGAUACCCGCAUGGAUAUCCACCAAACCCGCAAUAUUUUUUUUCAAAUAUUUUUAAUUUAAUUUAAAUAUAAAAAUGUAUAAAGAAAAUAAUGUCAUUAAUCAAAUUACCAAAUAGACAAAGGCUCAAAGUUGUGUAUGUGUGUAUGUAGCCCAUAUCUUAUUCUAAAGUCAUAACCUAAAGAAAACUAAAGGCAUUUCCCUUCGAAUUAGUAUUUGAAAAUAUUAAUCUUAAUUAUUAUUAUAGGCAUUGUGUUGGAUGGGUGCUUAUGGUGGUGAAUGAAAUGAAUAUCUUCUCUUGGAUCUUGUUUUAAAUGAUAAUAUGAAAUGUAAUUAUUAUUUUUAGAUACUAGUUUGUGUUUUUUAAAUAAAUUUGUGUAAUUUAUACUUAAAUUUGAGAAUUUGUAUUGAAUUGAUGUAGAAAUUUUAAUUUUUCAUUGACAUUGUUUAAAUAUAAAAUUGAGUAUGCUAUAUGGAAUUUGAGGUUAUUAUUAUAAAUUUAUAUAUUAAAUAUUUGUGAUUUUAAAUACGAAAACCCGCAAAAAAUCCGUCGGAUACCAUUGCGGGUUUGGUAAUUAUUAAAACCCGCUGCGGGUGGGUUUUUUUAAAAAAAUUAAAAUCCGCUGCGGGUUGCGGGUGGGUUUGGUAAUUUAAAUUUUGUGCGGGUUUGGGUUUGGUAAUGACAAACCCGCUGCGGGCGGUGCCCAUUGCCAUCCCUAGUUGUAGAUGACAAUAUGACUGAUACAUUUUCUUUUAGUACACAAAAAGUAUUUAAGCCGAAGCUUCAUCUCAGUUUAUUUACAUAUACAGUGCUCAAAGUUGACAUCUUUCACAUUUUCAGUUAAGAACAUGAAAGUGAAGAAAAAUUGAACAUAAACUAUGUAAAAAUAAAACAAAAAUUGAAAUUAUCUACAUGACAUUUCCAAAUCAACAAACGUUCUAUUAUACAGCCCCAUAUUCGUGAACAACAAUGAUUCCACUAACUGGGUCAGAAGGUCUUACUUGUUCCUUAGAAUCUAUAUUAAUAUUAUCAAGAUCACUAACUUGACCUCCAAUUUGCUCCUCAUUACAAUCAAAUUAUGUUGCUUUUAUCUUAUUAAGGGAUUCUCAUAUAUACUACUAAAUAAAGGAUACUAAAGUUGAAUCGAAAAAGAGAGACCUGGUAAGGGAUUAUAAUAGCCUAGACAACCAGAUAAGAUAAUCAGAAUUCAGAAAUGAUUCAACAUAUAAGAAUAAGAAUAAGAAUAAGAAGAAGAAAAAUUCACUUUCAACUUCAGAAUUUUCAAUCACUUUCAGGAGGGUCAUGAUCAAAUGUUUAUCUCUUGAUGAUCACAAUUUAGAUAUACCUGGUAGCAACUACAAAAUAGUAACAGAACAAAUUAACCAUUUCUACAAAUUCUUAUACAUUUUCAUAGAUGGUUUAUCUUAUAAUUGAUGGUCAAAUAGAUGUAUUGAUCUUGUAUUCAUGAGGUAUUUAGAAAUUACUACAAAUUACUUGGCAGUUAAUUGAACAACAUAAUCUAAAUUUCUGUGUGUGUGUGUGUGUGUGUGUGUGUGUAAGAAGCAGAUGCAAUGAUUUCAUGACUUUUUAGAUAGAUUUUUAAAGGAAAAAAACAUGAGUUGAAUAAAGGAAAAGCAAAUUAGAAUAUUCAUUUCCAAACUACUAAAUAAAAAUCAAAGUAACAUAAGCUUUCGAUAAGAGAAUAUCAUAAAUUAGCUAAUUGUUAAGUAUGAAAAGCACCCCAUCUGAAGACUAAAACUGUCAUUCCUUGAUAAGAACAUAAACUUUUUUUCUUCAUUUACAAAGUAUAAGCUCUAAUUCAAUUGCAGAUGCAAUUAGAAAAUAAGAAUGAAAAUGAUCUCAACUGAAGACUGAAACUCUUAUUCAUUGAUAAGAACACAACUUUUUGUUUUGCAUUUACAAAGUAGAUGAUCCAAUGCAAUUACAGAUUCAAUUAAAAUCUAAAAAUGAAAGAAAGGUCAAAGCUCAGACUUAUACGAUGGCCUCUCAAAUUUACAUGACAAAGACAAUAUUGUGUCAAUAUACAAAGUUCUCAACUUGUAGUGGCAGAGCCAACUACAUUAGUUCCUUAUAGUAAUACAUCUUUUGCAUAUACAACAGCGUAAAAACAAGCAGCCUUGUGAAAAAAUAUGAACCAAUUGGUUAUGAUUGGCAAAAGGCAGAGACAUGCUUGCCUGCAAUCACGUGAAAAAUGCAUCGCAUACACAUACCUAAAGUACUAAGAAACCUCUGAAUCUUGAGUUCAAACGAAACCAUAUGAAGAUGCUCCAAACAUUGAGAUGAAACAACUGACCAAAAUGACAACCAAGGUGAGGAGUGAGGGUGGCCAUGCUCCGACAUCGAAACAAUUAAAGAAAUCCUGUCAAAGCUAGAGUAGAGCAGACGACGCAUUAAUCUAGAGGAAGAAGAAACAAAAUGGUUUAAUGGCUCAACAUGCAAAGAUAGUUUCCGUCUAAUUUUCACAACUUUCUAAAUAAGAUUUCAGACUAUUCAAGACAGCUUUAAACAUCUUAGAAUUUGAUCAAUACGGACGCAACAUAUUACAUGACAGAGAAUACAAAGUGACCUAAUAAAUCAUUAACUUUCCAAAACUUCAAGUCCUUCAACAUUUAAUUAUCUCCACGACAAACAGUCAAUCUGUAACACCUUAGGCAAAUCCCACAUCAGCAAAGCACGGGAGAGAUUCUUUGUUUAUAAGGGGUGAUCCAAGCCUUAAUUGGCAAGAUGCAUUUUAGAGGGUAUGGGCGCCCCAAGAACAAAACCGUGCAGGUUUUGUUAAGGGCCAAAACUGACAAUUUCUUGCCAUGUCUGGGUUAGGUAAUGACAUUAUGCUAUUAGAGCGGCUUCACGUGUCCUUUUGAGCGUUGGUGGGACAAACUUCAGCGAGAACACUGAGUCCCUAAGGGGGAGUGUAUGUAACACCCUAGGCGAAUCCCACAUCAACAAAGUAUGGGAGAAAUGCUAGGUUUAUAAAGGGUGAUCCACACCUUAAUUGGCAAGACGUAUUUUGGUGUGUAUGGGCACCCCAGAAACAAAACAGUGCAGACCUUGUUAAGGUCCAAAACGGACAAUAUAUUGCCAGGUCUGGGUUGGGUCAUGACAUUAUAGUAAGUAAACUAGACUUCGAAAUGAAUCACAAUAAACAAUAAGUAUAUGUUUGACUUGUUUGAAAAGACUAUUUUUGAUAUGUACAUAUAUGGAUUUAUAUGUUUCUGCCCAUAUGUUUAUGUGAUAUGUUGUGUACUGAUUAUGUACAUGGGAAUAUGUUGUGUGAGGAUUCAUUGGCAUAAGCACAAAAACACAUUGAGUUUUAUAUGAAUGAGAAAGUGGAUUUUAGCAAAUGAAAUUUCUACUUUAUGAAAUUUUGCAAUGGGAGUAACCUCUUGAAGUUAUGUGGGGGCCACCUCUUGAGACUAUAUGUUGGUAAAUAACUCAAUUGCUAUUGAUGUCAAUGUGCAAGUGGACACAACAAGUAAUAAAGUGAUGAAUAUUCGAGAUCGUCUCCUCAGGGAUUGAUGUUACUAGAAAGGCUACAACAAUCACGAUAUUGUAAACUUCCUUUGUUAAAAAAAGAUUUUAAUUAAAAGUGAAUUAUUACUAAAAUAAAUAAUAAAAUAAAAAAAUAAAACAAAUCAAUGCAGUAAUAAAACAAAUUAAAUGAAUUGCGUAAGAAGAAUUCAAUGAGAAUGAGGUAGCUGAGUGAUCAAACUCUCUUCAUGGACUGACUAUUUUGUCUAAAUUAACACCAAUUGCUACAACAAUUCCUACAGCACUGGGCAGAAUUAUUUUGCAUCCGUAGUUGUCGCUUGUCAGAUUUCUCAUACCCUUAAGCACCCUAACAAUGACUAGUUGUUAAUGCACCUAUAGUAUGACAUUAUGAGCAUACACUUUCUGUACCCUACAAGGUGAAUUCUUAUGUCUAGUUCUUCACAAAUCUUAACUCAAAUAUAGCCCUUUUGGGACUCAAGUAAUCUCAGUCCAGGAAACUUAAAUUAAGAUCAAGUAUUACUCUAAUAAUUUCCACUGAGACAUACUCUUUUGCGGCUCUAUCUUAACUUGAACAAUUAAAUAGGUGGUCAACCGAAAUAACGAUUAUAAUAAUAACUAUUAGAGUAAAAUGCUACAACAAUCAUACAUCAACUCAUAAAAAUAGUCAAAAACCCAUUUAGAUUGUUUGUCACUCAACUACAAUCAAAUUUAGUUCAUACUUUGAAAAAGACAAAUAAACAUCAAAAUAUCAGACAUGAAAUACAUCGUUUCAACCAAAGAGUAAGUAAAGGAACAAGUAAAGAACGAUGAAAAUUGAAUCCACAAUAGGUCUGCUGGUUUAUCUUCACUGGUGCAGACUUGCUUUCCCGUGAAUUCUAAUUUUGUUCUCUUUUUCCCUUUGAUUUCUCCAAUGUUAAUUCAUCACCCUUUUUCAUAUGAUGCGUCUCUUUUUGUAACUGAAAACUAGGGUAAACAGAAGCCUAGGGCGCGCAUAAGUCAGAUUAGGAAAUUACAAAUCGCAAUUCUGCAGAUAUCCCGCGCUAAGUUCUCUAUGUCGUUGUUCAAGAAUUGCUACAGCAACGGUUGCUCCAGCAAUGGCUACGACACUACAUUGUUCCAGAUUUUGUUUCAAUUCUUUUGUAGCCAUAUUCUUCCUCAUUUUUGCAAGCCUAUUGCAUUAGCAUUCCUUUUAUGAAUUAUAAGCUUCUGGAAACCUACAAUUAUGCACAUAAUUUGAGCAUGAAUUACUCUAAAUCAAGCAAAAUUUAUUAAGGCUAAACUAAAUUGAAUGUUCAUGCAAAAUGUAACAAAAAUGCAAUAGAAACACAUCAUCUACUCUUUAAGUAAUCUUGAUUUAAGUCUAGAAUUGCCAUAAUAACUCUCAUUUCAUAGAGUUAUCACACCCUCAAACUUAAAUCGUUACUUGUCCUCAAGUAAUGACAACACACUAACACUUCAUGCACACAAUCAUGCAACAAAUAACUUAGCUCUGUCAUCAAAUUUGCAAGAAUUCUUCCACCCUCAGAUCAUACUCUUAAUCACGCAAAAUAGCCUUAGUAGUUUAGUUCUAGACUUAGGCCUUAUUCUGCCCAAAGUGUGUGUGUGCCACUUUGAUAAAAUUCCAAAGGUGCUACAAUAUUACACAAACAUUACAUAUACUUCAGAGGUAGAACACAAAUAUAUUCACAUAUGGGGGAGCAGAAAUCACAACUCUACUCAAACUGUGCUACAACAAUAAUAAUUUCAAAAUUAUUCCCUUUUUCAUAAAAAAACCCUCUUCAAUGUAACAUUGCUUUUUCAUGUGAAUGUCGAUCACUUGUAAUAAUGACACCCAAUUACUCAAUCAAUGCACAGAUCAGAGUUACUAUAGCAAUACUCAUAACACAGUCUUGUCUACAGAUAUCUUUAACUCAAGGCUAAACAUAGAGCUCAUGAACAGACCUGGCUACUCAAUAUUCUAGACAGAGGACCCUUUUUUUUUUUUCAUAAAUGCUACAGCAAUGCUCAUAACUCUUGUUGCCUUUGGACUCAAGUCUGCAUAUGGGGUACAUACUCAGCCCUGGUUACUUAGCAACUUAAGCCAUUGGAGCAAAAUUUAUUUAAGCACAGUUCAAUAAAAAUUUCCCCCAAACUUGAAAUAUUUUCUACUCCUUUUGGUUUACUUGGCUCUGCUACAACAUUCUCAUAGAACUCAACCAAAGUCUAAGUGUCUGGACAGAAUUUUAACCUUCAUUUAUAACUAUCUCUACUUGGCAUUCUCAUAAAUACUGAAUAACACUCAAUUUAUCUUCAUUAGGUUUUCAAAUCCAUACACAAAUAUUAGAUAACAUAGCUUCACACAACACACCAUACAAGCAUAAACACAUGCACUCAGAAACACAACCCCCCCAAACUUGAGAGGUGUUGUGCCCUCACAAACACACAAGACAUCACCCCAUAAAUUAAACAUGCAUACACUCAAAAGGACAUGCAGAAUGAAUCAGAAAUUUAAAACUAGAUGCAAGAAAAGUUUUUCAGAAGAAAAGAAAAAAAUUAAAAAAAACUAGCAGGUAAGGGGUACUCCCCUAUUGUUGGGGAAUUGUUGCAACAAGGUGCAGAGACUUCAAUGCUUUUUGGAUGCGCUCCGCAGCUGUUUCUUAGGGGAUACUUACGGUGAGGCAGCUGGCAACGUCUUUUUCUUUUUCAGUAACGGGCUAAUGGGAGGAGUUGCAGUUGGAGCAGCCUACCUGGAUGAAACAUAUUUGGUCUUUUUUUGUUCUAGUGUGUCUGCUGCAGCAACGCCUCCAGAAGUGCCCCAUUUUCUUUUGUUGGGUCCUUUAGGACUAGCAAUAAUAGGUUUACUGAGAGUUUGUUGUGAAGGAGCUGGAGCUGGGGCUUCGGCUGCGUAUCCCUCAACUGUGAUUGCGGCAAUGAUAUCAAGCAGUUGCUUUGUCUCUGUGGGUGUACGAGUAACUCUGGCUGCUGCAGCUUCCAGCUUUACAUCAAUUUUCUCAGCUUCAUCGUUAGAGUCAGGAAGGGUGAUUACUUUCUCUUUGCCCUUUCUAGAAAGGACUGGGAUAUGAGGCUCCUCUGCUGGUUCAUCAUUCUCUUCUUGUAUGAUAUAUAUAUAUAUAUAUAUAUAUAUAUUUGGAUUUGAAAGAGGUCUUGGCUGGGGGUUCCUCGAGUUCUUUCUCCGGCUCUUCCUCUUCCUAUGUCGGGGAACUAUCAGUUGUAGAUUUGACACCCACUUCUUCGAGUUAGUUAGAUUGAUCAUCAACAUCUGUUUCGGCCUCUGCUUGCGGUUCUGCUGUAGCUUCUUCUUCUGGUUUAUUUGUGUCAGUAGCUUCUUCACUGACUUCUGCUGGAGCCUCUGUAGUGGUGGUAUCAAAAUUGUAUUGCUGGAGCAAUGAAUCGGGGAAAUUUUGGUGGGUACUUUUUAUAUAUAUAGCAAAUUGGCGUACGUGGUUUUCCAAGUGCUACAAAUAGCUCCAAAACUGAUUGUUUUCCCUCUGCUAAGCUUCAGCACAUUGAGUGAUGUUGGUGGUGAGUGCUUGGAUUCUCUGUUCUAACCCAAUAACUCUUCUUACCCAUGUUACAGCAGCUGGUUUAGAUGAGACUCUAGCAACUUUACCAGCAAUUCUUUCGAUGGUGCGUGCAGUGAGGGCACCAUCAUUCUUGACAUGCUUAUCUUUUGCAUUAAGGCGAACUCCCGAUAUCACACAGAUGCUGGUGAUGAGUGAAAGAAAUAGCAAGGCAGCUGCUUUGUGGUUUUUCAUAGCACAUUCCUGAAUUUCUUUUUCGAUAAUGCUUCCCACAUCUAUGGGUAACCCUCUAACAAUAACAUACAUCAGUACUAAUCUUUCUUGUGAAAUGGUUAUAGUGUGGGUGGUUGGCAUAAGUCUGGAUUUUAAAAACACGCCUUUCUUCAUUAGCCCAAGACGCACCCUUUACGGUAAGUGUUGUGAAAAUUUUGUUCCAUCUUUGUGGGGUUAACUUCAGAAGGUAAAUUAUAGAAAGCAUUUAUAACUCGAGAAUAUAAAUAAACAAGCGAGUUUCUUACCCAAAUAUUGUGCUGGACAGGGCUUACCAAAUUGGCAUAAAAUUCUUUCACAAAUGGCAACACAGGGUCUCAAGGGUGGUUACAAAACUCCAGCCACCUGCGCUUUACUGCAGCAUUGUAUAAUAAUUGCAUAAUUCCUAAGGGUUGAGGUGAGAACUGAAACCCUUUUUCUUCUAGAAUCUUGCGCGAUUCAAUAAAUUCUUUAUACUUUUCUUCAGCAAGGUAACUUUAGAAUUGUGAGGGAUCUUUUAAUCGGCUAGUUGUCCUUUUGUAUAUUGGCAAUAUGCCCAAAAGUGAAAUGAGAAGAAAAGGUUAUGAAGUACUAGAGUCGUAACUGCGAAGGGGAAAGAAAAUAGUGUUAGAGGUCAAUAUGCACAGUGACGCCCUUUUAUAGGUGUAAUUAAAUGAAAAAAAAUCCGGUAAAAGAGAUAAAUUAGGGAAGAAUGUUUUAAAUUUAUUAAGCAUAUCCCAUAAAAAUAGGCAAGAGAAAUUAAUGCAAUAAUUUAAGAGAUAUUCUUCCUCAAUUUCUAUCCAAAUCCACCCAAUCAUCUGUCACAUAUUAUCUCCAACGGUAAAGUGGGAGGCUCCGUGAUUAAGUUACUGUAACGAUAAUAUUGGUUGUUGCAGCACCUAAUUGUGUGCUCUAGCAACGGUUACACACUCUCCUUAAAUAGUUGUUGAUACGUGGCUUGCCUUUGUACUCUGUUAACAUUACAACCCCAAAUUUUAGUAUUGAAUCCAACUUCAAUAAGUGCGUGACUUGGCAUUUUUUUUUAAGAACAAAACAAGAAAAAAUGAAAGUUAAACAAGCAUGAGUAAGGAAAAUAAAAGAAAAUUCUUUGACAAAACCAUGGAGGAUCCAUCUCAUUCGAAAUGACUACCUCAGCAAUGGGUUGCCUCCCAUCGAGCGCUUAGUUUAAGGUUCUUCAGUCUGACCUUACUUGAGUGCUCAUAAUGUCAGUUCUCUCAGGAGUAAGACCUCUUUUGAAUAGUCUGUAGCUGAAUGCAUGUAAUGCUUAACUCUAUGCCCAUUAACUUUGAAUUCAUGGCCUGUCUUUUCACAUAAGAGAUCAACAGCCCCAUGAGGGUAAAUUCUGAGCAGCUUGAAAGGUACAGACCAUCGAGAUUUCAGCUUUCCUGAAGCAAAACUAGUGUUUUGUCUUAACCUCAUAUUAUGGAGCAAAACUAGUUGACCAGGGAUUAAUUUUCUGUGUUAAAUAUGUUUAUCAUGCCAGUGUUUUGUUUUCUCUUUAUAGAUUCUUGUAUUUUCAUAGGAGAAUAGCCGUAAUUCAUCAAGCUCACAUAGUUGAAGUUUUCUUUGCUCUACUGCAGCAUGUAUAUCCCAAUUUAAUUGCUUUAGUGCCCAGUAUGCUUUGUGCUCUAGCUUAAAGGGUAAGUGGCAAGCUUUCCCAUACACAAUUCGGUAGGGAGACAUGCCUACUGGUGUUUUGUACGCUGUUCUGUAAGCCCAUAGGGAGUCAUGUAAGCGCAAAGAUCAAUCCUUUCUUGAUGGGCUCACCACUUUUUCUAAGAUUUUCUUAAUCUCUCUAUUAGUCACUUCUGUCUGGCCAUUGGAUUGUGGGUGAUAUGUUGUUGUUAUUUUAUGCUUGACUCCAUAUUUCACCAUGGCUGCAGUAAAUACUUUGUUGCAGAAAUGAGUACUCUUAUUACUAAUAAUUGCUCGUGGAGUGCCAAACUUAGAAAAGAUGCUUCUCUGAAGGAAGUUCACUACUGCUCUAGCAUCGUUGAUAGGUAAUGCUGCAACUUCUACCCAUUUAGAGACAUAUAAUCUAUUGCAUUAUGUAUAAGUAUGUAUGUAUUUUAGUAUAAGAAAAAAAAUAGUUUGCUUACUGAGUUUUGUACUCAUUAUAGUUUAUUGUGAUUCAGUCUCCAGAAGUCAUGGUUGAUUUGUGAUGAGUAAGAAGGACUUCAAUUGAGGACGAUAGAUGGUUUAACCAAAUUUUUAGAUUAUUUCAUUUUUUAUUGUACUUGAGGCUUGAAUUAUUAUCGAUUAUAAAGAGUUAUUUUAGUCUAUAUGAGAGAUGUGGCCAGAUUUGCCGUUGGAGUUCGAGUUGGGGUGCUACAAAUGGUAUCAGAGCGAUUCCCAACUGAAAAUGUGUGGAUAUUUGUGACAUCCUACAUCGCUUGGGAAGGCUUUUUUAAAGAUGAAUAAAAUUAGGUCUAUGUUAAAUCUUUAGGCUUUAUGAUUUUGUUUCUAAGAAGCAUAUGAUUGAAGUAUCAGAGUAGCGCAACGAAAGCAUGAUGUAUUUGCUUAAUCCUUUAUAAGGAUUUAUUGGUCAUAAGUGAUUUUGAGAUAUGGAUUCUUUUGGGCAUAACUAAAAGUGAAUUUCGAGGACAAAAUUCUUUUAAGGGGGUAGGAGUGUAAUACCUCAAUUCUCCUAAGGGUAUUUAAGUCAUUUUAGUUUUUAGUAAUAUUUUUUACCCUAGUAUAAAUAAAAUAAUAUGUCUUUCCCGUUAUAAGAUAGAGAGGCAGAGAGAGAUCGGUUGAGGGGAAAAAAACGACAGAAAAAAAAGAGAGAAAGAGAGAGAGAUGAAGAGAAAAGAGAGGAAAAAAUGAAAAAGAGAAGAAAAAAAUCUUCUUUUUCUUAGUUUUGUCAUAGGCAACACAUGAGAUCAAGUUGUGUUGUUUGAAUUGGAUAUUAUUGGGAGAAGUUUUGAAGGUAAGUUUUAAUUCUUGGUUUUCUUUAUUAAUUCAUUAUGGAAAAACAUGAUUAGAUAUUUGCAAUAGAAGUAAAAACCUAAGAUUUUACAGGAAAUAUGCUGACAGUGGAUUAUUACAAAAAUCAUAGUAGUUUGUACAAAUUGAUUUUGAUUUUGAUUUUUUGAUAUUUAAACUAGACAUCUUAUAGAAUUUUUUGAAGUUUGUUUCAAGUUAAUCAGAUAAGAUUUCAAUUAAUUACAAUUUUUCAAAUUCAAGUCUGAAAACAUAGAAAUUUCUUAUUUCGGUGAAUAACAUUUAUUACGAUAUUAUUUUUACCAUAGCUAGACUUCUUCAAAAAUUAUAAAAUUUGGAUCAAUGAUUUUUAUACAUGUCUAAUGUGAGUCUGUAAAGUUUCACGAUUUUAUGGUAAAACAAAAAAUUGUUUUGUAUUUUUAAAGCAAGUAUGUUCAAAACUAAAAACUGUUUGACAUCAUUGAUGAUGUCUAAAACAUAAUUUAUUUUCAAUAAUUUUUGAAGGAAAUAAGUUAUGAAAUUCUUAUCAAUGAACUUUCAAUAUGUCAGCAUAUGAUCUGUAAAAUUUGAGAGUUUUCCAAGAAGGGAAUAAUUUAUUAAAAAUCAGAGAACAUGGAUGUUCAAUUUUGAGGGCCAAAUAAAGAGGACAUUUGAGGGUGAGUUUAGGUACUGUUUAAAAUGAGAUAUUUGAGGAUACUGGAGUUAUAAUUGAGACUUUAUUAUAUCUUAUGAGAAUUUUGUUGAUGAUUUUAGUUCAAUGAUAUCAGUACGCAUUUGUUACAUGAUGAUGCCAAUAGGUAAGUAAACUAGACUUCAAAAUAAAUCAUAAUAAACAAUAUGUAUAUGUUUGACUUGUUUGAAAAACCUAUUUUUAAUAAGUACGAAUAUGGAUUUAUAUGUUUCUGCCCAUAUGUAUAUGUGAUGUGUUGUUGUGUGCGUGAUUAUAUAUAUAGGUAAAUGUAUAUGUAAAAUUUCAUUGGCAUAAGCACAAAAAUGCAUUAAGUUUUCUAUGAAUGAGAAAAUGGAUUUUAGCAAAUAAAAUUUUUGCUUUAUGAGAUUUUGCAUUAGGGGCCACCUCUUGAGACUGUGCGGGGGCCACCUCCCGAGGGCCGACGUGCUGCGAAGUGCCACACAUGGUGCAAAGUGCCAUGCACAGCGCAAAGUGCCAUAUUGCAGGAUAUGCAUUUUAUUGAAAGAAAAUGUGAAAGUUUGAAAGUGGUAGAAAUAGAUUUUGACAAAUUUGUUUUACAAUAUUUCCAAAAGAUCAUGGCAUAUCAUCCAUUUGCAUUAUGUAUAAAUAUGUAUGUAUUUGGGUUUAAGAAAAACUAAUUUACUUUAUGAGUUUUUUACUCAUUAUAGUUUAUUGUGAUUCAGUUUCCAUAUGUCAGGAUUGAUUUAUAAUGAGUGAGAAGGUGGAUUUGAAUUGAGGAUGGUAGAUAGUUUGGCUAAAUUAUUAAAUUAUUGCGCUGGCUUUUGUAUUUAAGGCUUGAAUUAUUAUUGGUUGUGAAGAGUUAUUUAAAUUUAUAUGAGUUGUGGUCAGAUUUGCUCUCAGAGUUCAGGCUAGGGUGUUACAUAUGGCAUAAGAGCGGGGACGCUGAGUCCCUAAGGGGGUAUAUGUAACACCCUAGGUGAAUCCUACAACGGCAAGGCACGGGAGAGAUGUUGGGUUUGUAAAGGGUGAUCCACACCUUAAUUGACAAGACGCAUUUUGGAGUGUAUGGGUGCCCCAGGAACAAAACCGCGCGGGCCUUGUUUAGGCUGAAAGUAGACAAUAUCUUGACAGGUAUGGGUUGGGUCAUGAAAGAUAUAUUGUCAUGAUGUAAGGUUGGGACAUUUUGGCCAUUGUUUUAAGCUCUGAGCAUUUUUCAUUCUUUGAUUUUAAUUGAGCUUCUAGUUUCGCUAGAUCAUGUAAUAGGUAAAUACUAAAUAAAAUAGUGUAUUUUUAUCAAUAAAGAUGUACAAUUAGUUUAUUCUUACAAUUAAACGAGAGUUACAAUCUUGUAAUGCGUGUUUUUCAUUACUUAGACUAACGUAGCAUGUUUACUUUCAUAUUAAACUAUUUGGAAAAUAACAUAUAUAUUACACAUCAGAUGAGAUGGUAGUGAGUUCAAAUAAAAAAUUAAUGUUGUGAUUAGAUCAUUGAUACAAACGGAAGUACAUCACGGAAGACCUUAAUAUAUUCAAUCAAAUCAAGAAUGAAUUAGACAAACCCUAAAUCAAGGAAUCACAUGCGAGAAACAAGGACCGAAAUCAAAAUAAAAGACAAAUUGCAAGCAAUUUAAUGGGUUGGCCUUAAGAGGGCCUACAUCCACUGGAGAAUAGAGCAAUGAGUUUUCAUAGAAAACAUUACUAAGAACAAGAUGAACUAACUUUCUCUCUCUAACUCUUGCUCACUAUCUUUCAAUUGUCACGCAAAGAUUGCACACUUAUCAACCUCAUAAAGGCUGUUACUGGUAAACUCAGAAGCUUUCCCUAACUUUCCUGUUUAAUCUAACAGCUUUAACCAUCUUGGGCACUUGUCACACAAGUGGGAACUUAAGGUAUUCGAAUAUGACUUCAAGAUGUUGCCGUUUUUCUUAUAGUUGGACCACAAGCGUUUCACGUGCUAAAUAAUUAUCUCUGGUAUGACUUUUGUUUAAUUGUCGGUUAAGCUGUUCUUCAGCACAAUUGACAUAUUGGAGGAUUAUCUAAAACUACAACGACAUGUCGCAUAUUUGUUUUUAACGGUUUCAUUAAAUAAGAAUUGGUUACAAUCGGUUAAAAUAUCCACUAUCCAGUUAGUGAGCUAAACCUGAGUUAGUAGUAAAUAAUAAUUUGUUUUAUAAUCAAUUAUGAGAAUUGGCUCCAGUCUACAGUUAGUUAUAUAAACAAGGCCUGAGUCACUCACAAAAUUGAUUUAACAUUAAUCAACAACAUUCUCCCAAAGAUUCAACCUCUUUCUUUUAUUACAUUCUCCAAGAUUCAUCAUCAUUUUUGUAUUUUUCUUUCUUUCACCAUUAUUCAUCAAUCAUCAGCUCUUUCUUUAAUCUCCAUCAUGUGGAACUACUUUUGCAUUAUCUUCAAUUUGACCUCUUUGGUCAUGCUAUCAAUAUUGUGUUAAUGGUCUUGAUACAUGCAUUGCUGGGAGAGAUAGAGAACAAUCCCCCCAUCAGAUAUGGAAUAAAUUGGGUCUUACUUGAUCUUCUUGAAGAAUUAACUCCACUUGAAGAGCGAUUCUUCUGGAAAUCAUCCUCUGCCAUGUACAUGAUUUGCAGUCUAUAAUGUGAUACUAGGGGAGGUAGCAUUUAUGCUUAGAGGCUGAUUAAAUUUCUUGCUUUACACUGUGGCUGGACAGUGUACAAAUGCUUUACUAAAAGAGGCUUAAUUAAUGGUAGUUUUAAGAUUGAUGAAUAGGAUGAUAGCGUGAUUUUGUUGUUGCCUCUAUUGGGUGGGAUGUAGCAGUGCAAGAUUGGGAUCAAGUGCUAAAGGUAUCUAUUCUAUCUUUUGUCUUGAUUUGUUUUAUUUCGAGUUAUGCAUGAAAGUUUGCUUUAUUUUUCUUUAAUCUUUAAACAUGGAAGUUUAUAAACUUUUCUAAUAAAGUGGGGAAUGGAUUGAUUGUUUGUUGGUAAAGAUAAUUGAAUGUUAAGGGAAUUGAAGUUUAUGAGAGUUAAAUGUUCUUUUAGGUCACUUUGUACUUUGCAAUUUACGAAUCGUAUCACUUAUGAAUAUUGCAGAGAAUAAUUUCAAAUAAAACAAUUUUCCAAGUGGACUUAUUUCUUUAUGAAGAACAAUCAAGAGACUCUUUACAACAUAUCUCAUGAUAAGACUCCCAAAGAUCAGCUUUAUAUGCUUUUUCAGUUAGUAAAGUAUGAAGACCAUCAACUCAACAGAUCCAUUAAGUCCACCCACCUAGUAAAUGAUUGUGGAGAACAUAUUUUCCUAUGCAAGCAAGAUUUGAGCUGUUAGCAAGAAAGAAGAAACAAAAAGGAAGAAAUAUCUAAAGUAGUCCCAACUAGUCCACAUGAUGAAGUAUGAAUAACAAGUUGAUGAAUAUUAAUGGUGAAAGAAAGAAUAAUGAAAUAUCUUAAACUCUGAAAAAUUUAAUUCAUUAACAAUUAUAAAGAAAAUAUGGUAAGGUAACAACUUAGAGUAGAUAUAUAGAUUCAUGAACUUACUAACUAAUUCUUUAUGUCUUUCCUUUUAUAAAUUCAUCCAAAAAAUGACCAUAUACAUGAAAGCACCAGAAUUUCCACUGUCUUCAUAAAAAAGAAAUUAGAUUCAUUCCGGAAAUGUUAGCCAAGACCAAUUAAUUCAUCGAGCGUAUUUUGGUAAUAGUGCUAUAUUAUGUGCAACAAAAAAGGCUAAAUUUUUAAACACCCAAUGACAAGUGUAAACAUUUAAAUGCUUGAACAAUGGAUUUGCUUCUUCAUUACUUCUAUAUAUAUAUAUAUAUAUGGAUUAUUAUAUUACCAAUAUUAGAAUUUUUUAAAUUUGUUACCUAAUUAGUCUCACACCUACUCCUGCACUUGCUAAAACUUCAAGGUUUUUUGUUGUCAUCAAUCAAUCUUCUUAAAUUUGUUUCAAAAAAAUUAUUUCCAUGUUGUGCUUGACUGUUUAGCUGAUAAUACCACUGCAGAUGAUAGAUCAACAAUCGUUGCGGCUAAACAACUCGAAAAAUGCAUCACUCCAAAAUUAUGCAUUUUCAAUGCUUGACAUCAAUUGUCUCUGUGUAUCAGUAGAUGAAUAACUACUUCAGAUAAUCUCCAUUUUAACUAUUACUAGAUUAAAUUAUUCAUAUGUAGUUCUAACUUACAUGAAUGGUUGAGAAUUUUGUGUUAAGAUUUUAAGCUGAAAAGAUUUAUUAUUUCCUUUGUAUCAGUUGGCCAUGAAUUCACUUUAUACCCGAUUACCCGAGUUUGAGUAAAAAUUCUUUGGGGCAGGGGUUAAUAUUUUGUGGGUAAUGAUUUUCAUUUCCAUCCAAACCUUAUACAUGUAAGUAUCUUUUUGAUUGCCCACUAAAUCCCUGACCUUCAUUCUCCAUCAAAUUGCAAAAGGAGGAAUUUGAAAUAUAUUUAGAACGAUUCACUUGUUUUCGAGAGUAUAUUUAUCCACUUGUUAUCAUGAUCAUGGUUUCAAUAGCUAGUUUGAAGAUGUAAUUGCAUAGUGGGGUUUAUAUAUGACUUAAAUCUGGUUCAUCAACGGUAAAGCAGUUCAUUACUUGAAUGUAUUAACAGAUUAGUUUGAGUAUUGCUGCUAAAGAUGCUCACCAAAUUAUAUCCAAGUUUUGGGAAUAAAAUAAGUUGCAUUCUGAAAUUGUAUCCUAGGCAUUUACGGUCGGUAGCUUUUUAGCAUUUUCAAGUUAAUCAUUUGGAGGCGUAGCUUCAUCGGAUUUUCUGUAGACAAAUGCCAAAUUUAAAGGAUAGUCAGAUAUAUUACUUAUGAUGAAAAUACAUAGGAGGUGCCAUGGAAGAAGAGGCGGCAGCAGUCUUUUCAUUUAGUUUGGCAAAAAAAGUUUUGUGCAGAUCAUCAACUGCUGCAUCCAUUUGAAGAAACUCCUGAUGAUUGAUCUCAUUAACUGGGGUUUCCCACCAAUGUGGUUGAGUCUCUUUCCCCUUCCUAUUCUGCUUCAAGAUCUUCUCCCGUGCAUUUUCCUCAUCCAGCUGGCGCAGCAGCUCAUUAUGCUGCUGAUUCAGCUCACUAAUUCUCACCCGGCGGUAAGCCUCAACCAGCAAAUGAGUGUUGUCAUUCGGAUGCUCCUGGUUCAACCCCAGGAAGCGGUUCGCAACGGCUUCUAGGGAGGGAUGCCCGAAUGAGAAAGGCUUCCCAGAUGGUGAGAACACCACAAUUCCAAUCUCAGCUCCAGUGAGAGUGGCAAGCUCACUGGCCUUCUUGUAGAUACCUGAUCUACGUUUUGAAAAUGCUAUCAUUCUAUCGUUCUCAUUCUCUAUCUUUUUCAUUUCAAUCUUUUGUCUCCCUCUGGUUUUCUUGGCUGCCAUUUGGAAAAUCGAUGUGAUGGGCUUAUUUCUUUUUCUAUGAACAAUGAUUUUUUUGCUCUUUGAUAUGAUCGUUUUAUGAUGAAUUUAUAAGAGGAAAGACGCAUAACAUUACCAUAUUUAAUACAGGUGUAUAAAGCUACUGAAUGACUUACCAUAAACUCUUGAAGAAUUUAAUUCAUUAACAAUUUUAUAAAGAAAAUAUGGAAUGGUAACAACUUAGAGUAAAUACAUAAAUCCUCCACCUUCCUAAUUAUAAAGUGUAAAGAAAAUAUGAUGAGGUAACAACCUAGGUUUGUAUAAGUGUUUUCAAAAAAGAAAUUAUUAUCUUCUUAAUUUAUCAAAAUUAUAAAUUUAGUCCUUUAUCCCAAGUCAGAACCGCAAAAAUUAUUAUGUACAAUAAAACCUUGAUAAAUUACUUGUAUUGGGACUAUAAAAAAUUUAUUAAUUAAUAGCUGAUGUUUCUUAAAAGCUAAAUCAAUAAAUAAAUAGGUAUUUAACCUCGACAAAUUAAUAGUUGAUGAUUCUAAAAAAUAAAUAAAUGAACAAGUAUUUAAUCGUUUAAAGGACAUAUUACAUAUAUGUGAAAAUACUCAUUUCCAGAUAUUUUUGUUUUAGGAAAAAAAAAAGUAACGUUUCUAAUCAAUACUAAGAAAUGGAAAAUAAAUGUAUCAUUCAAAUUUAUACAUUUUCACGUAUUCGUUCUUCGAUCAGAUUGAGAGCUCUUCAUAUUUCCGACAUAAAAUCAAAUGUUACAUCAAGUUUCAAGUCAAUAAUUCGAAGCCUUUAUUAAGAUUUGAUGCACAACCCCAAAUCAAGAGCGCUCUCGCAAACUUUUAAGGCCUCUUGUGAAUUCUUCAUCCGAAAACGCCACCCGAAGUUGCCUCUUUUGUUCUCGAGAUUGAUUAUUUUUCUUAGCUGGCGGUAAGCCCCAAUAAGUGGACGAGUGUUGUCAUUUGAUGGCUGCUUCAACCCAAGAAACCGUUUGCAACAGCUUCAAUGGAGGAUGACCAACUGAGAAAGGCUUGCUAGUGAGAUCACCACAAUCUAAUCUCAAUGCCAGUGAGAGUAACAAGCUCACUUGCCUUCUUGUAGAUUUCGGAUCUCUGUUUGGCGAAUGUUAAUCAUCAUGUCACCUCAUUUUCAAUCCUCCUCAUCUCAAUCUCUUGAAGAAGCUAGAGAUUAAUUAAGAUGAAGAAGAUUGAAAAUAAGGAUGAUAGAAUGUCACACUCUCUAAAUGUAGAUCCGGGAUCUACAAGAAGGCCAGUGAGCUUGUCACUCUAACUAGCACUGAGAUUGGCAUUGUGGUGUCCUCACUAUCUGGCAAGCCUUACUCCUUUGGUAACCCCUCCAUUGAAGCUGUUGUAAACCGCAUCCUGGGAUUGACCCAGCCACCAAAUGAUAACAGUCACCCCCUUGCUAAGGCUCAAUGCCAAUUACUCUCUGUUCAAUAAAAUCCAAAAAAAAAUAAAAAAAAGAUUUUUCUCUUUUAUUUUUACUCCUAGUAAUGUUAAUUUAAGGCUUGGACAAGGCUCAAGAAAAAUGUCAAGACAUUUAUAGGGAACAACGCGUAAAAUAUAUACACCCAUGCACGUGAGCGCGUGCAUGUGUGUAUCAUACAUAAAUGUAAACUUAGUUGUGCUCUUUAAAAAAAAAUACAAACUCAAGCUCUCCAGAUUACUUAUUCAAGCAUGUUAUAGGUAAAUGAGUUCAAAUUUACCUAAGUAUUUCAAAACCAGAGAACAACAACAUUAAUUAUAAAAAAUCUGACGAUAUCUAGCCAAUUUUACCUAAUAAAUAAGCAAUGAUAAUAAUAGCCCUUAGAAUCCUUAACAAAUAGUUUUUAAGAAGUUUUAUUUAGUUGGCCACCCAAAUUUGAAUUUUCUGCGAGAUACAGUAACACCUCUAUAAAUUAAUAAUUUUGGAACCGCACAAUACCUAUUAAUUUAAAGAGAUAUUAAUUAAUAGAUAAAUUAAUAAUUUAUAAAUUGUAUAUACAAUCCAAAGAACAUACAUUUUAUUCAAUUAAAAAUUCAUUGUGUUUUACGAAUCUAAUCAAUUAAGAAUGAAUUAAUCCACUAAAUGUGAGUUAAAUUAACCAAAAAAUAAAAAAUCUUGCAAUUUUAGAAUUCAAUCAUAGAACUUCUAGAAGUAUUAAGGAAAAUUAAAGGUGAAAUCAAACUAUAUUUUAACUUCAAGAAAAAACAAGUGGCAAUAGGAUCAUAGUUUAUUACAAAAUAUUUGUAAUUUUUGUAAAUUAUUGAUUUGUACGUAAAUAUAAUAUUAUCGCUGAUGGGUAGUGGUUGAAAGGAAUUUAAUCGAUACCAUCAAAUGUAAAAUUUCGAACACUAGUAGAAAGAAAAUGACCUUCAAUGAUGUGUAAAUAGUGUCAAUAAUAUGUUUUACUGACACUGAACUUUAAUACCAAAAAAUUUGUAUUCAACAAAUACUGACACUAUAAUUUAGUGUUAGUGAUUUUGGUGUUAGUGAAUUCAAUUAACAUGCUAUUAGACAAAUAUUAAUACAACAUACUCACAAGAAGGGUAAAAUCUCGUUUAGUCCCUAUAUUUUGAGGUUAGUACCCAUUUAGUCCCUAUAUUUUUAAAAAUACCUCAAAACAUCCCCGACAUUAAAUUAUUAGCACAUUUCCUCUUACUUUUUGUUGCUUUUGGCUUAAUUUUUACAAUAUUACCCUUUUACAAUUUUUUUUUGCACAUUAGUAAAAAGAAAAAAUAAUUAUCAAUUUAAUCUCAAAAAAUAAAAUAGAAACAAAAAAUUAAUAUAUGUUACUUUUUUGUAACACACUACUGAGGAAUUAAUAUAUUAAUUUUUUUAUUAGAAUGUCCAAAAAAAUAGGUAAUUUAAUUAUUUUUACAAUAAAUUUGUUUUGGACACAUGUAAGCUUUCACAAAAAUUAAUAUAUAUUCUUUUUGUUUUUAUUUUAUUUUUGGGAUUAAAUUGAUAAUUUAAUUUUUUUAUUAAUUUUAUAAAAAGAAAUAUUAUUGUACGAGGAUACUAUUGUAAAAGCAAGUCAAAAGAAACAAAAAAAUAACAGUAGGGAUGUCAAUAAUUUAAAGGGCAGGGAUAUUUUGAGGCAUUUUUAAAAAUACAUAAACUAAAUGGGCACUAAUAUUAAAAUAUAGGGAUAAAACGAGCUUUUACCCUCACAAGAAUAAUCAUACUAUGGAAUUUAAAAACAAAAACAUCUAUUACAAUAGCACCAUCAAAAGACUAACACCGUGGUAUCAAUGUUUAUUUGAAAAAUUAAAAAAAUAAAAGAAAUAAAAAAUUUGAAAAUGCAAUUUAAUAGAAAUAUAUGUCCAUUGAAUGAAAAUACUGGCAAAUUAAUUAUUACAUUGUUCACACAAAUAGUUCUAUCAAAUUCAACAUCCACUAGAACCAAAAAUUAAAGGACCAAGAUACACACUAUGUGGUAAAAAAAUAUGCUAAAAGUACAUAAACUAAUGAUCCAUUACACAAAAUAAAUAGCUCAUGAAACCAUAAAACUGAUAUGCUAAAAGUAAAUCACUAGCACCCAGCAACAUCCAACACAUCACUAGUAAUCACAGCCAACGACAUCUAACAGACACAAAACAUCCGCCAUCCCGAGUAAAUCUAUCGAACAAAACCAAUCAAUUUUACAAAUACAGUAGAUACUUAAAAAUGAUAAAGGAAAUGUUCACUUAAAACUAACUACAAAAAAUUAGAAAGCGCGACAUUAUAAACUUUACAUUAUUUAAAAAUGAUUACAUCCCCUAAAAUGUCUUGCAUACUGUUCAUAACGAUAUAAACGAAUAAACACUCAAUAACAAGUUUCUGGUGAAGAAACCAACUCAAGCUUAAAUGUAUGAAAUAUUGCUUUAUUAAGAGUGGAAACUAAAGUGCAAUAGAAAAAAAAAAAUUGAAUGAGUAGUUUAUGUAUCAAAGCUAUUUAAAGCUUGACCAAUUAUUUUUUAAAAAUAUUAUUAUAGCAUUAGUACUAAUAGUACUAAAUAAAAGUCUUUCAUACAUUGACUAUGCAAAUGGACAAAGUGUCACACAAAUGUAUUUGCUGGUCGUACGUGAUCCUAGUCCAAAUUCUAAUUUAUUUACUUGGCGGCACUUACAACAAUAGGCUUAACCUUAUAAACCAACAACCAUAACCUAACAUCAAAAUUGAACUCCCAUCAACAUCAUCAUAUACAUAUAAAAUUAUAGGCUCCAUUCUAUUCAAAGAACUAGUUACUAUAACCUUUCUCCUUUUUUAACAGUAGUUGAAACUUACUGACUAAGCCCUCAAUGUCAUAGAAAUGCAUACCUUAAGCACAUUCAUAAUUACCCAAUAAUUUUUGUACUUCAAUGAUAAAAGCGAAGAAAAAUCUUUGCCCGUCUCUCGUCAAUCUCAAAUGGCCAACCAAUAUGAUCGGAGGAGCCAGCUCUCGUUUUUCGUUCACUGUUUAUAAUCAGCUUUUUUGCUGGCGAACUUGGGUAAACUGCGCAUAAAACGAAUAAAACUUGGCCCAAUAACAAUCCUGGGCGCAACCCAAAAUGUCCAGGCACAAAUACAUUAUUAAUACUAAUAUUAAUACUAGUAACGAAUAACAAUAAAAAUAAUAAUGAUGUAAAAAAAAUUAAUCAUAUUAGAAAAUAAAUCAAUAAUCACAACAAUAUAAUCAAAUAAUACUAAUAAUUACUCAGUUGUUUUUUGGGUAUUGCAUCAAUGAUACAUGUUUUAAAUUUUAAUGGAUUUUAUGUUCUUUACAAAAAAGAAAGGACCCAACUAAAAAAUGCCCGGAUAUUAAUUUUAAACGCCUAAUGACAUUGACAAGUGCAAACAUUUAAAUGCUUGAAUAAUGAGUUUUGCUACUUAAUUACUUCUACACACACGUAUAGCAUUUAAAUGGAUUUUGCUCCUUAAUUACUUCUACACACACACACGUAUAUGGAUUAUUAUGUUGCAAAUAUUGGAAUUUUAAACAUUUGUUACGUAAUUAGUCUCACAUCUACUCGUUUACGUACUAAAACGUCAAGGCUUUUUGUUGUCAUCAAUAAUCUUUCUUAUAUUUAUUUCAAAUAAUAUUGUUUCCAUGUUGUGCUGGACUGUUUCGUUGAUAAUACCACUGCAGAUGAUAGAUCGACAAUCGUUUAUGUGGCUAAACAACUCGUAAAAAUGCAUCACCUCAAAAUCAUGCUUUUUCAAUGUAUGACAUCAAUUGUCUCUUGUGUAUCAGUAGAUAAGUAACUAUACCAUAAUUGCUGCUGUAGAUAAUCUGCAUUUUUUUUUUUUUUUUUUUGAUUAGAUGGGGCUCAAUCAAGCGAGCUAAACAGGAAUAAGACGGGGUUGAGUAACCCCAAACAAGUCUUGCACAAUAAUUGAAUAAAUACCCACAGGUUGGCUAGAAAAUAAGUGCAACCCAUGGGGGUAUGAAUGAGCCAUGUUUGCCAUAAAAUCUACCGCCGAAUUUGCUUCCCCAUAGAUAUGGGUGAUGGAAAUCUGCCAGUUUCUGUUAAUAAACUCCCGGACAGCAGCAACUAAAGCAUAGAAUUCGUUAGGCACAACCACCUGCUUCGAGAUCAAUUGAGUUCGAGAUCAAUUGAGUAACACAAAGGCUAUCCACUUCAACCAAAAGACAUUUUAUGCCAGCCUCCCAAGCUAGACGUAAUCCUUGGUACAAACCCCAAAGCUCAACCAUUAGCACCGAACUUUUUCCAAUAUUCAUACAAAAUCCAGAAAUCCAGUGUCGACAGAAUCUCGAAUAAUACCACCAGCUCCUGCACCCUCAGCUUUUCUACAAGAUCCAUCCGUAUUCAAUUUGCACCAAGGCCAUGGAGGUGGAAGCCAUCCAAUAAAAAUUUCCUUCCUCCGCUGCUGCUGACUUAUGUGGGAAUUAUUUAGUCUAUGGAUUUCGUUAGCCCUGGCCAUAAUAUCUAAACAUACUGUUGAGCUGUCCACCAACUUCCCAUCCACGAUAAAAUCAUUCCUCCAAUACCAUAAUCUCCACACCGCUACGCCGAAAAUACACUCCCAAGAUAAUGGAGAGGGAAUUUUCCACUUAUUUUGCAAAUUCGUAACAGUCCAAUCUCGUAAAGCAGACUGAAAGAAGGAGAAUUGAUGCCGAGCUGGAACAAGCCGAAGCCAAACCCGCUUGAUGCAAUGACAAUCUCUCAAGACGUGAAUAAUAUCCUCAAGUGGAGCCCCGCAACGAUCACAACCCAUAGAAACCAGAAUAUGCCCCCUAGAAAGUUCACUCUUGGUCUUUAACUUUGCAUGCAGAACCUGCCAAAGAAAGAUGCGUGUUGCUUGUGGCCCCUUCCAAGACCAUGCUAGAUUCCAUGCAUUAUCGGUAGCAGUGAAUUCCAGCUGACAUAGAGACUCAUAUGCCGAGCGAACCGUAAAGUUGCCACUUGGCUCAAAACGCCAGUAUAUUUUAUCAACACCAAGAAGAGGAUUAGGAGGCAUUACCGAAGCAAUUUGCAUCAGGAUAGAAUUAGGUAGCAAAUGUUCGAAAGCUGACCAGUUCCAGCCCCCAUGCACGUUUAUAAAAUCACUCACCUUAGCGUUAACCAACUCUUGAGGUACUGGAUGGACAGCGAGAUAGAUCAAAGGGCCUUGCUUUGUUGCCCAGCAGUCUAGCCAAAAGCGAGUUUGAGCUCCAUCACAGACAGCCCAGCGAGCUCCCUGCAUGGUGGCUGACCACGUGCUCUUUAUGGCCUUCCAGAUUCCAGAACCUUGUUUCUCAGGGAGGGACAACGGCAAGUGUCUCGGAUCCAACCCAUACUUUGUGCAAAUAACCUUUACCCACAGCUUGUCUGAGUUCGAAACAACUUCCCAGCUCAGCUUCAUCAACAAAGCCUGAUUCAUCACAUCCAGCUUCUUAAACCCCAGGCCACCAUGUUCCAAAUUCUGUUCCUAGCCAUUUACGGUCGGUAGCUUUUUAGUAUUUUCAAGUUAAUCAUUUGGACCUGUAGCUUCUUCAGAUUUUCUGUAGACAAAUGCCAAAUUUAAAGGAUAGUCAAAUAUAUUAUUUAUGAUGAAAAUACAUGGGAGGUGCCAUGGAGGAAGAGGUGGCAGCAGGCUUUUCAUAUAGUUUGGCUAGAAAAGUUUUGUGCAGAUCAACUGCUGCAUCCAUUUGACGCGGCUCCUGAUGCUUGAGCUCAUCAACUGGGGUUUACCACCAAUGAGGCUGAGUCUCUUUCCCCUUCCUAUUUUGGUUCAGGAUCUUCUCCCGUGCAUUUUCCUCAUCCAGCCAGCACAGCAGCUCAUUAUGCUGCUGAUUUAGUUCACUAAUUCUCACAUAGCGGUGAGCUCAACCAGCAGAUGAGUGUUGUCAUUCGGAUGCUCCUGGUUCGCAACGGCUUCUAGGGAAGGAUGCCCGAAUGAGAAAGGCUUCCCAGAUGGUGAGAACACCACAAUUCCUAUCUCAGCUCCAGUGAGAGUGACAAGCUCACUGGCCUUCUUGUGGAUGCCUGAUCUACGUUUAGAGAAUGUUAUCAUUCUAUUGUCCUCAUUCUCUAUCUUCUUUAUUUCAAUCUUUUGUCUCCCUCUGGUUUUCUGGUUGAUAUGAGCGUUUGUGAUGAGUCUAAGGUUAAGAAUUUAUCUGUUUUAAGUAAUUAAUGUUAGGAAAUUGGUGGGUGAAGCAGACACGCAGCUAAAGUGAAAUUGUAAGAAAAUAAAGAACAAACACAAUAGAGGACACUAGAAAAUUACGUGGUUCGGCUUUUAGCCUACGUCCACAGGCGAAGACAGAAGGAAAUAUUUUACUAGUGAAAAGGAGUUACAAGUAUUGUAGUAUUUUAGCUCACUUCCCAAAACCCCAAUACACCCAAACUCUCUAACUCAUUAGACACUCAAGAGUUUAUUAAACUCUUAAAACUCUCAACACUCAAGAAAGCAAUGCUUCUCUCUCGAUGGAAUUGAAUGAUAUACAAAUGAAGGGAGCCAGUGUUUUUAUAGCCAAAAUUAGCUACUGUUCAUUUAAUAUUUAAUUAUUAUUAUUAUUUUAUUAAUUUUUCUUUUUCUUUUCCUUCUUCGGCCCGGCAUCUCUUUUUCUUCUUUCUCUUUCGUUUCUUUCCUUGGGCGGCAUCUACUUGGCCUUCAAAGCCGUGUGCCACCAAUGAAGCUUAUUCAAAGCUUCUAGAUGCAGCUUCUAGAUGCUGCAGCCAAAGUAUUUUGACAUUCUCCCACUUGGAGAUUAGAUUGAAAAUCAAUCAAUCUCCACAUCAUCCUUUCUGCUUCGCCAUAAUCAUGUUGCCUACGUUUCUGCUAGGCCACAAGAGGAUCUACUCCAGAUAAACUUGUCAGCAUUUAUCGGCUUGGUCAAAACAUCUGCUAGGUUCUCCUUCGUAUGGAUUUUCUGUAAAUCCACACUUCCAUCUUCCACUACUUCACGAACGAAGUGAUACUGGACUCCUAUGUGUUUUGUCCUGGAAUGAAAAGCUGGAUUCCUUGCAAUGUGCAAGGCACUCUGACUGUCACAAAACACAUGAAUUUUCUGUUGUUUGUGCCCGAGCUCCUCCAAUAACCUUUGUAUCCAAAUAGCUUCCUUGCAAGCUUGUGUAGCUGCCAUGUAUUCUGCUUCUGUUGUAGAUAAAGCCACAACGGUCUGCAGUUUCGAAACCCAGCUUACAGCUGCUCCCGUAAGUGUAAACACAUAACCAGUAGUGGAUUUUCUUUUAUCAAGAUCUCCUGCAAAAUCUGAAUCCACAUAGCCCCUGACAGUAAACUCUGAUCCUCCAUAACAUAACGCAACAUCUGA
rnacentral:lncRNA from 1 species